GCUCUGGUGCAUUCAGUGGUAUCCAACAGAUCGGCCAUCCAUGAAAGUAGUAGUUCAAAUGUUGGAAGGAGAUGUGGACAAUCUCACCAUGCCUCCCCAUCCGGUUCCAGAUACAAAUGGGACAAACUCCAUUGCAGGAAUACGACGAAGACCUCAUCAGAUAGAGUUGGCAGUCAUAUCAGAAUUGGAGUGACACGGCAAAUUUUAGUGGAUUUGAAUUUUUAAAGCACUAGGGAGUAUUAAAUAUUUGCUUGCUGGCUAUUUUUCCUUCCAUUUACUGCAACCAUGUUUUUCGUAGCUUUUAUUUCCAACCUAAGAAUCAUAUUUUUUCUCUAAAAACGUGUAAUGUGCGAAAUAAGAAUGACAUUCUUUUUGACUUACAACCAAAGAAAAAGAAAAAACAAACACAUUUGUUUAAUUGAUAUGCGAGCACUGACUCAAUUGUAUCCUUUCCGUACAUGUAAGAGGUGUACUAUGUAAAGACAAGCAAUUAAUUUCAAAAAUCAUAAAGCUCUUGUACUAACUGUAAGUUCAGAAUAUGCCCUUUCUGCUUUUACAAGGGAAAUUUCACUGUCCCCGUCCACUUGCCACGUUCAGACUUGAGAGUUCUCUGCGUUUACACCCAAGUAGAUUUAAAUGCAUUAAUACCUGUCUUUUUAUCCUUGAUUUAAAUUCUUCAUACUUUUCCAAAUUCAUUUAACUAUCAAAAUAAAUAAGUCUCCUAUUUGGAGUAUUCUUUCUACCAAUUAAAAGAAUGGAAAAUAUAAUCCUUCCGGAUGGGUGAAAAGAUUUUACUAGUCACUAUUCUUUUCUUCACAUUUCGACCCUUUUUGUCAAAAAAAAGACACAAGUGCUACGGUCCCUAUUAAUUGUUUCUUGACAAAGAGAUACUACUUACAACUACAAAAACACAACUGUAGGCCUUUGGCCCCCAUAGCCAGCAUUGACUCCAAGUCGUUCCAAGAGAAAGACCAUGAAGAGCAAAGACUUUUGAAGCAAUAAAUAAAACAUUUCAAAAAAUAAUAGGGCCGCAAACCAAUGAAAAAAAAUAACUCAAGUCAAUUGUACACCACUUGCUUGUUGGCUCAUAAGGUCUUUGUAUUUUGGUGACGGACUUCGCUAUUUGGGUCAAUCUCGGAUGACACUCCCCUCACAAGAGAGGGUAGCAAUUAUUUUAUUACAUGUGGACCCUCCUCUAUUGUGAGAGGAGUGUCAUCCGGAAUGUCAACCUUGAACGUACAAAUAAUUUUAUUGUUUGAAGACAAUUAUGAAAUAUGGAGUAUGCACAUAAUACUGUAGAAUUACAAAAAUAAAUAAAAUAAAAGAAGAAGAAUAGUCCAUUGAUAAUUGCUUUACCAAAUAAAUGGAUUAAUAGAAUCAAAUACUGAAUAAGUGCUAAUAUGUAGUUGACAAUGUAGUAAUAUGUUAAUUACUCAAGUAGUAUUGGUUAGAUGAAGACUUAAAUUGUUGAGGUACAAAAAGAAGCUGUCAAAUAAUGUUUUUGAGGAGGGUGUAAUCUCACAAAUCUUCUGCAAUUUCAAUGCCAAUGGAGAAAAAUUCUUCCAUGGGGGUGGGUAUAAAAUCACAGAUUGUUAAAAGUGCUUGUAAAAUUUGUUUAUAGAUAUUAUAAAAGAUAUUGUGUAAUCUAAUUUUCAAUUUUUAUUUUUAUUUUAGGAAACAUAAUUAGGAUUUAAUUUUAUAAUAUUUCCUAAGAUUUCUAAAAUUGUCUUAUGCGAUGUAAUUCAAACAAUUUUGAUAUGAAUAAAACUUAAUUUUCUUCCUCUAAAUUCUCUCUUUCCCCCUCCUUUCCGUUUAUCUAAUUCUCCUUCCCUUUUUAUUUCCCUCCAUUCUCUCUUUAUUAUUAUUUCUUUCCCUUCUCCUAUAAUUGUUAUAUUGCAUCCUACGACUAUUUGAUAUUAGAAGAGUGUAGCAUUUUUCUCUUACCGAUUUUUGCUUCGUGUGUGCUUUACAGUUCUACAAGCGGUGGUGCAAAAACUUUCCCAACCUCAUAAACCAUUAGCCAAUUCAAACUAUACCCAAUUCAUUCGACAUAACACACCAUCAUAAAUUAUCAAUCCAGAGCAGUAGUAACUCAAAAUAAAUCUUCCAGUAAGAAAUUGCUGCUUCGUUUUAGUCUAUUGCUGUAAAAACGAAAACAUAAAUUUAAAAAAAAAAAUGAGGGAAAGAGAGUUAAAAGAAGAAGGGGGGAAAAAGCAGCAGUCGUGCCAAUUAAUCCCCUUCUUAAGUUUUCAUUAUUAAAAAUCCCAAAAAAGAGAGAAUUUCAUGGGCUACUUUAAUUGUGUUCAAAAUUCCAACUUUUUUUCUAUUUUAUUUAAAAUACUAAUAUAAGCUAGUAAAAUUUAAGAGAAUAAUGUUAUCCAUAUUGAAGACUACCGAUAAUUGCACAAUAUUUUGGCUUGUUGUGCAGUGAGUAUACCAAUAUCGACUAAUCUUUAAUUAUAUUGUAGCAUAAAUUAUCCCUUUCAGUCAUAUUAUUUACAUUUUUGGAAUACACUCGAAAAAUAGAAGUUUAAUUUUUAUUAUUUUUUUUUUUUUUUGUCUUUAGAACCAUGUUAAUGUUUAUUAAUUCAUGGCACUGGACAAGUAUCUUUAUCAUAAUGAGAAGUCUAAAAAGUGGCGACAUAUGGUUCUGUAAAGAACAUUGUUUCUUUCUAUUACAUCAAUGCAGCCUUGACAUCAUAUUUGUUAACAGUUUUGUUUGCUUUUAGCAUCUAGUGAACAUUACUUGAAAAUAUUUUGAAUGGAAAUUUAGUUGUUUUUUAUUUUUUUAUUUUUUGAAUGUACGUAACAGCUCCUCUAGAUCACACAAUUUUAAGGAACUCCUCUUUGAGUCUAAUCUUCAUCUUCGGUUAAAGAGCCUCAAUAGUUUUUAGUUUGAAAUUUCAUAAUAAAAAAAUGAAAUGUUGAUGAACUAAAUUACUCGAUUUUUGUUUCUCAGUAAUUGACUAGAAAUAACAUAAUGAUCAUUGGACAUUAUUUCACAUCCAAUUGCAAUACUUCAUCCCGAUCCCUAGAUAUGCUUAAUACUCAUUCUGACAAGCCCUACCCAAUUUGAGCAUUCUCAAAUGGGGCCAAGUUAGUUUAUAUAUUUAUUUAUUUUAAUUUUGCCUGAGUGGAAGGUACACACAUAUGAACUUUUCCAACCUCAACCGAAUUUUUAUUUUUGGAAAAACUUUCAACUCAACUAUAAAUUAGAUUUAAUAGCCAAGUGUAUUUUCUCAAAUUGAUUUAGAAUCAUCUGAAUUAGUCUUGAGCCUGGGGCUUCUAAUUGCUAAAAGAUCGCUUAUGCACUAUGUAGGUUGUCGCUAAUUUUUGAAGUAAUCAUAUAGCCCCAUCUACUUAAGACAGUUCAUCGCCAAUUAGCAAUAUUUAGUGCAUGUUUAGGCAAUAUUAAAGAAGGAAACAUAAAGUUUCUAAUGAUGUAUACCGCUGUAUACCAAACUUGCAAUUAGAUUAAGUUUGAUUGCCUUGAACUCCAUCUAUAUAAAAACCUCUCGAAGAAAAUAUGGAAUUUUUCCGACUGCACAGUUGAAUAAGAUAAUAUCAAUUUUUUGAAGGAUUCAAUGACAUUAUAAAGAAAAAAAAAUAAAAUAAAGAAAUCACCUUCGUGUAGCGUUGCAUGUCUUAAUUUCUGGCGAUCAAAGAAACUCAGAAUGGCUCGAAAAGUUAAAUAGACAAUUUCUCGUGAAUUAUGACAAGCAAAUUAUUGUAGUUUAAGAAUAUUAAAGAAACAAUUACUUAAAAAAAUUCACCAAACAAUUUUUUCUCAUACAAAAAAUCAUAAGCCGUCAACAAUCACAAGUAGAUUAGGCAAAUUCCUUGUGUAAAGGAUUUUGUUUACCAUUCCCUCACAUAUCUCUACUAGUCAUUCAUUUAUAGGGAAAAAAAUCUGUCAAAUGAUAUUCACAAUGGCACUUUUCGGGUACUUUUUUGCCAUUCCCUCUCGUCCAAUUUUUUUCGCCACUCUUCAAAUUGGGGGAAGAAGACAAUCCCGAACUAGAGAACUAACAAAAUUCCACAAGGAUGAGUUUGCACGUUGAUAGAAAAAUGUGUGGUAGUGAUAGGUGUUAUAAUAUGACCCAAAUUCUAGUAAGUAUAAGAAUUGUAUUUGAAGUGGCCUUGGAAAGAUCAAACUUAUGGAUUGAGAAAAUUAUCACAACAUUUUUGCUAGUCUGUUGCUAACUGCCUGCUUGAGCAACACUAGUAGAUUCUCAACAGAAAGUUCUCGCCCGCCUGCAGCUUGAGCUACAGCCUUUCCCGAGUAUUCGCUUUUUAACGUGUCUUGGACUUUUAUUUAUCUACAACUUGGUUUCUAAGCUUUGAUAUAUAUAAGUCACGGCUCGUAUUGAUUGAUAACAUUCAUACCACAUCUUUAGAGUUUUAGAUUUUGGUUGAGAGUAUUGAGAUCUUGUUAUAAACACAAUUGCUAUUGAUUAUAGAGAAUUUCUCCCCCUCUGUCAUAAUCUUCUGGUCAAAUUCACAAUAAGUGGUGUCGGAACGAUGAUUGAUUAUUUCGCAUGGCAGUGAUGAAAUUUGAUAUUCCAUUAUUGGAUCGAAACACGAAAUUUACUUUAUGGUAAGUAAAGAUGCGAGCAGUUCUCUAGCAAAUGGGUUUGAAGUAAGCCUUGCUUGGAUUUGAUAAGAUGCUUUCAACUCGGAGGUAGAAUGUAAAGCAGCAUAGGGAUCGGAAAGCCUAAACCUAAAUUUAUCUAUCAAAUCGAAUUCAUCGGGAUGUUCUCAAGGAGAAAAGUGUCAUUGCGUUGUGGUUAAAGUUAGAGUAACUUUGUAUGACAAAGAGCUUGACUAGCAAGCUACACUUGAAACAACACGUGUAUUCUCAUAAAAUGUCUAAAGUGGUCAUUGGAUGAUCACUUGACUACGUUCAAAGAAAUCGUGGCCGAUUUGGAUAUAUUGGAGGUUAAGUAUGACGAGUAGGACAUAGCGUUGAUGUUUUUGUUUUCAUUGUUGUCAUCACAGGUGACUUCUAGAAAUACUAUUCUCUAUAGUCGGGAUACUUUCAUUGUGAAAGAGAUUUAUGAUGCUUUGUUAUCUGAGGAGAAUAUGAGGCAUCUAACAUUCUUAUUGAAUGUAUAGUGGACGAGAAUUCAACUUUCGUUUCUUCCUUAAUAUUACCUAAAUUAUACAUUACACAAUACCAAAAAACACAACACAACAUAAUAUACCGAUGUUUUUAUCUAAGCAGCAAUGAAUUGCAUGACCAUAAAGCAAGAAACUAGACGAAGAGAAAAAGGGACAUUGUAUCAAUUUGAGUAUUGCUGGGUAAUGAUUUAUUGCUCAACGGCUUAAUUCACUAAACUGGAAGCAUUGCAUAAUAAGGCUAUGGAGUCGGUUGAAUCUGAUCCCCACAUUUGGUCCUCAGGUGGCGCAACCUGUAUGGGUGGCUGGCAAGGCUGAGGAGGAAUUUGCAGAGUCUCAACUUCACUUUCAAGCAUUUCCAUUACUUUACUCAUUGAAGGACGAUCCAACGGAUUCAUCUGUAUGCACCAUAAUGCAACUAUUGUCAUCUUUCUAGUAAUCUUCAUUUCUUCACAGCCUGAUUCAUCAGCAUCUCCAAUUUCAAGAUCCUUACCCUCGUUGAAACGAUCAUAUAUCCAAUCGGGAAAGUAUUGGCUAGAAAGUUCCGUAUUUUGUAUCAAGUCUCUCGUUAGACCUAACAUUUCCAUCAACAACAUUCCGAAGCUAUAAACAUCUGCCUUGUGCGAGACAGCCCCAAUGCCUCUGUUGAUCAAUUCAGGAGCUACAUAACCAAUUGUACCUCGUGCAGCAGUAAUAGUCACAAUACUAUUUCCAGUCGGGUAAGAUCUGGCUAGCCCGAAAUCAGAAAUUUUAGGAGUGAAGUUAUCAUCGAGAAGUAUGUUGUGUGGCUUGAUAUCGAAAUGCAGAAUUCGCAUGUCACAACCUCGAUGCAAAUACUCAAUCCCUCGAGCAACUCCAAGUGUAAUCGCAUGCUUUUUCUCCCAAGUUAAUGAAUGAGUCCCACCUUGCUGACAAGAGAUGUACUUCUCAAGUGAACCAUUAGGCAUGAAGUCAUAUAAAAGAGCACACUUGGACAUAUCUGCACAAUAACCAACAAGUCGAACUAUAUUGACGUGAUGAAUUCUUCCGGUAGUGGUAACUUCAUUGAUAAAAUCUUGUCCAUUUGAUUUAUUUUUGCCCAGUAUUUUCACUGCUACAUCCCUUCCACUUCGAAGCUUUCCUUUGUAAACUGAACCAUAGCCUCCUUCACCUAUUUUUUCCCGAAAACUUUUGGUCAUUUUCUUUAUUUCUGAAUACGAGUAACUGAUGGGCAUCAGGUUAUUCUGACUGCGUAGAAAGUCUUCUAUUGCUUUAAACAUUGAUAUGUGUCUUCUUCUCAGUUUAUAGACAAGUAACACGAGCACGAAUGGAAUUGCAAUUAAGAUCCUUAGUAAAAGGUUGAUUGCUGUUCAUUUAGAAACGAGAAGAACAAUUAGAAUAUUAUUUUGCAAAGACAUAAUACUACCAGGAAUUCUUUCUUUGCCUGGCACAUGAAAAAGCUGAGCUAUUUUGCAUUUAGGCUGUUUUUGAGCCCCAUUUAUAUGUAGAACAGGUUUUAUAAUAGUAAUUUUUUGGAGAAUGUGUUAUAAAAAGUAGAAAAAAUUUUAUGUUUACGUGUAAAAUUAUUUUAUUAAGAAAAUGUGCGUUUAAAAAUGAGUUUUUAUAGCAUGAAUACUCAUAUGCAGGUAGAAAAAUAUGACUGAAGUUAAGAAAAAAUGGGACAGAAAUUCUUGCAUGAAAAUGAACCCGAAGUAGAAAUGGUUCUAAAAUAAUAUUUUUAAUUUAAAAUUUUCAUAAAAGUUGGCAUUGAGAUUGUGGAAAUGAAAUCUUUCUAAAGUGGUUGAGUUUUAGAACCUUUGUUCAUUGAAUUGCUGAUUUGAAGUAUACAAAAAGCAAGUAAUUUACCUCACAAGAUUUAGAAAUUCUUCAUUUAAGAUACAAAUUUCUAUAUUGUAAUGUCAAAUGACAACUCAGUGUAAAAUGGAUAAAGCUUACCCGUGAUCAGCGGGAGUAAUUUGGAAAACCCUGCAAGUUAACCAUUAAUCCAAUAAGAAGGAAUGCAAGAAAUAUAUAACAAGCUCUGAGUGCCUGUUUGGCUGAACUUAAAAAGUUCAUUUAUAACUAAAUAAAUAAAUUUAAAGUAAAUUACUUUUUAUUGAUUAAAAUCGAAAUGAAGUAUGUUACUUAUUUGAAAGUAAGCUGCAAGUUACUUCUAAAAUAAGGAACUUUUUUUAACUUACCCAAACAUGAUUGAGAAACAAAUAUUACUUAAUAAUACAAUAUUUCAUCUGAAUAAUAUUCAUAUAAGUGUAUUUGCAUGUGCGGGUACAUUUCAUAAAGAUUUCACAAUUUAUAAUAAAGAUACACAUCAAUAUUAACAAGUGUAUAUACCUUGUUUUUGUUAUUUUCCAUUCAAAUUCUACAAUAUGAAAUUCAAGAUAAUUUUUGAAUUAAUUUAUAAAGAACAACAUAAUCUGCUUCAUUAAUACGACCUAUGAAGUAACAAAUGUGUUCUGUGAAAAUGAAAUGCACUGCAAUGUGCAUAAGUUUUUCAAAUAUUGCAAGACAAUUUCUUAUAAACGUUUUUGCAGUUAGAGGAUUAAAAUACUGUAACCUAAAUGGAGUUAAAGAAAAGAGAAUGUGAAAGGGUCCUUACCAUAAAUCACAUAAAUCAUGUAGUUAAUCGAGAAACCUACAUUGCCAACAACCAAACAUCGUCAGAAAAAAAUUUAAAGAAACAUUUCAAAUGUAAGGACGUUGAAGUCGAAUUAUAUUUAACUAGGGAAAAGUAUGAUUUGUAAAUUGUUGCAAGACCAAUAUAUAUGUUAUUUAUAUAUGGUGAGAUGUUACGACCUCUACACUUUAAUAAAUCAUCAGAAAAAGGAAUAUUGGGUGAUGAAUACAAGUGUCUUCUUAAUUAUUAAUUGUUACUGUGACAUUAUUUAUUUAUUUUUUUUUACAGCAUUUGGACAUCUCUAUUUUACCUUCUAUAUACAUUUGUUUCUCUAGGCAAACUUGACCCACACAUGACACAUCCAUUAUCAGUAUUUGAUUUAGAAGAAAACAGGCCAGCGCACCCGUCAAGUCUUACCGGAGCAGAAGUGUGCAGACCCCCUCGUAAAAGAACAAAUGUUGCAAUCUUUUUCCUUUUUGCAACGGCUAAUCGUCGCAGUGAACCAUGAAAGCUCAAAUCCAUAUAGCAGAGAGCUAUGGAUGUCUGAAAGUGAAAGAUGAUUGACAUCCUUAAAUGGCCACGAUGUCAUCACUAUGAGAUCUAUACUGCACAUAUCCCUUACAUCUGACGCAUUCAAAUUGCCAACGUUAACAUACGUGUAUCUUCUGGUGGAAUCAUUUGAAUCAAAGACCCUGUUGCCACAAUGAGCAGUUUCCAAAAAGAAAGAAGAAUUUACGGGAUAUGGGCAGCUCAUAAAAGUAAUUGGCGAGUUUAAUUUAUUCAAGGAUCGAUAGGUUGAGUUGUAGGCGUAAAUGCUAUAAGGAUAAUUUUUAGAGAGGUUGUAUCGAAACAUAGAAUACUGAGGAAAAGAGCAAGUAUCAUUUUUUAAGGCAGCAUCAACCAGAUGAAUAGUGAAAUUAUGGUAAUUGAUGGAUUUCACAUGGUACCUGUGGGAAUUUAGAUAAAGUGAGGCUGUAUUGUUUUCACAAACUAGUUCAUAACUGGAAUCACCACAUCUUUUUGGAUCCCCUUUUAAUCGGAAAGGAUAGCUGAUGUUAUGAAUCCUGCCACAGGCAGAAGGGUUGCAUUGGGGAUUACGGUUUGCGCAGGAUAUUUGAAGUAAUUGUAGUAGGAUCAGGACAGAUAAACAUUCAAGGAGGAAGGUUUCACUAAGCAUGAUUUUCGAUUACUAGGCAAUGAAUUGUGAGUGAGGAUGGAUAGUACUAAGGGAAGCGUAUUGCAAGGGAAAGACUAGUCUUUUCCAUCGAGUGUGAAUGCUCAAGUCUUCCUUCCAUGGGCAUGAGAUAUAGUCAAACUUGGCAACUGCAAUUUGUAACCGUAUCAACCUUCUGUGACACUUCCUGCAGAUAAAUUACUAAAGUUGUCAAUUCAUCUUGAUUUUAGAACGAGUCUCUAGAGAAUAGUCCAAUUCAAUAGCCACAACCUCGUGACAACUCUUACAUAAGUGAGUCUUCCAAAGAUGCGUGUGACCCACACCUCGCAAGAAUACUUGCCUCAAUACUCAUUCAUGGAUAAACCUUUCAAAAGAUCACAUUAUUACUAGCACAUCACUAUAGAAAUGAGCUCAAAUAAAAUAGUGCUAUUACAAGUGAUGCAGUAUGGGUUAUUUCUACCACAUUGAACCAUUUUCAUGAGAUCUUCAACAAAGGUUGGAUUACUCCCGAAUGUGAUUCACUUAGGGCUUUAAACCAUCCCCCUCAAUGAUUUAUUGUGUCCAUUGCGGACUAUAAUCAUGUCCCUCUUAGACAAUAAUUUUGUACCAUAAUAUUUUCGAGCUCUUAUUCUCUGCCUGCACAUCUACACAUCUGCAAAAUCUUCUAAAAAUAUUUCAAAAUAUCAAAGUCACUUUAAGUAUAAUAAGAUAAACACAUGAAAUUUAAAAUUAAACACAUGAAAUUUAAAAUUGACUUAUAGUCAUGUUUGAAUAUGUGCAUCCAUUCAACUCUUAUGUUUCACCUGUAUGUCUCCAAUUUCGUUUCUAACAAUUUUCAAAAGUCAGUUUUACACAAAGAAUAAUAAAUAUAAGGUCUAUUUUAUUUGAAAUUUUUAAAUACCCCACAUUCCAAAAGAUAUUUGGCUUGUAGAGCUUUUUUUAAUAUAACAAAAUUACAAGUCAUAAUAGUUCUCCUUUUUCAAUGGACCGAAAUUCUUAAUGCUUAUUAUAUGCAUUAACCACCAAUACACUUAUUGAGACAUCAUAGUGCGCCCCCAGGGCACAUCUCCAAGUGGUAAAAGGGGAGGGUGGAGAAAUCUAGCUUUGCUUGAGGCUGCUGCGUCAAGGGUUCGAAUCCUGAAAUAUAGAUUUGGCUCUUGGGUAAGUGCAAGUGUACAAGCAGCCUUUCACCCUGUACCCUUGGAGGCAUAACCUGCGAUUUACCUCCCUCACGAUGCUCCAGGGUAGGGGUGGUGGGGGACCCUUAAGGUUAGGGUUUAACCUUUAUUUUUUUUUGAGACAUCAUAGUGCUAUAGAAACUAGAAACAAUACCAAAAUCGGUCUGUAAGUCAAAUAUCUACCAUUUUUUUUUCACUUUCUAAAAUUGUCCUAUAAUAACAUAUUUUUAUAUUUUUUGUUAAUUAGCCAAGGAUUGACUAGAGUAGAAAAAUCAAUACAUAAAUAAUUCUACACAUUACAUUAUGGACUUGCAUGUAACAUCGCUUAAAUACAAUAACUAAUAGCUACUAUUGUAUCAUUAACCACACAUUAAAUUUGCCUUUAACUUGUAGUUCUAAAUUUUAUUUUGAGUUAAAUGUACCCCUUCACUUUACUCCAAGAAAAUAUAGUAUACAAUAUUAUAACCUUAAUUAUUAAGUGUCGAUUACAAAAUUUUAUACUAAUAUGAAACUUCUCUUUGAAACAUUUGCUCAUAACUUUUAUUACCAAUAGAUUAAAAUUAAACAAAUAAAAUUUGAAAUGAAUAGCAAUUAUGUUCUAACAUAAUUUGUUCAAAAAGUUUCUAUUCCCACAUAUAUGCACGUAGGUACUUUCAGAACAUCAUUAGCAAACUUAUGUCAUGAUCAAUUAUUGACAAAAAAUAAUUGCAAAACUGAUGUACGUGCGCAAAUAUUAAUGACUGCGUAAAAAUCACAUAAUUUUACCUGCAGCUUGGAAAAUAUAUUUCCUUUAGUGGUCAUCAAGGAACAACUUGUAUUCAAUAAUGACAGUGUUUAAGAGAACAUAUGUGCACAUAUUUACCUCAUAUAUUGCAAAAAAUUAAUUGUUUGCUCCAUCUUUUAUCAUAAGAAAUUGUUCAUAUCACUAUCGAGCUAUGAAAGGACGCCAAUCAAUACCCAUAACCUUCCUAGAUGAAGAAAAGCCAUCAUUUCUUUUCUUAAUUUCUCAAACCACAAAGGUAUUUCCCUAUCUCAUUCGUGCUAUGUUUUAAGAUAUAUGUUUCAAUUUCUAACAGCUUGUAAAGAAAACUCCUGCAUUGUGAUAUAUCGACCAUAGCAUUUAACUAUUUAGCAGUUAUUUUAUUUAUUUAUUAAAAUCUCACUGAUGAAAGAAUAGGAAAGAAUUGAACAAGGCAUGAUGCUCAUCAACUCUUCAACCAUAAGCAUGUAGAAUAUUAAGGUGCACAUGGAAUUUAGCCUCCUGUGAUCAUUUCACAAAUACAGAAGCAAGCACUUCAAUUAUGUUUGAAUGUCUAACCUAUUUCAACUACACAAGGACUUAUUAUUAUGUAUGUAAGUAAUCAUCCAGCUUUAGAAUUAAUCCGAUAACCACAUCAGAAGUUAAUAACCAAAGUUUAGGAUCCUAAAAGAUACAAAGAAAUAAUUCAUGGGAAGCAAGCAGAAAAUCAUAGUGAAAUUCAAACACCUUCUAGCUAAUCCCAUUUUCAAAAUGAUCGAGGACGCAAUUAAUUUUUUAUUUUUACAAGUACUUAAUUAAUGUUAAAUGAUACGUUGUAGAUUUCAAUGACCUUUAAUUUUCCAGAGAAUUUUUAAUUAAGGAAGGAUAAGCAAUCGGCCGAAUGAUUAAUAGUUCCAACUUUUAAUCGUAUAAACUAAUUUUCUCACUUUCAUUCGGGUAUUAUCAGUCAAUUGAAUGUCACAGAGUUACAUAAAAAGGAUUAGACGAAAGGCUCAUCAUAGUCAAAUAAAUUUCGAUAUGACAAUGGAUUGCCCGGGAUUCGAACCCAGAACUAGUCGGAUGAAGUAGAUAAUUCCUGCAUCUAGGACUGUACAACGGGCAUCAACUCUGAAAUUUAAUGAUGUUUGAUAGAUCAACAUUAAUUAUAGUGGGAGUGCACAUGUUAUAACUCGUAUCAUCGUUUCAGCACCAUUAAGUUGCUGGCCUAAUUGUUUAUUUCAGCCACUAUAGAAAUUAUUAAAUCUGCAGUAGCACUUUAGGAAAAAUAUCAAGUUGCCAAAACUAUAGAAAUAUAGUAUGAAAUAUAAAGGGAGUAUUUACAUGUUUUGAAGUUGUAUCCUUUUAUGAUGCACCUACAAAAUGAAAUCACCAUCCCUAUUAUAUGGAAAAACCAACCCCCACUACAAAAAAAAGGGGCUCCAGCGACCAACCUUUUAGCAACCAUAAAAAAGUGGUCGCUAUAAUAUACUUUCACCGACCACAGACUGGUUGGUGAAGGGCGAUGGUCUGCUAAAAUUGAACUAUUUUUUUGGAACUUUUUUGCGACCAUUGUGUGGUCGCUGGUUAUCAUUUUUAGCAACCACCAAAUGUUGGUCACUGAAUAAUCGGUUGUUGCAUAUUCAGCGACCAAGGAAUGGUCGCUGGUUGAAUGUUCUAGCGAGUAAAUUUUGUUAAUCGCUGAAAAAAUUGGCGCAAUUACUCCCAUUUGUUUUUUCCACGUUUUUUAGCUUCGUCAUCGACCAAAGAAUAUGGUUGCUGAUUAGUACAAUGUUCCAGCGACCAUAGAAUGGUCGUUAGUUGUGUAACUUCUAGCAACCAAAUUUAUUUGGCAGCUGGAACACCUGGUACCGUCGCUCCCACUUAUUUUUUCAACAUUUUGACUUUUAUAGCGACCAAAUUCAUUGGUCCUUGAUUAGUCCAAGGUUUUAGCAACCAAAUGGUGGUCGCUAAAAUAUGCCUUUCGGCAACCAAAUUUUCUUGGUCUCUGGAACACUUGGCGCCAAUCACUCCCGCUUGUUCUAUUCAACAUUUUGACUUCCAUAGCGACCAAAUUCGUUGGUUGAUGAUUAGUCCAAGGUUUUAGCGACCAAAUUCGUUGGUCGCUGAUUAGUCCAAGGUUUCAGUGACCAAACAUUGGUCAUUGGUGUACGUCUUUCAAUGACCAAAUUUACUUGUCGCUAGAACACUUGGGGCCAUCACUCCCGCCUAUUUUUUUCAACUUUUUGACUUUUAUAGCGAUCAUAUAUUGGUCGCUGGUGUAUAUCUUUCAUCUACCAAAUUUUUUGGUUGCUGGAAUAUUUGACGCCAUUAUUUCGACUUUUUUUUUUUCUCAACUUUUUUGACUUCUAUAGUGACCAACUUUCAUGGUCGCUAAUUAGUAAAUGAUUUUGGCGACCAUAAUUGACCAUACUAUGCUUGCUAGAACACUUUUUUUUAAAAAAAAAAUUUAAAGGAGAGUGGUACCUUCGAAAUUUUAUUAAUUUGCCCUUACUUGUGGCGAAGGAUAGCAUGGUUACAUAUGAAAAUAAUGAAAGUAGUAAAUGAGGAAGACUACUUCCCUUACAAUAAAAGUAAAUGUUAAAGAACAAAUGUAAAACAACAAAAGUGAAAGUACUACGUCCUUUACAAUAAGAUCUAAUGCAAUUAAAGAAAAAAAAAGAAUAAAUUAAAAAUAAAAAUAAAAUUCAUAUUCUAAUGAUGGGCAGUCCAUGUUUAUCUAUCUUGUUUGAAUCUCUCCCUAACAAGCUCUUUAUCUUCAGAAUCGCAUUCACGGAAAAUAGCAAAAAAGUGAAACUCUACCCAAAAAAAAAAAAGAGUGUCAUAAAGGUAUUUGUCCAAAUUUAGUGCUCUUUGUGGAAUUCUCCAAAUUUUUAACCACAAAGAUGAGGCUACAAGGCCCGCCUAAUUCCGCUACACCAUAUAAACCUAGUAACUAAGACCCUAAUCAGUUCCUCCUUCACAUUUCUGUCUCGUUCAAUAGAGACGCAAGAACAAUGGGUAAACCAUUUCUCUCUUCCUCUCUCACUAUAAAUCACUGAUCAAUACAUAUAUUACGCGUAUUCACUUUGUAUGUAGAUUAUUUGAUUGGUUGCAAUAAAUUCACAGGGGCAUAAUUGUGAGUCUUCUAUGGUUUAUAUAUUUUACACUGAAUAAAUAUGCGAAACAAUUAUAGAUUUCUAUCUAUUUUCCUCUGUGGUGUAUUCGUCUUGUUGCAUUGAAUUUUUGGUAAUUAUGGGAUUUUGUAAUUUCUUCUAUCUAGCUUGCCAAAAAAUUGAUGAACAUAAUUUCCUAUAGGUAUUGAUGACUUUUAUGAGUAUGAAAUUGAAUGUCUAAAAUCCAGUUUAGUAAUGUUAAUUUUCUUUUAUAUGUCCCCAACAUACUCCAAUUUUGCCUUGGUGAUUUUUGAUUGUUAACUUCUAUCGCUACAGAUCUCAGAUUUUCAGAAAGUUUUGGAGUUGCAGCUGCAAGACUAGUAAAAUGCAUUGUAUAUAUCUGGGAACAUCAGCUAAGUCAUUAUUAUAGUGUAAAAAUUAGUUUUCAAUUAUUUGUCAUUUUUAAUCUUACUCGUUUAUCAGGUUAAGAAUUAAUUCUGACAGCAUUGGAAUCUAUCGUUGUAGAGAUCAGUCAUAUUCUUAGUGUAGUUGUUUGCCUUAAGUCACGUAAGAGAUGGUGUGCCCUUGUUUACUUAAGCCAUUUAGUUAAGUUGUUGCAAAUAACAGAGAAAAAAGAAAGGUUAGACUUCCCCAGCCUACAAGAAAUGCUACUGUUAAGGUUAAGUUUAGAAUUGAAAGCAUGUUUGAAAAACAUUUAUAAAUGGUUUUAUUUAUAAUAUAUAGAAAUGACUUGUGGUUUUAUUUAUAAACUGAAAGCAUGUUUGGGAAGCAUUUCUAAAUAAUGCUGCCCUUUUCAUUUUCUAUUGAUCUCAUUUUUCUUCCGUUUUGCUUAUAAGCCAUUUGUGGCAUUUACUAGGUAUGGUUUGAAAUGGGGCUUAAAUGAUUUUUAUGAGUGAAGUCAGUUGGCUCUGCCGGUGUAUGGUUUUUACUGUUCUUAGUUUCUUGUUCGGUUAAAUGAUUAAUUCUUUGUUUGGUUAAGGGGAUUUAAUCAAUAUUUUUCUUUUUAGAUCUUGGCAUUGAAAUAGGACUUGUGUAUUUCUUGGAUGCACUGACUUAUGAGAGGAUAUGCCUUUUUAAUGUCAGUCAUGAUGAAGUAAUUAGGAUGUUAUUCUACAGUAAAAAUAAUGAUUCACUCAUCACCUUUUCAGUUUAUGCUUCAGAUAAUUUUAGUUCCUUGAAAUGUAGUACCACAAGAAUUGAGUAUGGGUUUUGCAUCAUUUGUAAAUGAUUUCUAUUCAUCCUUGCACCAUUUUUCUCAUGCAUGUCGCAAACUAUUUCAGAUGCCUACGAAGGGGCGAACCAAAUGCUGGUUUUCCUCUCUUUGAGACAGAAUCGUCAAAAUGGCCAAGUUUUGUUGAGUUUGAUGACGUAAUUGGGAAGGUUCUUACUUAUUUUGCACAAGAUAGGUAAAUCUUAAAAAUCCACACUGUGUUGUCAUAAGAGUGCUAUAGUUUGUUGAUAUAUGUAUGUUUUCUUUUGGUGUCAGCAUAUACAAGGUGUUUGACUCAAAAAAUUAUACGAUGCUGUACUCCAUCUCGGAUAAAAAUGUUCAAGAGAUUAAGAUCAGGUAAAUUUUAUAUUAAUGUUAAUCCAUACAUUUACUGGCUUCAAUUUAUACAUCUAGUAUAAUAGACAUUUGAAAUGCUUUCAAACGGUAGUUUAAGUAUGAUUUAUGAUAGGUAAAUCUUAAAAAUCCACAUAAUAAUUAAUUACUUGUGUUCAAGCUAGUCCAAUGCUCUGAGGUAAAGCUUUUAUUUCAGCUCCUAGUGCAAGCUCAAGGUCCGAAACUUUAUCAUGAAGCCUGUCCUUUACAAUGCUGAACUUAUAUCUUGUUUUACCUGUUGAAAAUGUCACUUGUGUCAUCAUUUUCGAUAUAGUACCAGCUUAGUAGUUGUAUAUUUACAUGGUCAGGAGAAUUUUAAUGUUCAAUUUGGCAUUUAAUUAUAUCAAUUGCAGAUAAUCAAGGGAAGGUGUUUUGCAACUUACUUGAGAUGCUUUAAACUUUACUUAUAGGUUGAAAUCUAGUCUUCUUGAAAAAACUAACGAUUUGCUACAGUUUUUGUAUUUAAAUUUAAUUUUCCAGAGAUUGUUAUCGUCCACAUUAAGGUUGGCUCCCAAGGUUGGACUUCAUGUUGUUACUCUGAUUAACUAUUUUGUCAGUUCAGGAGGGUAACAUUCAUGCAAGAUACCAUGUUCAUCCUUCUUUAAAUGCUCAUACAAAUGUCACAAAAAAAGAAAGUCGAAGCACAUAUCACUUACUAUUCAUCCAAACUACAGCAAAUGGAAGCCCAUCUCCUCAUGGGCAAGGACAGCACUCCAAUGAAUUACACAUUCAUGUCUCAACACCCUUUAUUGCUCAAUCUGAUGUAAAUAGGUUCACAACUCAUUCUAGGUUGAAGUUAGAAUUUAUUUUUUUGUGGUAAAAUAUUAGACAUUUUGGGUUAUGUAUUGACUAUUAGUACUUGUUAUAUGUGCAAUACAAUCUUAUUUCUGUAGCGAAAUGUUUUUUGUUAAUUUUAAUUUUUCCUGAUUCUUAAAAUAGCUAAUUAUCAACUGUCUUUGUGGUUAUUGAAAAUUGAAACAAUAGACAAAAUAUUAGCAGGAACAAAUAAUAUUGGCUAUUAAAAGAUUAAUGUUCACUGACCAAAGAUUUGUUGUAAAUGAAUGUAAAUUAACCAAUUUUAAAAUAUUAUCAGCUGCAAAAUUGGUUUCCUUUACCGACCACAGUUUGGCAGCUAGUUGCAUUACAUUACAUUACCUUGAACCUUUUACUAACCACGGAUUGAUCGCUGUGCGAUGAAUAUAGCGACCACAGUUACUUGGUCGCUAGAGGUCUUGUAUUAGCGACCAACACUUUUCACCUUGACCAGCCACCAUGAUUGAAUCUUUUAGCGAUCAAACUAGUGGUCGCUGUAAGUAUUUUCACCUUUAACAGCCACCACGAUUGAACCUUUCAACAACCAAUUAUUGGUCGCUGCAAGGUAUAGAUGCAACAACCACACUUUAUUGGUCGCUGAAGAGCUUCACCGACCAGUCAACGACCACAAAUAUUUGGUCGCUAGAGUCCUUUACCGACCAAAAAAAGACCUUUAGCGACCAACAUUUUUGGUCGUUGGACCCUUUUUUUUUUUUUUUUUAGUGCCCCACAAUAGUGUAAAAUUAAUUAAUUCAUAAUCUCCUUUCAAAUAUUUAAGCAUAUGUUAUAUUAGAGAUUAAGAUUUUAAUUAACCAAAACUGAAAAUUAAAAUGUAAUAAUUUUGAAAGUUGAAACUUAAUAUACUUCCAACAACUUUUUGUUUCCCAGCAGUUAUUUGAAAUACAUGUUGCUCAAGUGACUUGAUCAAAACAAAAUUUCUAAUGUAAGAUUCAGAUUGAUAAGAGAGGAAGGUGAUGAAAAUAGAUGACUUUGAAGAUCAUAAUGUUCAUCUUUAUCAACUUCAGAUUGCACUUAUCAAGGCUUACUAUUCUUAUUCUAUUACAUGUAAAUUGAGUGGUUAUUUACUUAAUUUAGGUAAAUAAUUUUCAUUAUUGAAAAUCCCAACUCAAAUAUAAUUAGUGUGAAAAAAUUUAUUUGGAGCUCAAUUGGAGUUGAUUCAAGCAAUUGAAAAUUAAUUGGAUUACAAUUGAUCAACUGGAAGCAUCAAUGGAGCAAUCAAUAAAAAUUCAUUAAUUUCAAGAGUUAAAUUCAACAUUUAGAAAGAUUAAGGACUAAAUUGAAAACGUUCAAAACUCGCAUUUGGUCAACUGUUAAUGAUUUUACAAUGAAGAGGACUUAAUUUUGAAGAUCUGGAGAUGAAGGAUUAAAAUUGCAAGUAAAAAUGACUACAAUUGAAAAGGGAAUUGUUUCCAUUUUCUUCUCAAACUACGUUCAGAAACCAAUUUAAACCAGAAUUUUGACCUAAAUACAUGACUUGGUCCAAAUAUUGUAAGUGGGGUUAUGGGGAUUCGUUAUAUACAACUCAUACAAGGUAAAGGAGCUUAUUGGAACACAAAAGCCAUAUCAAUUACAAAGAAAAGAGAAUCCAAAAAUGAGAGGAAAAAAAUAAUCAAGAACAAGAUCAUCAUUUUUUUUCCCUUUUUCAUUAAAAUUCAGCGGUUUACUUUAAUUUCUUCUAGUUUUAUUCUUCUCCCAUUAUGUUUGAUUAAGUAAUUAGUUAGAACGAAUGAUUGAAACCUAGCUUUUGAACCUUAAUUUUAAUUAUAAAAUUUUAAUCUUCAAUUGAUGUUGUAAAUUGUUUUUACUUCUAUGCUUAAUUGCUUGGAUUAAUUGACAACUAAUUUAUUGCUUUGUGAGCCAUAAUUACGCUGAGAGUAUAAUUAUUUUCUUAUACCGUGUAGUAAAAGCCUAAUUUAAAUAAAAAGGUAAAGAUACACUUUUAUGAUUAUCUUGGUCAUUAAAUGAAUUUUUUUGGUAAUUGAAUGCUCUUGAUUAAGACUUAUUGGGUUCAUAUGGAAAUAUGCCAGUUCACUUACUUGUAUAGAAUUGGUUUAAAUUAACUUGAGAGAGAUAAAACAAUUAAUUUGGAAGAAUUCUAGAUAGACAUAAGCACUUGUUAUGAAUAACGGGAUAGCUAUGGUGAAUUCUUGAAUCCAAACUCUUUAAUCAUCAUAUUGAAUUAUAGCUACUUCAAUUAGUCAUCAAUCGAAUUUAAUUGAUGAAUAGUUGAACCAACGGUUAUAUAAAGGUCUUCAUAGAAAUGACAAUCUGGACUCUUAGGUCUAUUUAUUACUUGCUAUGAUUCAUAUACUUGCGGAAUAUAAAAACAACAAUAAGUUUUGGCAUCGGUGUCGAUGACUAUUUUAUUUAAUAUUGAUUUUAAUUAUUUCGGCUUUUGUUUGAUUUUUUUUUUCCCUUUGUUGUUUUUUAGCUGACCCACUUGAUUUUCUUUGUCUCAUUAACACGAAACGAAAAGUAGCAAGAGACUAGCAAUAAUAUGCAAUGAUUGACCCCAACAUUGAUGUUGAUGACGCUUGUAGGAGAUAUAUGCACCAUGAAGGGAUAUAUGUACUUGUCGAACUUUAGUGACUUGCCAGUGCCAUUAUUUAUCCAAUUGACUGUUGAUGAGGAUAUAAUGCUGACUUGUGAAUAUUGUGAGGUUUAUAUAUCAUACAAAAAAUUACUUCUUCUUCGCCAGUCAAGAGGAAGUAAAAUUAGAUUUUAAGAAUGAUCCAUCUUUCCAGUAUGAUCUAUGGAAGAAGACGACGAUGUUGACAUGCUUAUGGGAGAUGGCUUCACCAGUAUAAAUAAAAAUUAUUGAAGCUCAAAUAAAUCUCAAUUAAAUCAAAUAACAUGCUUAUGGAAGAUCUUUUUGUCAUUCAAUUCGAGGAGUAAACAAUUAAAGAAGAAGAACAUAUAGAGAUGGAGAAAUUAAUCAUGAUGGAGCCAAUAAAAUCAAUGACAUUCAAAGAAGAUGAAAUUAACAUGUAAAAAUAUCUUAGUCGAGUUCGAAUUGGAUAAUUUUGUAAGUCAUACCACAUAUUAAAGAGGGAAAAGUAAGAUUUUAAAGAAUAUGCAAGGUGUGGUGCAAAGACAAUCUAUACAAGUUAAACAAGAUCUCAAAGGCUCUAUUUAAAGUGCUGUGAAAAAUCAUAGCCCAAAGUGGAGUUUGAGACUAAAUCAAGAACAAAUGGAACUUUGUAAUUUUAUAUUACAAUAUUACUUAUAGAAAAUAUAAUUUCAUAAUACCUGUUUGACACACUAAAAGUGCAGCCCAAAUUGAAUAGCCAAAGGAAUGAAACCCAAUUGAGGAAUCCCCAAAUCAAAUAGCCCAAAGAAUGAAACUCAACUGGGCAAUUCAGGAUAAAGGCCCAGAUAGAGUUAUUAAUGAAUGUAGUGGAAGCCCACGAACACAGUAACAUCAUCGCCCAAGCUUGCAAGACGCUCAAGAUCUGAGCGAAUGAAGUGCCUUACAGUCGCCCAGAGCUAUGACCCUGUUCUCACCCAAACCUUCGAAUCGCCCAGGAUUUUAGCAAACAUAAGAUGUUAUGAUUAUCCAAAAGUACAGUUAUUGAAGCAAUUAUCGAGUAACCUUAUCACGUUCCACGAUUUAAGGAGUUCAGUUGAAGAUGGUUGAACGACAAAUAGUAGUGACAACAGUUAGAGACGGCAGUUCCACGACAAGUUAGCCACCAUAAAGAAAGUGGGUAGUUAUAAAGCAAUCAAGCAGUUUCUAAGCGGUUGAUCACGAAGAAAUCAUCAAGGGAAUAUAAAAGGAAGAGAAGACAUAGAGCAAAGGACCUCGAAUCAAACACUCUUAGACAGAGAAUAUGUAAUUUUAAUUUCUUAGUUUAGACUUAAACAUUUCUUUUCAGUACUCGUGUGCUUGUGCCCCUUGGAGGCAUUUUGUUUAGUUCCAAUUGUAAAGUCAUCACCAAUAAAACAUCCCUUUUUGGGACUUUGUCUCAAGAGGUUUGUUCCUUACACAAUCGUCUAAUCCCUUUUCAAUUGUUAGCGACUACCCGCGCGAAACAAUUUGGCACGCCUAGUGGGACCUUGGUGUUUGGUGUUGGAGAUACAAAAGGUGAAACAAUAUGCCUCAGAAAUCUGAUAAGGAAGCAAGUCAGGGAGGAGUCCAGUCUGUGAUCGAGCGAUAUGAGGAGUAGCAUAGCUCUCCACGAACAGAUGGAUAGAAUCAGAGCAGUCAUAGUCGUUACAAACCAAUGACAGAGUUGAGUCCUCGAACUAUGUGUGCAUUACUUGGAGAACUCACACAGGAUGUCGUUGAAUAGGUAAAUCUACGAAAUAUUCAUAAUAUGGAAAGACUUACCUAGAAUGGGAAUGCACAUUAUGAUAACAUGGCCAAACAACUGAAUACUUUGAAUGAAAUAAUGAAUAAGUUAGUAGGCCAAAUUUAUCAGCUAGUUGUGCCUCUUGCAAAUCACUUCCAAACUAGGACAAUUGUGGGACAUAAUCCCCCAGUCCUAAGUCCAAAUCAAGGGGUAGAAUCACCUUUUAGUUCCUCUACUUCAAGCCAGGGGAUGGUGUAAUGCCAAAUCAGAAUAGUGGCAAUGGUACAUCUAACUUGGGAGGUAACCUAAACGUAAGAGACAAUGUCCUAAAUAAUGGACAGAAUGCCCCACGUGUUAAUGAUGGAGUAAAUAUUCAGGCUAAUGGUAAUAAUGGUCCAAAUCAUGGCAACUUUGUUGCUAACCAAGGACCAAAUAUCAGGCCUCAAGCAAAUCAACCGGUCAACCAACUUGUAGGAAUUCCAUAUGACCCCAACGUCAUGUUAAGGAAUCAAAUUAUGGAAAUAAUACAGGAUCAGAUGGCUUUUGGGGUACGUCCUGUCAUUAGGCCGACUUACACAAAGCCAUAUCCUGAUUGGGUAGACCAAGCGUAUCCAUGGCUUAGAGGGUAUAAAGUGCCAGAAUUCUCACUAUUUACCGAUUUAAGAGAGAUGUCUACACUAGAACACAUAGGGCGAUUCACACUGCAAAGUGGUGACGUAACUGAUUACCAUAAAAUGAGGUUAUUCCCUAGUUCAUUAACAGGAGUAGCUUUCUCCUGAUUCAUCAAUUUGCCAGCGAACUCUGUUCAAACAUGGCAACAAUUGGAGCAAUUGUUCCACACUCAGUUUUAUAAGACCGAGUCCGAAGUUACUUUGGCCGAUUUGACGGAUCUACGUCAAAUGCCAAACGAAUGGGCAGAAGGUUUCCUUCAAAGGUUCAAGAUAGCAAGAAGUAAAUAUUUUGUAUCUUUGCCCGAAAAAGAGUUUGUCAAAAUCGCUCAAGGUUGUCUAAGCUUUGAUUUGAAAAAAGAAGUUCCAAGACAAGCAAUUUCUUGAUCUUUUCCAAUUGGCCGCGAACGUGAUUAGGUAUGAAAGAUUAAUAAGAGAAGAAGAGCAAAUGAAAAAUUCUAGCAAAGGGACUUAUUAUAGAGACCCAAAUUUUGAUGUUCAUACCAUUAAUGAUGAGUAUUACGAUCAAACCGAAAUGUGUUUGGCCGAACUAAUCAAAGUAGACACGUAUACUUAUCCUAUAAUGGCUAAGCCUAGACCGUUGGGCAAGGAUGAGCCUAUAAAAGAUGAAAACAAAAAGGCUAGAAUGUUCUCGUUCGAUGUAACCAAAGCUGACCUUAUAUUUGAUAAACUAUAUAAGGAUAAGCAGAUAAAGCUGAGCGAUAAACAUAAAUUGCCAGGCCCUGAACAAGUUAAGGGUAAAAAAUAUUGUAAGUGGCAUAAUGCAUGGUCACAUUUGACUAAAAACUGUUUGGUUUUUCGCCAUGUGUUACAGGAUGCCAUUGAAUCAGGACGAAUUACAUUCGAGGAUAAGAGGAAGAUGGCAGUGGAUGAAAACCCUUUUCCACAGCCACUUGGGGUGAACAUGGUGACGAUUGGUUUCAAAAACAAGUUGUCAAAAUUCAAGUUAGUUAUAGAUGAUGGGGAAGAGGACCCUAGACCACAUCCCAGUGUCUUUGAAUGUAUCAAAGGGAAAGAGCCUGAAAAGGAUGAAGACGUCCUGUGUGGAAGAUGUAAAAGAGAAGUGAGUGGGAAUACAGAGAAACCAGGGAUAGGGCAGCAUCACCGUCGCCCUAAUUUUUCCCCAAACGCUCAGCCUGGUAAAGGGCGAAGUACAUCGUUCUAUAGGGGACUGCCUUUUGAGAGGCAGUUCAGCCCAGUAAAUAAUGGGAGAACAUUCAGGCCGCAGCCUUGCCAACCAAAUGUAUGGCAUUCGUUCCAGUAUAAUGCAGGAAGGGCGAUACCCUUCAACGAAAUGACUAGAACCCAACAAAGGCGUUUUCAAUGGAACUAUGGACGAAUGAUGAGGCAACAACAGGGAAUGCCACGUCCUACGAUGCCUAAGCUACUCGAGGUGGCCAAUCAAAAUAUUCUCGAAGACAGUGUGGAGACCGGUAUAGGUGAAUCGAUGAAAGAAUUGCCAGAAAGUUCUUCUGGGAGGUCGAAGUUUGAGCGAGACAGAAGAGAUAGAGAAGAUCCAGAUCAGUUCCUUACUAUUUAGUUUGGUACGUUACCUCCUGUCAUGGCUAAUAACUAUUUGCUAAUCAAUGAAUUCAAGAAUAAAGAGAAAGAAGAAGAAGAGAGGAAGGAUAACGAAGAAGAAGCAUGCAUGCUGGAAUAUGAAGAAGGCCAAACUUCUAGAGGGGCUUACGAUGAUGAAGGAGAUGAUGGUAUAACGGAUAUCGAGAGGAAAUUGAUUUGGAAGCAGAAAGAAGAAAAAGAGGAGUAUCGUACAAUACUCUAUUGAAGCAACUACAACGAGAGGGAGUUUGUAAAGUGGACUUCUUGGGAGAGCCGUCUGGGCGUUCUUUUGAUUAUUACGUGCUGUACGGGAUGCCCAAAAGGAAAAAGAGAGUGCCUCGCUCUGAAAAGUAUGGAUCACCUCCAAGAAUAAUGCCUCCUCCCAAAGGUUGGGUAAUUGAAGAAGAAGCAUUAGAAACAGUAAAAAGGAAAUGGAAGCUCAAUACGACAUGCUGCACGUUGACUUAUCACAAAAGGAUAAUUGGACAGAGGACAAGCAGGAAGUGAAAAUAGAUGCUGCCGAAAAGGUUAUUUUUAAGCAGCCAGCCAUGAAGUUAACUAAACACUUGAGGUCAUUGUACGUUAAAGCUCUACUUAACGACAUACCUGUGGCAAAAGUGCUUGUCGACAAUGGAGCAGCUAUAAACACCAUUCCAUCUAGGAUGAUGAGGAAAUUUGCAGAGACAGAAAAUGAUAUGAUCCCAACAGAAGUCGUCCUUACGAUUUUCAAUGGAGGAGCAACUUCAGCUAAAGGGGUUAUGCCAUUGGACAUAACUACAAGGAUAACUACUAGGACCACAGUCUUCUUUGUAAUAGAUGGUCCUACUAGUUACAGUGUGUUAUUAGGAAGGGAUUGGAUACACGGAAGUCACUGUAUACCUUCAUCGCUCCAUCAAUGCCUAGUUUUUUGGAAUGACAAAGGCGAAGCAGAAGUGGUGCAGGCUGAUCAUAGACCUUUUGUCGUAGAAGCAAACUUAGUAGAAAGAUUUAUGUACGAAGGAAAUUAUGGACCUGCCAGAGUAGUCCAAGAUGGAGAAGAAACUCAAAUUGUCGCGCAGAGUGAAGAGCCGUUUUCGGUGGAUGCACUCACUAAAAUGUUCAGUCAGAUGAGGCCAAACAUAGUGGCCUUAGCAGAGCCAGUAAUUGGCAAAAGAGUAAUCAAGGAGUUUUAAAUGAGUUGUAAGCAACAAAGGCAAAUGACCGAUAUUCAGGCAUUUAAAGCCAAAUUAAUGGCUUUCAAUAAAGAAUGCAAGGACAAGACGAAAGAAGAGGCAGCCUUGAAAGCAUUGAGAGACAAAUUGGCAGUGUUCGAGUCAGAACAAAGUAUUGGCCGAGAAGUCAACAAGGUGGAUUGUUUAGAAGAAGAAGUGCCUACAAGGGAAUUGAACGAUGAAGUGAUGAGGAUCGCCAAGCCUGGAUACGCUCAAGUAUAAGACCCUCUGAUUAAAGUGAAUAUUGGCAAUAAAGGAGAAGAUCACCAAAUAUUCAUCAGCCAAAUGCUCGAUCAAGAGGUUAGUGAUAAAUUAAUCGCUUUAUUAAAGGAAUAUAAAGAUUGUUUUGCUUGGGAAUAUGAACAUAUGCCUGGUUUAGAUAGAGAUUUGGCGGAACAUAGGUUGCCAACCAAGCUAAAUUUUAAGAUUCAUAAGCAACCUCCUAGGCGUUUUGGUCCCAAUGUCCCGAGAUUAAGAAACAAAUAGAGCGAUUAUUAAAAGCAGGCUUUAUUAGAAUAGCCAGAUAUGUGAAUUGGUUGUCCAACAUCAUGCCAGUGCUAAAAAAGAAUGGUAAAUUAAGGGUGUGCAUAGACUUUAGGAAUUUAAACAUAGUCACACCCAAAGAUGAAUGUCCAAUGCCCACAGUAGACUCUCUAGUAGACUCAACUGCCGGACACGUAAUUUAUUCCUUCAUGGAUGGGUAUUCAGGAUACAAUCAAAUUUAUAUAGCUGAGGAAGAUAUACACAAAACUGCCGUUAGAUGCCCUGGGUCUCUAGGAUGUUUUGAAUGGGUAGUUAUGCCUUUUAGCCUAAAAAAAGCAGGAGCAACUUAUCAAAGGGCGACGAACCUGAUUUUUCAUGAUAUGAUAAGCAAGUUUGUUGAGGUGUAUGUAAAUGAUAUAGUGGUCAAAUCCAUUAAAGAAGAGGACCAUUUUGAACAAUUGAGAUGUUCAUUUGAGCGAAUGAAACAAUAUAAACUAAAAUUAAAUCCCUUGAAAUGUGCAUUUGGUGUUAAUAUAGGAAACUUCCUUGGUUUCUUAGUACACAGAAGGGGGAUUGAACUUGAUAAAAAUAAAGCGAAGGCCAUUUUAUAAGCCAAACCACCUAGCGAUAAAAAAGAAUUGCAAAGAUUUCUAGGCCAAGUAAACUUUUUAAGACGCUUUAUUUCUAACUGUGCAGGGCGAACUAAAGCUUUUUCGCCGCUUUUAAAGUUGAAAAAUCAGGACAAAUUCGUCUGAAAAGAAGAGCAUCAAAAGGCUUUUGAAAGCCUAAAGACAUAUUUAUCAAGUCUACCAGUGUUGGUGUCACCAAUCCAAGGACGACCAAUGAAAGUGUAUGUAUCGGCUGAAAAAGAAUCAAUAACUGGAAUGCUCGCGCAAGAAGACCAAUUUGGUGAAGAAAGGGCGAUUUACUACUUGAGUAGACGGUUAACAAAAUGUGAAUGUAAUUACUCUGCCAUUGAAAAAUUAUGUCUCGCAUUGUAUUUCACAUGUACAAAAUUAAGGGCUUAUUUACGGCCCGUAACCAUUUAUUUGAUUUUCAAAGUAAAUUUGGUUAGGUAUAUGUUCUCUCGCCCUAUUUUACACCAAAGGGUAGGCCUUUGGACGUUAGCAUUAUCAGAAUUUGAAAUACAAUGCAUACCCCAAAAAAGCAAUCAAAAAUCAAACUUUGGCUAACUUUCUGGCCGAUCAUCCAUGCCUUGACAUGCCUGAAGAAAUUAAAUUAGAAAUCAAUUCAUUUGAAUUAAAACCUUGGAUUUUGUAUUUCGAUAGGUCAAAAACCUCUAAAGGUGCAGGAGUAAGAGUAGUAUUGAUAAAUCUUUUAGGGAUUUGCUACAAGUUCAUAUUUACUUUGGAUAGAAUGUGCACCAACAAUCAAGCCGAAUAUAAAACUUUAAUCGUGGGCCUAGAAUUAAUGAUAGAUAUGAAAGUAAAGAAUGUGAUCGUUAGAGGCGAUUCUCAAUUGGUCAUUCACCAAUUGAUUGGUGAUUUUAAGUGCCAAAGUGAUUCCAUUAUAAGUCUAUAUGAAAUCGCCCAAGAGUUGUUGGAAGAAUUCGACCAAAUAGAGCUUCAAUGCGUUAAUAGGAUAUAUAAUGACGUGGCAAAUGAGUUGGCUCAGAUGGCCUCAGGGUACUCAAAGGUUUUAAAUUGGAAGUCUACUUAUGAGUAUGGAGCAAUAUUGCCUGUGAUCCAAAGAAGGGCGAGAACGAUUGAAUUUCAUUGUAUACAAGAUGGAGAUGCAAUAGAUUGGAAGGCAGAGAUUAAAAGGUUCCUUAAAGAACCUAAUAAAAGAAAUAGUAAAAAAGUGAAGUUGCGUUUGCUAAACUAUACACUGAUAGAUGAAUAGUUGUUUAAAAAACGAUCUGAUGGUAUAUUGCUAAAAUGUGUAAGUUUACAAGAAGCCAGGACGAUCAUGGCUGAAGUGCACGAAAGGAUAUGUGGAGCUCAUCAAGCUGGUCAAAGGAUGAUAUGGUUAAUUAUUAGGAAUGGAUAUUUUUGGCCAAAGAUGGGAGAAUCAUGCGUUCAGUAUGCGAAGAGUUGUCUAGCAUGCCAAAAGCAUGGUCCAAUACAAAGGGCGCCAACACGAGAGAUGACUCCUAUUAUCAAACCUUGGCCGUUUAAGGGUUGGGCGAUAUACCUGAUAGGAAAGAUUUAUCCCCCAUUGUCCAAGCAACAUAUCUUUGUUAUAGUUGCAACUGAUUAUUUCACUAAGUGGGUAGAAGCGAUACCUUUAAAGGAGAUCACCCAAAAGAAUGUCAUAGAAUUUAUCCGUGAUCAUAUUAUUUAUAGAUUUGAAAUUCCACAAACUUUGAUGAUAGAUCACGAAACUUCUUUAAAUGGAGAUCAAGUGAAUGAAUUCUUGAGCGAGUUUGGAGUUAAAUUAGUAAACUUCACACCAUAUUACGCUCAAUCCAACGGACAAGCAGAAUCUUCUAAUAAGAUUCCAAAAAAUAUCAUAAGGAAAAUGAUAGAUGAAAAUGCCAAAAAUUGGCACGAAUGUCUAAACAAGGCCUUAUGGGCUUAUAGGACGUCGCCUCGGUCAAGUACCAAAAUUACUCCUUUCCAACUUACUUAUGGACAGGAGGCCGUUUUGCCUAUGGAAAUCAACGUACAAUCGAUCAGAGUGUGUUUGCAACAUAAGUUAAGUAGUGAUGAGUAUACCGAUUCACUAGUUCAAAACUUAUUGGAGUUGGACGUCCUAGAUAGAUUGCAAGUUCAAAAACGAAGGAUGACUAAGUUUUAUAAUAAAAAAGUUAUAGCCAAGUCGUUCAGCCUGGGCGAACUGGUUUGGAAAACAAUACUCCCUUUGGAUAGCAAAGAUCCAAAGUAUGGCAAGUGGUCGCCCAAUUGGGAAUGACCAUAUAAAGUAAAUAGUGUGUUGCCUAAUAGAGCCUAUCAUUUGGAAGAUUUAGAUGGUACCAAGCACAUGAGGUUCAUAAAAGGCAAAUAUUUAAAAAAAUAUGUUCCUUCCUUAUGGGAAAGUGAACAAAUAAAAGCGUAAUCAAAUCGGGUUGAACGAUCGUAGAUAAAAAAAGAGGGGGCCAGAGCGAAAUACGUUCAAAUAAAUUCCUUUAUUAUCAAACGUUCAUUACAAAGUUGCAAAUACUAAAUGCUCUAUAAGCUACAAUAAAGAGCGAACUAAUCUCUAGGUCGAUCGCCAAGUAAGAGGGUAAACUGGCCUUGAUUGCCAUCCUGAUCGCACUGCUGCAAAGGUAAGCAGAGAGGUCGAGAAGCACUCUCAGCAAGUAGAAGGGAAGAGAAGCACCCUCACCUCACCUACCUAAAUGCAUCGCUGCAAUAACGGGUAAGGAGACUGAGAAGCACUCUCAGCAAGCAAGGUGGCUUGACAGGCAUCCCCAAAAAUUGCCUUCCAUCAUUGAACUCCUUGUAAAGAACAUGGAGACGAUGGGAAGAACUUUGCUGGCCAAAGAAUAUUUCCUAUAUCUCCCAUACCAAAGGUGACAUCAAAACAGGUGACAAAAUGGGCGGAACAAAUGAUCCAUUUCUAUGGAAGACGUAAAUUUUGGAUCGAUCGUUGAGGUGUCAAACGAUGGCAGCAAAUUAGUUUUUAAAGAAAAGAAUGGAAAUGGAAAUGAAAAUGAAAAGUGCGAAAUAUACGUGCAUUUAUAGGGGCGUGAAGGUGAAGAGACAGAAUAUGAACAGCCACAUUUGUGCCUAGUAAUUGGAGUCAAAGGGCCCAAAGUCUUGGGAAAAGAGAUAGAAAUGCCAAAAGGGAAUGUACUUGAAUCUUAUCAUAAAGCAGUUAAAUACUUGGGGGUUGACGAUUAAGGUCAAAGGUCAAUAAAUACACAAGAAGACAAAUUAGUUGUUCAUUAAUGACAAUGGCUGCUGUUACAUCCAAAAUUGACAGUGGCUAUCAGUACGAGGUUACAAGAGGAACGUUAAUACGAAGUUACAAAAAGAAAAGUUAAGACAUUAGAUUUCUUAAUUACAAUUCGCCCCAGACCGAACGAAUUCUUUCCCUAAGUCUCCCCCAAUCCUCGCUCUGCUGAGAAGAAGUGACAUUCAAUUCAGCUACAAAAUCAUCAUCAACCUACAGCUUCUUGUACUGCUCGACCAAAGACUUGGUUCACUCAAUUCCUUGGGAAGCAUUACGCUUUUUAGCAACCAUUCUCGCCUUGCAGUCAUCCAUCCUUGCUUGAAGCUCCUUCAUCUGUGCAGCCAAACUGGUCAUCAAAGAGUCUUCAAUCAUAAUUUUGGAAGAGAUUUCUUUCAAUUCGUCCUCAGCUUUGUUGAUCUCCCGAAGCAAAGACUCUCUUUCAGAUGCAGCGCAAAGAUAUUGAGUACUCUUGGCCUUCGGUUCAACAUUUUUGGCCAGCAAAGAGAGGAUGUCAGAGUAGACAACUUUCAACGUCGCUUUAAAAUCAACAGAAAUGUUGAGCGACGGAAGUGUCAGUGCUUGUGCCAACUUCGCACUCAAAUGCUCAAGUUUAUCCUUAUGUUUGGCAGCACUAGCCUGACCAAUGUCCAUGUCCAUAAAAGAUACAUACUCAAAUAUCGACUGCUUGAGGAACUUCAUAUCUUCCUCUGAAGAAGCAGGAGGACGACCGGUUGAAGCAGGGUAAGACGUCUUAACUUACCCCCAGGAAGCGAACAAGUCCUGGAUGGAACGCACAAUAUCAUCAGCAUCCUGCAAAGAAAAAUGCCAACAUUAAAGGUUUUCAUUACAAAAAACAAAGUGAAAAUAAAAGUGAAGCAAAAGGUUACCUCAUCAACAAUCUUAGGAGGUGGCAUAUCAUCAGUUGGCUCCACCACCUGUGGCCCCACCACCAGGGGAGACUUCCCCUUGUCUGGGCGAGAAGACUCUGCCACAACGGGCAGACCCAUGGGAGCCUCUGCAUGAUUAAAGAAGCAACAAAUCAGAAACCAAUAGCACAAGUAGAGGUAAAACAUCAAAAAUGUAUUACCUUCUGGUUCGACGUUUGGAGGGUCGGCGCCCUGAGAAGAAGGUGGCUCGUCCAUUGAUUGUGAUGAAGGUUUCUCUUUAAGCGUAGUCCCUUCACCAGCUGGUUUGGAUGAAGCAGCUCCAGCAGAGGAUGAUGGAGCAUGAGCUGCCAACACCAAAGCCUUCAAAGGAGAGACUGAACUUUUCUGAGAAAUUCAAGAAAACCAUUAGCACAUAGAAAGGUAUGCUUGUAAGUAAACAUAAUUCAAUUCAAUUACCUUUCUCCUGAUGAUGAGAAGAGUAUCAUUAUCAUCAUCAUCAUCAUCAUCAUCCAAAAUGGGAGAUGCUGAAACUAGCCGUUUGUGGCUUGGGGCGCUCUUAGUUGCAGUAGGUUUGGCAGGUAGAGAAGUAGAGGGACGAACAUAUUGUUUAGCACGAGCAGGGGAGGAAGGAUUCCUAAUGGACACAGGGGUGACCAAAAUAGGAGAAGUGGAAGAAAUGUUCGACUGAUCCAGUGAAUGGAAAGCACGAUUGACAUCAAUUGCAAACAAUCUGCGCUUCACUGAUGGCCAGAGUUGUUCAAAAAAGGGGUGAACGGUACGGCUAGGAUUGAAGGGGGCUAAUGAAAAGUUACUCGUCAAAAGAAUAUUGCGAGCAUCUAUAGCUUGUGCCUCUACCUUAUUAAUGGUGUAAAAGCGGUCUAUCAAAUUUUUUGAAUAACAAGGGGAAACAGGCCAAGUUUGGCUAAAACCAAGUUGGGGAGCAAAAAAUUGGGGAGCAUAUAUUUCAACCCCAGUUUUGGCAUUGGUUCCAGUUAAAAUAUCAUGGAACAACUCCCUCCCAGUCAAAAACUGAACCCAAACGAGCAAAGAGGCGCUCGCACUGUCCAGGGUGGAUGGAGGUUGUACAUAAUCUGGAAUUAAAUGAGCAGGAAAAGGAAAAAAAGGAAGGAAUUGAAUUUAAAGUAUAAAAGAAUGAAAAAAUAUCCCUUCUGGACAUAUUUACAAGGCUCAAUGGGUCAAUAGCUAGCCCAUAGCAGCUAGCAGAAUGAAGGGACAUAGAUAGAGCACCAAGUGAUGGAAAAUAGGCUUUCAACUACAGUUGAGAGAACCAAAGAGGCCCACUGCCAGUGGGAGAUGCACCAUUCUUCAAUUGAAAUUGAAGAGAAGCCAUACCUCUAUAGAGGACUGCCAAAAAGAACGAACACAAAUUCAAAGGCCUACCACGUGCCAAUCCGUGCGCUAUGGGUAAAUAGCUUAUAGAAGGCUUAAACUGGGCACACAUAGAAUAUAUUUACAAAGUCAUAUCUAAAGAAAGGCCACACGCUCAGUGUGGGAAGGCUCAGCGUUUGAGUGAUUAUGACAGCUUUGCAAGCUUGAAUAGGACUCGGUGAGUUUUUUUGUCAAAUUUUCGGGCAACACCAGAAAUCAAAAUACUAGGAAAAAUGGUGUCGCCCAAAGGUGGAAGAUUUAUCAGGGCCCCAACAUCCCUUACAGUGAUUGACAUGGGACCAAGAGGGAAAACAAAAGUAUUAUAUUCAGAAGACCAAAAACUUAAAGCAAUAGGGAAAAGUGCUGGGUCAAAAAUUGGGGGUUGAAGAAAGAUUUCUAAUAAAUCAGAAAUCCUAGCACGAUCAAAAAUUACCUUGGUAGGACCAUGGCCCACAAGGCGAGCAUGACACCUACGGAAAACAACAUCAGAUUUAGGCUAAGUGCGAAUACCUUUUUCGCGAAUUAGCCUCAGGGGCAAAGAGUUCAAGAAUGGAGGGCCUUCAGUACAAGGAAACAGCUGGCCCACCACCACUUGUUCGAAGGCUUCGGCGUUGGUGAAUGAAGGACCCAGAUAGAACUCAUUAAGUUUGGCAUUGGCUGGUGCAAGAAAGUUCAGAUUUACAUAUGGCCGAGUGAGGAUUUUCUGGAAAUCGUCGAAGCCAAAAGAGUCGUCAGAUUGGGUUUGUGGAGCAGCCAUUGGGAACGAAAUACAGUUUUGUUAACGUUUGCUCGAGAAACGUAGCAGAGAAGCAAGAAGAUGAACAGUGGUAUGGCGAGUAAGAAGCGCGAAAUAAUGAUACGUGAGUUAGUAGUACAACGAAAUGGCGUGUCUUUGAGGUUUAUAAGGAUUUGUAGCGUCGCACUUUUUCAGGCUAUGGAAAGAAAUAAUGAUUGAAAUUCUUGGGAAUUUCAGAUGUUGCUGGGAAACACAAAGUAAAUAUGGCAAAGAUUAAUAAUUGGUAUUAAUUCUGCCAUAUUGGGGGGUAAUUGUUGACACGCUAAAAGUGCAGCCCAAAUCGAAUAGCCUAGGGAAUGAAACCCAAUUGAGGAAUCCCCAAAUCAAAUAGUCCAAAGAAUGAAGCCCAACUGGGCAAUUCAGGAUAAAUGCCCAGAUAGAGUUAUUGAUGAAUGUAGUGGAAGCCCACGAAUACAGUAACAUCAUCGCCCAAGCUUGCAAGACGACCAAGAUCUGAGCGAAUGAAGUGCCUUACAGUCGCCCAGAGCUAUGACCCUAUUCUCGCCCGAACCUUCGAAUCGCCCAGGAUCUUAGCAAACAUAAGAUGUUAUGGUUAUCCAGAAGUGCAGUUAUUGAAGCAGUUAUCGAGUAAUCUUAUCACGUUCUACGAUUCAAAAAAUUCAGUUGAAGACGGUUGAACGACAAAGAGUAGUGACAACAGUUAGAGACGAAGUUCCACGACAAGUUAGCCACCAUAAAGAAAGUAGGUAGUUAUAAAGCAAUCAAGCAGUUUCUAAGUGAUUGAUCACGAAGAAAUUAUCAAGGGAAUAUAAAAGGAAGAGAAGACAUAAAGCAAAUGACCCCGAAUCAAACACUCUCAAUCAGAGAAUAUGUAAUUUCAAUUUCUUAGUUUAGACUUAAACAUUUCUUUUUAGUACUCGUGUGCUUACGCCCCUUAGAGGCAUUCUGUUUAGUUCCAAUUGUAAAGUCAUCGCCAAUAAAACACCCCUUUUUGGGACUUUGUCUCAAGAAGUUUGUUCCUUAUACAAUCGUCUGAUCCUUUUUUAAUUGUUAGCAACUACCCGCGCGAAACAAUACCUUUAGGAGUUUUUCCGAAAUUUUCAAAACAGAAAAAAGAUGGGUUUGACCACGGUCAACCGCGGCCAAAGUGAGCUGCUUGUUUUUCGUGGGCCAAUCGAGGGUUCACGAACCGUGGUCAACCCAUAGUCAAACCAAAAAAAUGUUUGUUUUUUUCUUCUUUAAAAAAAUAAAAAUAAAUAUUCUUUUUCAAUCUUCUUUUUCAUCUUUUAGUAACCAAUGAAAAGUAAUAUAUAUAUAUAAUUGUUUUUAAGGUCAAAACUAGGUCACAUACGUCAUUCCAAAUUAAAUUUUGUUUAAACUCGCAUGUGAUUAUAUUGAUAAAGGAAAAGACAAAGUGCUAACGAAGAGACAUCUAUGCUCGGCGUGUAUAACUGACUUUUCUUUAAAUAUAUUUUGGAACACAUUGAGUUAAGUGUUUAUUUUAAGUCUGGGAAUGUAGAAUAGUUAGCAAGGUAUAUUUGUUUGUUUGUAUGAUAUGUUAAAAAAAAAUUAUUGAAAAAUUUAAAACAAUUUUUAUAGAAAAAAAUAUGUUCUUAUUUUAUGUUAGUGUGAAUUGGAUACUAUUGCCAAUUUAUAUUUUCAUGAAUUGUGAAUAAGUAAUGUGCAUUUUUGCUAAUUUGAUAGUUGUUUAUGUGAAACUAAAUUAUUGAGCACAAUAGUUAUAGUAAUUACUAUGCAGUUUGGAUUGGUUAUAUGGGUAGAAGAGAUUGGAUUGAUUUUGAACUUAACAUUGACAAAUCAAGAUCAUAAUCGAUAGCACAACCACUUAACCAGUUAAAAUGAUAAGUUGGGGGUGGUUUAUUCAAUAUUGAGAGCUAUUUAAAUAGGUGUUGAUUCCAUACUUAUUUAAUAUCUGUAUGGAAUAUUUUUAACUAACAAGUAGGACCUAGGAAUUAACCGUUUACUAAGAUUUUGAUUCCAAUUACUUAUUCCAAAAAAAAAAAAAAAAAAAAAAAGUCAUUGCCCUAGUCGUGGCACGUAGAAAAAAGUUACCUAAUUGUUGUAUAAAUCUAGUCUUGAGUAAUCCGACAAUAUUCAUUACUAAUAUUUAGAAUUCUACAAUGUAGAACGAAAAUCACCCUCAAAAAUCAAGGAAGAGAUCCCAAACAUGGAAAAGGGACAAUCUAAAAUAAAAGAAAAAAAAUACAAAAAGUGAGUAGAGGAAUUGACAAAAUAAUUAUAAGCAUUGUUUCAUUGUCACGUUAAGUCUUAGAAAACUUAAUUUGGGAUUUAGACAUCUAAUGAGGGUUAUUAUACUAGUUGAAUUUGGAGAUUGAAACAUUCAAAUUUAGGGAGAAUUAGCAUGUAUCGAGGUAGGGACUUUCAAUGGUGAAAACAAAUUAAAUAUGAGCAUGAAAGGAAAGAGCUAUGUGUAAUCAACCUUAUAACAAAUACCGUCGGCAUGUGAUUAAAAACAAGUUUGCCCCCAUGGGCAUAGUGCAGUGGUAAAGCAGGAAGGUUCCACACAGAGCAUCGGAGAUUCGAAUUCCUGCGGCAGCUAGAAGGCAACAUUUAUGUUGGAAGACAGUUGUCAUAUGGAGGAAAAGUUAUGGUACGCUUUGUCGCCCCUUCGGGGGACCUGUCCGCACGUCGUAAAUGGAGGUCUAUAGGGAGGAGAGCCGCAUCCCGAAUAUCUUACCCAAGUGUGCAUAAACUGUGUCCGCAUCCGAAUUUACCCAGGUGGCAAACUAGGGGGGAAGGCCGCCACUCCUUAGGAUUAGUCAGGCGAAACUUGGACACCUAAGUUAUAAAAAAAAAAAAAAAAAAGGCUUGGCUGUUUUCAUCCUACGAGAAAGAAAGGAAAUAUUUGACUAUUAAGGGUCGAAAAAUAACCAAUUUAAAAGUUGACGAUGAUUAGAUUGACUAUGUAUACGCACAUCGAUCAAGCAUAGUAUAAGUAAAAACAAAAAAACAAAAAAAAAUCUAGGUUUAGAUGUAUGACUUAAGAACUUUUUAUGAAUUAUCACAUGAUUUCAUAUUUAUUGCGAGUUUGACAAAGUCACAUUAUAUAUUUAUACUUUUAUUUGCUUGCUUGCUUGUGUGUUUAAUAGAUAAUAUUGCCUGGGACGAAAAAUAGUUAAAGUUUAAAGGUAUUUGAUAAGUGUAUUUUAUGCACUUAUUCGGAUUUCUAUUCUUAUUCUAUCAUAUUAAUUGAUCAGUCAUCUACUUACUUUGUGUAAAAUGGUUAUUUAGAGCAUAAUCAGAGUUUAUUCGAAGCAAUUGAAGAAUAAUUUAAUUGCAAUUGAUCAACUGGAAAUAUUAAUAGAGCAUUCGAUAAAAUUGACAAGUUUUGUGGCUUAAAUUCAACAUAUGAACAGUUUUGGGAUUAAAUUGAAAACUUUUGAAACUUGCAUCAUUAAUAAUAUUUUCGGGAUGAAGUGGUCUUAAUUGUGAAGAGUAGAAGAUGAAUGACUAAAAUUACAUGAGAAAAUGACAUCAACUGAAAAAGGAGGUUGUUUUUUCUUCUUCUCAAACUUCUUUCGAAAACCAAAUUGAACAAUGAUUUUUUUCCUAAAUGUUGAUUUAUAAAUAUAUUCUUAGUCCAACAAUUGGAGAAGGCUUGUAGGAUUUAUUAUAACAUAUUAUACAAGCCAAAGGGACCUCUUGGAAUACAUAAGUUAUAUCAAUUACGAGAAAAGAGAGUCUGAAAGGAGGGACCUCUUCAGAUUUUAUAUGCAAAAAUUGAACUGAGAGUUCAUGGAUAUAUUGAUACUGCUUCCAUUUUGACAAGGAUGAUAACAAGUCUUAAUCUGUAUAUUAGUUUACUCUAAAAAAUGGAACGGUUAAUUGGAAAUGUUUCAAACAGGAAACAAUUGCUAAUUCAACAACAGAAGCCAAGUACAUUGCUGCUUAUGAAGCAGCAAAGGAAGUUGCCGGAUCAAGAAGUUCAUUAAUGAACAUGGUGUUGUUCCUAGCAUUGUUGAUCAUACAACUAUAUUAUGAUAACAACGGAGUCAUCGUGCAAGCAAAGGAACCGAGGUCUCAUCAACGAUCCAAACAUGCACUAAAGUUCUACCAUCUCAUCAGGGAGAUUAUACAAAGAAACGAUGUGAAGAUAGAACGCAUUCCCACCGAUGAUAAUAUUGCAGAUCCAUUGACAAAGUCAUUGUCACAGUAUAAACAUGAUCUCGUAUAGACUCUUACGGUAUUAGAUAAAUAAGUGAUUGAAUCUAGUGAGAGUUUGUAAGUGUUUACCUUGGAUCCAAUUGAUUUAGGUUAUGAACACUUUUAAUAUGAUCAAUGAAUUUAAUUUAUGGCAUGAUCUAUUAUUUUAUUGAAUUUUUAUUCUGAUAAAUUAUAUUAAUAUAGUCCACAAAUUCAAGUCCUAGUAACUUGUUAAUCACUAGGAGUGAGUAGCUGAUCUUACAAGUUAAAAUAUAUUAUAUUUAAAUAGACGUGUGAAUGUUUUGUUAUGAAAACAAAAUAUUAGAGACCUUAUUAGAGAGAUUCUACAUGGAUAACUAUAUGAAAUUCCACAAAUGAAAAGUCUGUCUUUUCAAUUGGAUUGUCAACCAAAACUUAAACAAAAAGAAGCCCCAAAUCAUCAAAGCAAUUUUCCAUCUUCCUCUUUUUUUUUUCCACCGGCUACUUCUUUAUAUUCCACUUGGUGGGCCGACAACCACUGCAAACUCCAAUGAAACCAGCAUGCACGACUGCUCCGCCAGUGGGGAAAUAAAUGGCCACUUUCUUUGAAAAGUUUCGAUAUGAGUUAUAAGCACGCUAUAAGGAGUAUCUAAACCAACAAAUGGCUCAUAAGAAAGCAAAUAAGCCUAAAGAAGUCCACCACCGACUAAUUGGGACUAUUGGGAAAGUGAGCAAUUUCAGGUGCAAUUAUAUUUAGUUUCACACAUGCAUUUAUGUUAGUUUGUUUACUUAUUUAGUUCGUUGACUAUAUUCAUUUCUAUUUAAUUGUACAUUACAGAAAAGAUCUAAGGUAGCAGUUGACAAUAAAUCCCAACAAGAGUUCAUCUAUUUGUUUGGCUCCAAAUCCUUUGUUCAAUGUCAAAGUAAAAACCAAAAUAGAUGCAUUUCUAUUGGGAAAUAGCUUCAAUUUAAUUUAAUUGAAUCUUAUUCUUACUUUUUCUAAUAGGAUAAUGAAAUUUGAAGACUAGAUAGAAUUCAGCUAUGGAAUAAUACACAUUAGAAGAAUAUCAAAGGUUGGAUCCAUUAUGUAGCUGAGGAGAAAUAUGUAAUGAACAAAUACUUAUUUCUUUAACUUUAUUAUUACUUAAUGAAACAAAUAUUUCACUCCCUUAUUUGCAUUAAUACUUUUCUAAUGUCAUACAGAAGGAGAUGAUAGACAUAAAAAUCACUCAAAAGGCACUUGUUGACAUCCUUGGGCAUUUCCUCUUGCUACUAUAGGGGCUUGGGCAGGGGCCCAAGGGUUCCACGUGCUACAUCUUGCACAGACACGACUCAACGAGAGAAUUCUGAACUUCGCCAAGUUAUGCAUAAUUUGCAGAGCUAAAAUGAGCAUAUCGUGGUCUCAUUGGAGAAGAUUAUGCCUAAUGCUACUACUAGAAUAAGCAACCUUAGAGUGCCCACUACGUAUCCGUCAUCAUCACCUGAUCACAAGUCAUGUGAUUAUUAGUUUACAGUUAUCUUCAUGGUUGAUUCUCUAUUAUAGCUUAUGUUACUUUUGGACUACACUAUCUUCUCAUAUUUUGGAACAUGAUUAGGCUUUUUAUUGCAUAUGCUACUAUUUUGGACUUUAUGUGUAUUUAGUUACUCAUAUUUUGGAAGUAGAAUUGACUUGUCUUUGAUAUAAUAUAUAAUUUUUCCUUACAUGUAUUUUGCUAGAGUCUUUUGAAUUGUGAUUGUUGCUUUGUGAAAUCAAAUAGUUCUUGAUUUUAGAUUUUUGUUGGUGCAUUGUGUUUAGGGAUGUAAAUUUGGCUUGUCGACUUGGGUGGCCAAUGGCUUGGCCAGAGAAAAGCCUGAGCCGAGACUCGGGUCGAGCCCAAUUCUUGGCAUCGGCUUGAGCCCAAGCCAUUUCAACCAAAGCCGACUUGGUAAAUAAAAAAAAUGACAAUAAAAAAAAUUAUACACAUACAUUUAAAAUUGCCUUAACAGGCGGCAAAUCUGAAGGUAAAUGCCUUAAACGAUAGUUAUCUAGAAGUAAAAAAAAAAAAAAUCGCUUGGCUCAAUAAGGCCUAAGCCGAAAACUCAUGUUGAGCCUAGAUUUUUUUUGACCAAGCAAAAGCUGGAUUCAGCUCGGGCCAGAAAAAAGCUCGCACUAUUUUACUCGAGCUGAGCCCAAGCCUCGAGUUUCGGCUCAGUUUGUUGAUAUGCCUAAUUGUGUUUGAUUUGUGCUUUUAAUCUAUUUGAAAUUUAGAUUAUUGCACAGGUUUAAAAAGAAUAAUUGCAUAGAUUUAUCGAUUCAAUAUAGUCUGCACUUGCUUAAGUGUUCUUGGUUGGAAAAUGUAUACUUUUCCCAACCAAUAUGGAAUACGUAAGCAAAAAUAUUUAUAUUUGUUGACAAACAUUUCAAUUUUUACCAACCCAAAUAUUUGGUUAGCAAAGUUUUUACUAUUCCUAACCAACGAUGAAUUGGUAACUAAAAUAUCUAUAUUCACCAACUAACAUUUCAAUUUUACCGACUAAAAUAUUUGGUUGGCAAAGGUUCUAUUAUUCCUAACCGAUAAGGAAUUGGUAAGCAAAAAUAUCCAUAUUCGCCACAUUUCAAUUGCACCGACUCAAAUAUUUAGUCAGCAAAAGUUCAAUCACUCCGGCAAACAUAGAAUUGGUAAGCAAAACUCUUUAUAUUUGUCGACUAACAUGAAUUAUGGUCAGUAGAAACUUUUGCUGGCCGGCCUUUGGCGAUCAGCUUCCGACCAAUAUUUUCUAGUUAGGAAUUAGUUUUACCAGUUGAUAAUGGACCUUUAGCUGCUAAUCUUUUGGUCGGUAAAACUUACUUUUCUUGAAGUGAAUGUUGGAAGGAGAUGUGGAUAAUCUCACCAUGCCUCCCCAUCCCGUUCCAGAUACAAAUGGGACAAACUCCAUUGCAGGAAUACAAGGAAGGCCUCAUCAGAUAGUACUCUACUCAUCUUUCAGCUGAAUCAAUAAAAUAUAGACCAAAACACCUUUUAUUUUCAACCCAAGAAUCAUAUUUUCUCUCUGUACUGACAUUCUAUUUAACUUACCACUAAAGAAAAACAAAUAUGAAAGAUUUAAUGACGGCAAAUAAUUACACUUGUUUAUUUCAUAUGUCAGCACCACUGACUCCAUUGCAUUCUUUCAGUACAUGCAAAAGGUGCACUGUAAAGACAACUUCGGAGGUUUAAAAAGUAAGAUAUACCUUGUAAGAACAAGUAGUUAAUUUUAAAAAUCGUCAAGCUCUAAUGCUAAGCGCAGAAUAUGCCCUCUUUUUUUACAAGGAAAAUUCCAUUGUCCCUGUACACUUGCCACAUUCAGACUUAUAGGAUCUUUGCUUUUGCACCCCAGUAGAUUUAGUUGCAUUAAUACCUAUCCUUUUAGGACCAUGCUACUCAACCAUAGAGGUUGACAUCGGGGAUGACAUAUCACACACACAUGGGGGAGGUCGAAUUAUUUUAUUCAUGGGGAUCCACCACCUCGGAUGUGAGUGCUAUGUCAUCCAUUGUGUCAAGAGCUAUGUUCAUUUGGCUUAAUUCAUCUUUUUAUCCUUGUUUUUAAAUUCUUCAUAACUUUUCCAAAUUCAUUUAAUUUAGGAAUUUUCCAACUACUAUCACAAUAAAUCAUUCUCUGCUAUUUAAUGUAUUCUUGCUACCAAUUAAAAGAAUGGAAAAUACAAUCCUUCCAGAUAGAUGAAAAGACUUUCCCAGUCGCUAUCCUUUUCUUCAGUUUUCGUCCCUUCCUAUCAAACAAAGAGACAAGUGCUACCGUCUCAAUUCAUGGUUUCUUGACAAAGAGACUUUUCUUACUACGACUAAGAAACCAGUCUAGGCCCCAUAGCCAGCAUUGACUCUGAGUCAUUCCAAGAGGAUGACAAUGAAGAGCAAAGACUUUUCAAGCAAUAAAUAACAAAUUUCAACAAAUAAUAGAUACCACAAACCAAUAAAAGAACGAGCCAAGUCAAUUGUACAUCACUUUCUUGUUAGCUUGUGAGGUCUUUGUCAUUUGAUAACAAUUACUGAGUAAUGGACAUAAAACAGUGCAGGAUUAAAAAAUAAAUAAAAUAAGUGGAAGAUUAUUCCAUUGAUAAUUGCUUUACAAUAUAAUAGAUUAACAGAAUCAAAUUUCUAAAUAAGUGCUAAUAUGCAGUUGACAACGAUGUAGUAAUAUGUUAAUUAUCAAAGUAGAAUUGGUUAGAUGAAGACUUAAAAUGUCAAGGUUCAAACAGAAGCUGUCAAAUAACGUUUUUUAACUGGAUGUAAUAUCACAGACACUUGGGGCAAUUUUAAAGGAAGUAGAGAAAAAUUCACCUAUGGGCGGAUAUGACAUCACUAAUUGUUAAAAGUGCUCGUAAAAUUCUUAAAUAUAUCCACAGAAAACAUGCCAUAGUAACACAUGAAACCAAAUGCCCGAUGGAUCAGAAGUCAGAUUGAAUGCCAUCCUCACCAUUCUUAUACCUUCAUAUGCUUGAUAUUCAUUCUGACAAGCUCUACCUAAGUCGAGAAUUCUCAAAUGGAGCCGAGUUAGUUUUUAAAAUUUUUUAAUUUGAUCCAAGUAGAAAGUACGAUCAUCUAAACUUUCCGAACCUCAACCCAUAGUGAAGUCGCUCUUCUAUUUUUUGAAAAUUUUGUUGACUCAACUCUAAAGUAAUGUUCCAGUCAAGUGUAUUUUCUCAAAUAGUUAUCAUCUAAUUAAGUCUCGUGCCCAUGGCUUCUAAUCGCUAAAAGAUUGCUCAUGCACCAUGCAGCUUGUUGCUAAGUUGUGAAGUGAUCAUAAAGCCCCCAACUACUAAGACAGACAAUCACCAAUCAGGAACAUUUAGUACAUGUUUGGGCAGUAUUAAGGAAGAGACACAAGUACAUGAUUUUGUAGACUAUUGUGUACAAAACGCACAAUUGAAUUAAUCCGGAUUGCCUUGAACUCCAUCUGUAUAAAAACUUCUACGAACAAGAUUGAAUUUUUCCCAACUACACAGAGGAAAAAGAUAAUAGCAACUCUUUGAAGGAUUCAAUGAGAUCAUAAAAUAAUAAAAAGAAAUUACCUUCGUGUAGCCUUGCAGGUCUUAUUUUCAGGUGAUCAAAGAAACCAGAAUGACUUGACAAGUUUAAAAGAAAAAUUCUCCUGAAUUAUGGUAUGCAAAUCAUUGCAACUUAAUAAUAUUAAAGAAACAAUUAGUUAAGGCAUUUCAUCGAACAGUUUCUUCUCACAUUUCAAAUCGCAGGUUGUCAUCACUCACAAGCAGAUUGGUACUGUUACGUGUUGGCACACUUGGCCAACCCACUGGGGCCCGUGGCCCACACAUUUUGAACUAUGUGGCAUGAUGUCCGAGGCCCCUUGGCCAACAAAGAAGAUACGACAUCUAGAAACAAUAUACAUUACAUGGCCCAAAUGCUAAAACUGAGGUACACUGGCCGAGGAGAUUCACACUGAGGCCCAAAUAUCGAAGCCGAACUCUAGAAACACCUUUGGCAUCACUUCUCAACAGAGAUCCGGUCUACACAAGAAUCUCCUUUGAAUGAUUGAUGGGAUACCCAUCAUAGAGUGUAAGUGUUUUGUCUUAUCAAAAAUAGUGACGACUCUGCCAAUUAAUAAAUGUAUAGCAGGUUAGGUAGUCAAAUAUGAUGCCUAGAAUUUGACAUGUAAACCAACGAGAUGAGGCCACGUGUACUCCCAACAUAGGGCCACGAUUUAAUUUGUAUUACUAUAAAUACUCCCCCAUACAUCCAAUAUAGGACUAAUGCAAGACUCAAUAUACAUUUUACUCUCUUUCAAUACAUAUGAGUUCACAUACAUAUUCUAUAAAUAUCGAUUGGUAAUUAUUGUACAAUCGUUAUACAAAUUUCUCGUUGGAUUACGAACGUUCUCGUCCCGCGCUUUUGAGCGGCUCCCACGUUCUUCAUCUGUUCAUUCCAGACCGUCCACAUAUUUUAUUGUGUUGGACCAGGCUUGCGUGUACACGGGUAGGUCCGAUAUCUGUUGGCAACAUAUGAGGUCAAUAGGUACAUUCCUUGUAUAAAAGGUUGUGUUUUUCAUUCCUCUCAUAUUACUACUCAUCAUUCAUUUAAAAAUAAACAAAAAUCUGUCAAAUAUAAUCAUUACAGUGGGUCGUUUGGGAUUUUUUCCCACUCCCUCAUCCAAUUUUCUCUGCCACUCUCUCCUUCAGUUUUUGACAGAGGAAAAAUGACAAUUCUCAGCCAAAGAACUAACAAAAUUCUAUGAUGAUGAGUUUGUACACGGAUAGAGAAAUGUGUCGUGUUCAUAGAUGGUAGUGUUGGGCUUGCAAGUGAUGGUUGUGAUUAUAAACUUUGUGAGGUUAUUGCCAGUAGGAUGUAACGACUAGAUAUGUUAUAUAGGUUUCAAAAAUCAGCUUGUUAAGGUGAUCAAUCUGCUUAUAAAUCCACAAGACAAAUCUUUAUAGAUUAUCAAGAGUGAAAAUUGUUGAGAAUUAGAAACCCUAAUUUUAUACCUCGAGAACAAUAAAAUCGUAGAAAGAAAAUAAACAUAUAAUAUUAUGCAAGAUUUAUAAAAGUUCUUUUCAAUUUGAGUGUACGUCAUCAUCCACUGAUACAAUAAUUUAUUAUGUUGAAAAGAAGUUUACAAGAGAAAAAUCGUACCCUCUAUUUUCAAUUACCUAUCUUUCUCUUUUUUAUGACAAUUACAAGUUGGAUUCGUAUAUAGGCUUGUACAACAACAAUAACUAGACUCAAUAGCUUAUUAAAACACAUUCAUAUGAUUGAAAUGAAAGCAUCAAUAAGGUAGAUUCAUCAAAAGUGACAAUUUUUUAGGGUUUGACUUGAAUUCUAUUUGGAAGGCUAUUUGAGAAUUCUAGUUGAAUUCUAUUUGAAAAUUAUUGCUGGAAUUCAAUAUAGGAGUUUAACUUGGAAUUUAUGAUUUGUAUUAGACUUGAAAAAGAUUUGCAGGAUUCCAGUUCGCAAGAGAGGAAGAAAUCGUGCAAGGAGAAAGUCGGGGCUUGUUGCGCGCUCAACAUCCGCUCGAGCGCUUGGAGCAGGGGUGCCAACUUCGCUAAUUGUGAGGCGGUCGUUUGAGCGAUCGACUAUCAAUCGAUAGUCGAGUUUGAAUUCGUUCAUUUGGAAUCUGGGUUCUUCGACUUCAUUUUUUUUAAUGGACCUUUAGCAAUUAAUCUUUUGUUAGCAAAACUCACUUUUCUUGUAGUAAAUGUUGGAAGGAGAUGUGGACAAUCUUACCCUGCCUUCCCAUCUCAUUCUAGAUACAAACGGGACAAACUGCAUUGCAGGAAUACGAGGAAAGCCUCAUCGAAUAGAGUUGGCAAUCAUAUCAGAAUCAGAGUGACAUCAUAAAUUUUAGUGAAGUUCAAUGUUAAAAGAACAAUAGAGUAGUAUCUGUCAGCUAAAUUAAUAAAAUAUGCGGACGAAAGCAGCUUUUAUUUUCAACCCAAGAAUCAUAUUUUGUGUCUAAAACGUGUAAUGUGAGAAAUGUGAAUGACAUUCUAUUUAACUUCCCACCAAAGAAAAACAAAUAUGAAAGAUUUAAUGACGGAAAAUAAUUACACUUGUUUAUUUGAUAUGCCAGCACCAAUGAUUCCAUUGCAUCCUUCUAGUACAUGUAAGAGGUGUAAAGACAACUUGGGAGGUUUAAAAAGUAAGACCUUGUAACAAGCAGUUAAUUUCAAAAAUAGUAAAGCUCUAGUGCUAAUCAUGAGUUCAGAAUAUGCCCUAGGAAAACUCCAUUGUCCCCGUUCACUUGCUACAUUCAAACUUGCGGGUUUUUUGCUUUUACACCCAAGUAGAUUUAGUUGAAUGAAUACCUGUCUUUUUAUCCUUGCUUUUAAAUUCUUCAUACCUUUUCCAGAUUUGUUUAGUUUAGAAAUUUUCAAACUAUUAUCAUAAUAAAUCAUUCUCUGCUAUUUAAAUUAUUCUUGAUACCAAUUAAAAGAACGGAAAAUACAAUCCUUCCAGAUGGAUGAAAAGACUUUCCCAGUCGCUAUCCUUUUCUUCAGUUUUCGUCCCUUCUUAUCAAAACAAGAGACAGGUGCUACCGUCUCAAUUCAUGGUUUCUUGAAAAAGAGACUUUUCUUACAAAGACAAAGAAACCAUUUUAGGCCCCAUAGCCAGCGUUGACUAUGAGUCAUUCCAAGAGGAAGACAACGAAGAGCAAAGACUUUUCAACCAAUAAAUAAAAAAUUACAACAAAUGAUAGAUACCGCUAACCAAUAAAAGAACGAGUCAAGUCAAUUGUACAUUACUUUCUUGUUAGCUUGUGAUGUCCUUGUCAUUUGAUAAUAAUUAUGGAGUAAUGGACAUAAAACAUUGUAGAAUUAAAAAAUAAAUAAAAUACGUAGAAGAUCAUACCAUUGAUAAUUGCUUUACGAAAUAAUAGAUUAAUAGAAUCAAUUUCCAAAUAAGUGCUAAUAUGCAAUUGAUGAUGAUGUAGUAAUAUGUUAAUUAUCAAAGUAGAAUUGGUUAGAUGAAGACUUAAAUUGUCAAGGUACAAACAGGAGCUGUCAAAUAAUGUUUUUGAGGUGGGUGUGGAUUAGUGGAGAAAAAUUCAUCUAUAGGUAGAUAUAACAUCACUGAUUGUUAAAAGUGCUUGUAAGAUUCGUAAAUAUAUCCACAUAAAACAUGCCAUAGUAACACGUGAAACCAAAUGCCUGAUGGAUCAGAAGUCAGAUUGAAUGCCAUCCUGAUUCCUCACCAUCCUUAUACCUUAUUGAAUGCCAUCCUGAUUCCUCACCAUCCUUAUACCUUCAUAUGCUUGAUAUUCAUUCUGACAAGCCCUACCCAAGUCGAGAAUUGUCAAAUGGAGCCGAGUUAGUUUUUUAAAUUUUAUUAAUUUGAUCCAAGUAGAAAGUACACACAUAUGAACUUUUCCAACCUCGACCCAUGUCACGAUCUUCUAUUUUUUGGAAAAAAUUAUUACUCAACUCUAAAGUAAUGUACCUGCCAAGUGUAUUUUCCCAAAUAGUUAUCAUCUAAUUAACUCUCCUACCCACGGCAUCUAAUCACUAAAAGACUUCUCAUGCACUAUGCAGCUUGUUGCUAAUUUGUGAAUUGAUCAUAAAGCCCCCAACUACUCACCAAUUAGGAACAUUUAGUGCACGUUUGGGCUAUUAAGAAAGAAAGACAAGUUCGUGAUUUUUUAGACUACUGUGUACUAAACACACAAUUGGAUAAUCCUGAUUGCCUUGAACUCCUUCCGUAUAAAAACCUCUACGAACGAGAUUGAAUUUUUCUCGACUGCAUAGAGGAAAAAGAUAAUAGUGUUGGAAAAUAUUUAGGCCCUGUUUGGCACCCAUUUUUAUCAAAAUGCAUUUUUCUCUCUCUUCAUUUCAACCACACAUUCUUUAUUAAAAUAAUAUUACACGUAAAUCAAAAACUUUUUCUUAUUUUUCAACCAUACAUUUCUCAUCAAUUUACUAUUCAAAAAUGCAUUUUCACAUAAAAAUUCCUACCAAACACCCUCUUCAUUUAAGUUUUAAAUUUCCAAAUUAAUAAUUUGUUGUUUUAUUUUAAUUUCAAUUUAAUACAAAAUUGAAUUAAUGAAGUGUAACAUACAUAUUAUAAUUUGUGGUAAGUUUCAACUUUCAAAUUAAAACCUUUUAAUUUUAAGUUUUAACACGAAAUUAAAGUACCAUAAUACAUAUUAUAACUUAUGUUUUAAUAGUAUAAAUGUGGGGGGUUGAAAUUUUACCUGUAAAAAGGUGAUUGGAUUUCAUUGUUGAAUAUAUCAUACAACAACUAAAAGUAUUAUCAUCUCCAUAGCUUCAUACUAUAUUCUUAUGCUUUUCACAACUUGAUGUGAGGCUUGUUCUUUAUCUCCCCAUGCUUGUGCCCAUAGAAAGAGAGCUACAUGAGUUUUAUCUUGGAGUCGUGUAUUGCCGAAAGAACUUACACGAAGGGAAGGCAACACAACUUUAGGACAACGUCCUCGAUGUGACUUCCAAGACUUACUUUUCUAACCCUCUUCUUAUGUUUAUAUUAUUUUGAAUCAUGUUUGUGUUAUUUAAUUGAAUUGUGUUAUUUAUAAUUUUAGUUGAUAAAUUUAUCUACACACAAAUCACCAAUUUUCACAAUAAUCUAAAGUCGUGUUGGUGAUUUGCUUGUAGAUUAAAUGUUGUGAUCAACAAAUUUAAAAGGUAUUUUCUUGAUUUGAUGUAUGUGACUAAAUUAUAUUUGCUAAAUUAUUAGAUUUACUAUUUGAAUAAUAAUGCUCUCCAAAGGUUAUGAAUUAGAUUCAUGUGAACUGGCUUCUUUAAUAAUUGAGAAUGACUAAUGUUUGAUGGAAAAAUAAUAAUAAUUCUAUGAUAUUAACCAUAGUGGUGACUGGGACAGAUUCUAAUCUAUAUUAUUAGAAUGGGAAAAAAAAAAAAAGUGAUCUUGUACUAAUUAUAUUUAAUUAUAAUUAGAAUAAUCCCCUUAUUUGCUCUUAUGUACUUAGAACUUAUUAUUAUUAUUUUAAAUUUCAACGGUUGUACUUGAUUGAUUCUAAUUUAUAUUGUAAGUAGAAAUAUUUAAAAUUUAUGCCUCAGCAAUGUAGGAAUUUAUGUAUUUUGGGAGUGAAGAAAAAUUUUUAUGUAGUCCAAUAAAGAAUAGUGGCUGAAACAACAAAAUGAAGCUAACUUCGAAGUUCAGAAAGAUUAGGUGGACAUAAGAAGGGUGCAAGUAAUGGACCACAUAUUUCAAUUUUGACAUUUUGUAUUCUGUGCUUUGUAAUAGAACUUUGCCUCUAGGUUUAGUAAUUUCCAUAUUGGUGAUUAAUGAGAAUGGAUAGUUGAAAAUCAUAGUUAUUGGCUGAAAUCUAAAUAAAAUUCCAAAAACUGAGAACAAAAUGCCGAAAAUAACUUCAAGUAAUAAUCACAAAGAAGGUUCUACAUCGAUGUCCGCAUAUGCGCUCAUUGUAAGGCUUAAUGAACCUUGGCGUGAAAAGCAUCAAGGAAAAAUAUUUUCCAAGGUAUGAUGGUCAAGUUGAAGGUUAGAUUAUGUGAUUUUUAUUUAGUUAUUACCAUUUGUGCAUAUACAGGUAAUUUACAAUUAUUUUUGUCAAUGACUAGGUGAAUAAUUAAUCAUGAUAUAAGUUUGCUAAUGAUAUUCUCAAAUUAACUACUUGCAUAUAUGUGGGAAUAAAAACUUACUGAAGAAAUUAUGCUAGAACAUAAUUGUUAUUCGGUUCAAAUUUUAUUUGUUUAAUUUAACCUGUUGUUAAUAAAAGUUAUAAGUAAAUGUUUCAAAAAGGAGUUCUAUAAAUUUAAAUAGAAUAAAAUGUUGUGACCAAAACUUAAAUAAUUGAGGUUAUAAUAUUGUAAUCUAUAUGUUGGAGAUUUUUAAAUGUCAUCUUCAUUGAUCUUUAUAUUAAUAGGCUUUACAAAUAAUUGUUGUAGAAUGAAUAUUAGUUACUAAAGAGAAAAAAGGAACGGAGUGAUAUAUUGGUAAUCAUAUGGUGUAAGAUGCAAAAGGGAAAAUUAUUUGCUAGAAUUUCACCUGACUUUGUUUAAUUGAAGCAAUAUUUCUUUGGAGGACUAUUCAAUUUACUAUAUUUGAAAAUUGGUUUAUGGUAUAAUAAAUUGCAAAUAUUUUAUCUAAGGCCUAUUUUAUGAAUGUGAAGGCAUGUUAACCAUAUUUGAUACUUUAUGGUCAUGUUAAAGAAUAUUGUCCAACAUUUUGUGAUACAUAAACAUCAUUGUAUUCCAUUAUGUUUUCCAAGUUGGAGAAUUUGUAAAUAUUUAUAUUUGGACUAACAGAAUCAUUGGGCUCAUAAAGGUAUUGCCAAAUGGAUUAAGUGAUAAUCUAUUUAAUUAAUUUUGAUCAAUUGUCAUAUACAUUGAAUUUCACUUCAUGUAUUAGAUGACACUUUCUGGCUUUUUAGUGAACAACACCCUUUCCUAGAUGCAUGAAGAAGGCCAAUUUAAUAUGUGGCAAAGAAGUGCUACAAGUUGGAUAUAUUUGAAAUAUGGGAGUGUUUAAAAUUUCGCAUAAAGAUGUCUUCUAUGUUAUUAUUCUUUGUAAAUUGACUCUUGAAAUGUAUUAAAAGUUAUAUUGAAAAUUUGAAGGUGAAAGUGAAAUGCAAGAGUUCAAUGGAUUUAUCUGCUCGAACGUAUUACUAGAAUCAAUAUUAAACUUUCGUUUGUUUAUCUUACUAAACUUAGAUAUGUGAUAUUGAUAUUUUGGAAAUUGUAGAAGUUUUUGCAGAUAUGCAGGUGAAGAAUAAAAGCUUUGCAAAUUGAUGGUAUCAAAUUAUUGUCCAAAAGGGCACAUAAAUAAAUUAUAGUCCAUCAUGGACAUACAUAAAUCAUCGAGGGGUAUAGAUUUAAGCCCAUGAGGGAGUUACCUUCGGGAGUAAUCCAACCUUUGUGAUUGAAGAUCCCAUGAAGAAGGUUCAAUGUGAUAGAAACAACCCGUACUGUGUGACCCGUAGUAGCACUAUAUCAUUUGUACUCAUCCCUAUGGUGAUAAUGCUAAUAAUAAUGUGAUGUUAGGAAGGGUUCAACCCUGAAUGAGUACCGAGACAAGAAUUCUCGUGAGGUAUGGGUCAUACACACCCUUGGAGGGAUAUAGAUUUAAGCCCAUAAGGGAGUUAUAGUCCAUCAUGGACAUAAAAUAAAUUAUAGUCCAUCAUGGACAUAUAUAAAUCAUUGAGGGGGAUAGAUUUAAGCCCAUAAGGGAGUUACCUUCGGGAGUAACCCAACCUUUGUUAUUGGAGAUCCCAUAAAGAAUGUUCAAUGUGGUAGAAACAACAUGUACUAUGUGACUCAUAGCAGCACUAUAUCAUUUGUGCUCAUCCCUAUGGUGAUAAUGCUAAUAAUAAUGUGAUGUUAGGAAGGGUUCAACCCUGAAUGAGUACUGAGACAAGAAUUCUCGCGAGGUAUGAGUCAUACACACCCUUGGAGGACUCACCUAUGUAAGAGUUGCCAUGAUGUCGUGGCUAUAGGAUUGGGCUAUUCCCUAAAAAUUCUUACUAGAAUCAAGAUUAGAGCGCUUAACUAUUAACAGUGCUACUCGCAAUGAACUGAACCUAAAUCGAUACUAUGUGUGAAACAAUUGAAGUUUGGUUAAAGGGACUUAAUUCAAGGCUUAGUCCAUUAUAGCUCCAUGAUGCAGGAGGAUCCGAGUCAAGUGAUGCUGAUUUGUCAGAUAGCAUGAUGAUGGUGGUGAGAUACCAUGAGAUGGCGGAUCAGCGCAAAAAUAGAAAGUGAAUCACCAUUAUUUCCUUAAUUGGGAGAAUUUGACGCGUCUUUGGUAAUUUGGCCAUAACUUUGGCUACGGUUAUCGGAAUCGCUAUUAUGACCCCAAUUCGGAAAGCUCUCUUUAGCGCGCACGUCAUGGCUACCUGAGCUAUGCUCGAUGGACGUCAAUUUCGAGCCCAAAAUCUACUGUUUUCCUUUCCAAAAUUCAAUUUUAAGUUAUUUUUUACUAUUUAUGGUAAUAUUUCGUUUCCUUUUUUUCCAUAUGUUAGAAAACUCGAAUUGAGCCAAAUUUUUGGCAACUUACUUCUUUUACUUAAUAUUUUAUUUUGGUAUAAUUUUGGGAUUUUGCCAUUUUUGGUAAUUUUCCCAUAAUUUCGUAUUUCGCAGCUAUUUAACCCGGCUUGUGGGUUAGUUUUCAUCAUUCUGCAUUAUUAAUAAUAUUGAGUUGAAUUCAGAGUCUUUUCUCUGGUUUUUUUGGGCGUUUUCUGUCGUUCUUUUCUUGCGAAUCAUCUGCUACAAUAAGACAAUAGGAUAAUCACUAUCCUACUCGGCGUCAGUUGGUGUCAGAGCGUCAGCAUCUUCUUGGGAGAUAAAUUCCAUCAGUUAUAAUGGUUGGUGGACGUGGUCAUGGUCGUUGAGGAUAGGUUCUGAUUGAGGAAGUCCAACACCGUGAUCGUAAUAUUCAGGAUGUGACGAUUGAAGAUUUGCAGAGACAAGUUGCGGAGUUAACCCAACGUCUGGUGGAGCAGGAAUUCGAUAAUCAUGAUGUAGAAGGUCAUGAUUCCGAUACCAGUUUCGAAAACCCGUAUCACCAUCGUGCUCGAGUUUGGGAGCAUCGUGGAUGAGAGGAUCGUCAUGUGGAUCUCGGUUUCAGAGUGGAUCUGCCCGAGUUUUCUUGUACGUUGCAGGCUGAAGGAUUUAUUGAUUGGCUGAAUGAAGUGGAGCGAAUUUUUGAAUAUAAGGAGGUUCCAGAUCGUGUCAAAGUGAAACUGGUCGCCAUCAAACUCAAAGGUAGGGCAUCUGCAUGGUGGGAACAGUUGAAGCGUUCACGGGAGGGACAGGAAAAAUCCAAAAUUACUAACUGGGAGAAGAUGAAGAAGAAGAUGAAGGGGCACUUCCUCCCCUUCGGCUAUACUCAAACCUUGUUUCAGAGGCUUCAUUCACUAAGGCAAGGCGCAAGAUUAGUCAAUGAUUAUACUGAAGAAUUCUAUCAGUUGGUGGCUCGAAAUGAUUUAUCUGAGACGGAGGAGCAGAUGGUAGCACGGUAUUUGGGGGGAUUAAGGCAGCCCCUGCAGGAUGUUCUCAGCCUUCAUUCAUUGUGGACAGUUUCUGAGGCAUAUCAGCGAGCACUUGCAGUAGAGAAACAGCAAAGUAGGAGGCCAGUGGUCAGAGGUGAAGGAAGUCAGCCAGUUCGCCCUCAAGAAUCUCGUCCUGCUUAUCAGCCACGGCGGGAUAGUUCCAGCUCAAGUAUUAAGUGCUUUAGGUGUGGUGAACAGGGGCAGAGGGCGACUGAUUGCAGGAAGCCUGCUGGUCAGAAGAAUAAAAAUCUUCUGAUUGAGGAAGAUAUGAUAGAGGAGUUUGAGGAAGUUGGGGAACCCGUGUAUGAUGAGGGUGAAGAUGAGGACGUGCUAUAUGGAGAUGGUUAGGAGACCCUGGUCGUUCGAAAGAGCCUGCUGACUCCUAAGGGCGACUCAGGGGAUGAUUGGUUGAGGACCAACGUUUUCCACACAACCUGCACAGUUGUUGAUAAAGUCUGUAAGCUGAUAAUUGAUAGUGGCAGUUGUGAGAAUGUAGUGUCUGAGGAGGCUAUCGAGAAACUACAACUGAAGAUGGAUCGUCAUCCCAAACCAUACAAGUUGUCUUGGCUGAAUAAAGGCAGUGAGGUAACGGUAGAAAAACGAUGCUUAGUGUCUUUCUCGAUUGGAAAAAAAUGUUUUGAUAAUGCUUGGUGUGAUGUGGUAUCAAUGGAUGCGUGUCAUAUUUUCUUGGGAUGACCUUGGCAGUAUGAUCGCAGUGUUAUCCAUGAUGGGCGGAAGAAUACUUAUUCUCUUAACAUCAAAGGGAAGAGAAUUAUUUUGGUGCCUCACAGGGGAGGAAACAUCCCUGCCCCAGUAGUUAAAAACCCCAAUCUAGUUUCGAUAUCCAGAUUCUUGGUUGAGGUUGGACGUGAAAAAAUAGUUUAUGCUUUAAUGCCUCGUGAAAAUAAUACAGCGAAUGUGGAUUCAGAAUUCCCAGCAAAAGUACAGCAACUACUGAUGGAGUUUUCUGACUUGAUGCCGGAGGAUCUUCCUCCAGGACUACCACCUAUAAGGGACAUUCAACAUCAGAUCGACCUCAUUCCGGGGUCGAGUCUUCCAAACCGACCAGCAUAUCGCCUCAGUCCCAAGGAAGCUGAAGAGUUGCAGCGACAGGUGGUAGAAUUAUUGGAAAGGGGCUACAUUCGUGAGAGUAUGAGUCCUUGUGCAGUUCCUGCUCUCCUAGUGCCGAAGAAAGAUGGGUCAUGGCGUAUGUGUGUUGACAGCAGGGCAAUUAACAGGAUUAUAGUGAAGUACAGGUUCCCAAUUCCCCGUCUGGACGGCAUAUUGGAUCAAUUGUCCGGUUCUAAGGUCUUCUCAAAAAUUGACCUUAAAAGUGGAUACCACUAGAUCAGAAUCAGACCUGGAGAUGAGUGGAAGACCGCGUUCAAGACACAGCAUGGGUUGUACGAGUGGAUGGUCAUGCCCUUUGGACUAUUCAACGCACCCAGCACUUUUAUGAGGUUUAUGCAUCAGGUUUUACGGCCUUUCAUGGGGAAGUUUGUGGUAGUUUAUUUUGAUGACAUACUUAUUUAUAGUUUGACAUGGGAGUCACAUUUUAAUCAUCUUCGUGCUGUCUUUGAUGUAAUGAGGACGGAGCGCUUAUUCAUCAAUCAGAAUAAGUGUUCUUUCUUCAUAACUUCUAUAACUUUUUUGGGUUUUGUUGUGUCUACUGAUGGUGUUCAUGCAGAUCAAUCCAAAAUUGAGGCAGUUUUGAAUUGGCCAAAACUAAAAACUUUGCACAACGUCAGGAGUUUCCAUGGAUUGGCAUCCUUCUAUCGUCGAUUCAUCAGAAACUUUAGUACCUUGAUUGCUCCUAUCACAGAGUGCCUUAAAGGGCGUGAUUUUCAGUGGACUGAGGAGGCAGGGGCUAGCUUUCAGUUGGUUAAGCAGAAGAUGACGGAGGCCCCAGUCUUGGCACUUCCGAAUUUUGAAAAGGUGUUCGAGGUAAACUGUGAUGCGUCUGGAGUUAGCAUUGGUGGUGUUCUGAGUCAGGAGGGACGUCCAGUAGCCUUUUUUAGUAAGAAGCUAUCGGGAUCGAAGAAAAAUUAUUCCACUUAUGACUUGGAGUUCUAUGCCAUAGUUCAGACUUUGAAGCAUUGGCGCCAUUACCUGGUACAGAGGGAGUUCAUCCUUAUUACUGAUCAUAAGGCUUUGAAGUACAUCAAUGGUCAGCACAAGCUGAGUAGGCGACAUGCAAAGUGGGUGGCGUACUUACAGGAGUUUACUUUCACACUCAGGCAUCAAGCAGGGAGUUUGAAUCGAGUAGCAGAUGCAUUGAGCCAUCGCACACUACUCCUCACCACCAUGAGCACCAAGAUUGUCGGAUUUGAGGCAUUUCCUGAUAUGUAUGUUGUGGAUCCUUCAUUUGGGAAGAUAAUUCGGGAGGUAACUGAUAAUCACCGACAUGAUUUUGUUUUACAUAAUGGUUACCUGUUUCGUGGAUUGCAGUUAUGCAUUCCGGAUUGUUCACUAAGGCAGCAGAUUAUUAGUGAACUUCAUAACGAAGGACAUUUUGGGCGAGACAAGACAUUGGCAUUAGUCUCUUCUGAUUAUUACUGGCCCAAGUUGAGCAGUGAUGUGGCGCAUUAUGUGGAGCGGUGUUAUGUAUGUCAGCGGUCUAAAGGGGCUCUUACUAAUGCUAUACAAAUCAUUACCCGUACCUGAAGCUCCUUGGUUUGAUGUCAGUAUGGAUUUUGUCUUGGGCUUACCUCGUACACAGCGGGCGAUGGAUUCCAUUCUUGUUGUGGUUGACAGAUUUUCAAAGAUCGCUCAUUUUGUGGCUUGCCGGAAGACAAUGGAUGCUACUCGGAUUGCUUAUCUUUAUUUCAGAGAGAUUGUGUGUUUACAUGGUGUUCCACAGUCAAUUACUUCUGAUCGUGACACUAAGUUUAUGAGUCAUUUCUGGAGGAGUUUGUGGGAGAAACUUGGAACGAAAUUGAAUUUUAGCAGCGCAUACCAUCUCCAAACAGAUGGUCAGACUGAGGUGGUGAAUCGGAGUUUGGGAAAUCUUUUGAGACGCUUAGCCGGGACUAAACCGAAGCAGUGGGAUUUGGCAUUACCUUAAGCAGAGUUUGCUUAUAACCGGUCGAGGAAUAGAACCACCGGACUGAGUCCUUUUGAAAUUGUCUAUGGUCGAAACCUAUCCGGAGUACUUGAUUUGGCUCCAAUUCCACGUGUGGGUCGCUUCAAUAACAAAGCUGAUGAGAUGGCUGAACAUCUUCGAGGUGUCCAUGAGUAGGUGAAGCUGUCCAUACAGGAAAGUAAUACUAAGUACAAAGCUCAGGCAGAUAGUCAUCGACGCCAGGUGUUGUUUGAUGUUGGUGAUUUUGUUUGGGCAGUAUCAACUCGUGAUCGUUUUCCAGCUGGGGAAUACAAUAAGCUAAAGGAGCGGAAGAUUGGACCUUGUGAAGUGCUGCAGAAGAUCAAUGAUAAUGCUUACAGAUUGCGCCUCCCAAGCCAUUUGAAGACCUCUGACGUCUUCAACGUAAAACACCUAAGCCCUUGUUUUAUGGAGUCCGAUGAAGUUACUAUGAACUCGAGGGCGAGUUCUUUCCAACCCGGGGCCACUGAUGCAGGAGGAUCCUAGUUGAGUGAUGCUGAUUUGUCAGAUAGCACGAUGAUGGCGCUGAGAUACCAUGAGAUGGCGGAUCGGCGUAAAGAUAGAAAGUGAUUCACCAUUAUUUCCUUAAUUGAGAGAAUUUGACGCGUUUUUGGUAAUUUGGCCAUAACUUUGGCUACGGUUAUCGGAAUCGCUAUUAUGACCCAAUUCGGAAAGCUCUCUUCGGCACGCACGUCGUGGCCACCUGAGCUAUGCUUGGUGGACGUCAAUUUCGAGCCCAAAAUCCACUAUUUUCCUUUCCAAAAUUCAAUUUUAAGUUAUUUUUUACUAUUUAUGGUAAUAUUUCGUUUCCUUUUUUUCCAUAUGUUAGAAAACUCGAAUUGAGCCAAAUUUUUGACAACUUACUUUUUUUACUUAAUAUUUUAUUUUGGUAUAAUUUUGGGAUUUUGCAAUUUUUGGUAAUUUUCCCAUAAUUUCGUAUUUCGCAGAUAUUUAACCUGGCUUGUGGGUUAGUUUUCAUCAUUCUGCAUUAUUAAUAAUAUUGAGUUGAAUUCAGAGUCUUUUCUCUGGUUUUUUUUGGGCGUUUUCUGUCUUUCUUUUCUUGCGAAUCAUCUACUACAACAAGUCAAUAGGAUAAUCACUAUCCUACCCGGCGUCACUCCAUCAAAUUGAAAUUGUUGAGGUUCAAGUUCAAAAGACACCUACACCUAUUGCACGGUAUAAUGUUGCCAUUAUAUAUAUAUUUUUUAAAAAUUUAAAACUUGUGGGGGAUUGUUGAAAAAUAUUUAAUUUAGUUUUAAAUUUUCAGAUUAAUAAUUUGUUGUUUUAUUUUAAUUUCAGUUUAAUACAAAAUUGAAUUAAUAAAGUGUAACAUACAUAUUAUAAUUUGUGGUAAGUUUCAACUUUCAAAUUAAAACCUUUUAAUUUUAAGUUUUAACACAAAAUUAAAGUACCAUAAUACAUAUUAUAACUUAUGUUUUAAUAGUAUAAAUGUGGGGGGUUGAAAUUUUACCUGUAAAAAGGUGAUUGAAUUUCAUUGUUGAAUAUCUCAUACAACAACUAUAAGUAUUAUCCUCUCCACAACUUCAUACUAUAUUCUUGUACUUUUCACAACUUGAUGUAGAAAGAGAGCUACAUGGGUUUUAUCUUGAAUCAAUGUAUUGCCGAAAGAACCCGUACGAAGGGGAGGUAACACGACUUUAGGACAACGUCCUCGAUGUAACUCUCAAGACUUGUUUUUCUAAGCCUCUUCUUAUGUUUAUAUUAUUUUGAAUCAUGUUUAUGUUAUUUAACUGAAUUGUGUUAUUUAUAAUUUUAAUUGAUAAAUUUAUCUACUCACAAAUCACCAAUUUUCACAAUAAAUAGCAACUGUUUGAAGGAUUCAAUGAGGUUAUUAAAAAAAGAAAAUGAAAUUACCUUCGUGCAACUUUGCAGGUCUUAUUUUCAGGUGAUCAAAGAGACCCAGAAUGGCUGGACAAGUUAAAUAGACAUUUUCUCCUGAAUUAUGGCACGAAAAUCAUUGCAACUUAAUAAUAUUAAAGAAACAAUUAGUUAAGGCAUUUCAUCGAACAUUUUCUUCUCACACUCCAAAUCGCAGGUUGUUAUCACUCACAAGCAGAUUGGUACGUUCCUUGUAUAAAAGAUUGUAUUUUCCAUUCCUCACAUAUUACUACUUAUCAUUCAUUUAUAAAAAAUAAAAAUCUGUCAAAUAAUCUUCACAGUGGCACUUUUGGGAUUUUUUUUCCCAUUCCCUCAUUUUCUCUACCACUCUCUCCUUCAGUUUCUAACCAGGGGAAAAAACAAUUCUCGACUAGAGAACUAACAAAACUCUAUGAUGAUGAGUUUGUACGUGGAUAGAGAAAUGUGUCGUGUGCAUAGGUGGUGGUGUUGGGUUUGCGAGUGAUGGUUGUGAUUAUAAGCCUUGUAAGGUUAUUUCCAGUAGGGUGUAACGACUAAAUAUGUUACAUAGGUUUCAGAAAUAGGCUUGUUAGGGUGCUCAAUCCGCUUAUAAAUCCACAAGACAAGUCUUUAUAGAUUAUCGAGAGUAAAAAUUGUUGAGAAUUAGAAUCUCUAAUUUUAUACCCCCUGAGAACAAUAAAAUCGUAGAAAGAAAAUAGACACAUAAUAAUACACAAGAUUUAUUAAAGUUCUUCUCAAUGUGAGUGUACAUCAUCAUCCAUUGCUACAAUAAUUUACCAUGAUGAAAAAAAGUUUGUAAGAAAAAGUCACGCCCUCUAUUUUCUAUAACCCAUCUUCAUUUGAUGACUAUUACAAGUUUGAAUUGCAUACGGGCUUUACACAUCAACAAUAAAUAGACUCUAUAACUUAAUAAAACACAUUCAUAUGACGGAAAAGAAAGUAUCAAUAACAUAAACUAGAUUCAUCAAAAGUGACAAUUUACAUAAAUCCUAAUGGACACUGUCGGAAUUAGGGUAUGAUCUGGAUUCUAUUUGGAAGAUUAUUUAAGAAUUCUAUUUGAAAAUUCUUGUUAGAAUUCAAUUUGGGAGUUUAACUUGGAGUUUAUUGUUUGUGUUGGAUUUGAAGAAGAUUUAAGGAGUCCAGUUUACAAUAGAAAAGAAAGAAAUCGUGCAAGGAGGCAUCCCAUCUACGGAUGCUGAGCGUUUAGAACAGGGGUGCCAGCUCUCACUAUCCUCAUCCUAUAUAAACACUCUACAUAUCUUCCUUCAAAGAGACACCACAAACUGAAUUAAAGAUACAAAACAUUAUAGUUGGAUUCGAAUAUUAGCUUAAAAGAAUUAAUAUGGCAUUUAAAAAAACAAAUAGCUGGGUAUUUGCUAAAAUCCAAAAGUGAAAAAGAAGGUAUUUUCAAUUUCUUUAAAGAAAAGUAGGUAUGUAUCAAAAUUGUCCAUGGGCCGCCCUGCCCUAGGUUCAAUUCGUUAAUGUUAUUUGAAGCUUCAAAAUGAUUAAGUAAAAUUAAGAGUAAUGGUGAUAUUGUUCGUUAAAUAUUUCUUGCAAUCGAAGUUUGCAAGUUGUACUGAAAUUUAUAUAUUCUUUUUUUAUUAAGAGUAUGUGUUGGCAUAAACUACUUGCGUUUUGGAAACUUGUGAGGACAAACACAGAUUUUAAAACUCAAAAUCAAUUUGCUUUUUUUCAUUUUACAUCGGACGGUACCAAACAAUUAUGGAUCUGUCGGGCAUAGAAACCACACAAAUGGACUCAGACAUCGAGUAGAGCAUGUCUUUUAUAUAUGUGAGUAGAGCAUGGUUAAUUUAAUAUUUAUUUAACAAAUUAUCUCUUACUCAUUACAACAUAAUAAUUUUUUUGAAAUUAAUAAAAAUUUAGAAAAAUUAUUGAUUUAUAUAUAUAACUGUUUUUUUUUAAUUGAUUUAAAGAUAUAUGAAUUAGUUGUUAAUUUAUGGAUAGAUGUCUUCAAAAGAAAAAUCUAUAAUUUUAGUACUUGUACACGACUUUUUUCUUUGACCACAUAUACACGUACAACUUACAAAUAAAGAAAUAAUGAACUAAAAGAUUUAGAGUAUCUCCAAUAAACUCUUGAAACGUAAGAUUCUCUUUAUUUCAAAUAGUCAACUCAUAAACUUACGCUCCAAAAGACACUUUAUAUUAACAUUUUAAUUUAGAAAGUCUUUAUAAUUAAAUGGAUCUAAAGUAUUUCAAUUUUCGAAGGGGGAAAAAAACAUAAUAAUUUGAAGGGAAGCUAGAAAAAAUAAAAGAUGGGGAAAACAAUAAAUAUUUUUUGAAAGUAGUAAAAUUAAGUAUUAAAUAUAAAAAGCGUAUUUAAGUAGUUAAAAUUUUUACUUUUAAAUUUAUAGAUGAUCUCUAAAUUGAAGAACAUGUUCCGUAAAAAAUAGAGAUUUUCUUGGAGAUACUCUUACACGUUAAUUACAACUAACAAACAAAGGAAAAUAGAAUAAACAACACAUUACACAUACCUACAUGCACACGCCCUCACUGAGAUGGAGAAUUAGACACACCUUGCGCAACUAGCUAUACAGGAAUUACAUACAUAGACGAUAUUUAACAAAUAUACAUAAUUCCUUAACACUCUGAAAGGAAUUAAUGGGUCCCUAAAUGAAUUGCAUAAUCAUAAAGCAAGAAACUAAACAGAGAGAAAAAAGGGACCUAUCAAUUUGAGUAUUGGCGGGUAAUGAUUUAUCACUCAACAGUUAAAUGUACUGAACUAGAAGCAUUGCAUAGCAAGGCUAUGGUUUAAAAAGUAAGACCUUGUAACAAGCAGUUAAUUUCAAAAAUAGUAAAGCUCUAGUGCUAAUCAUGAGUUCAGAAUAUGCCCUCUUUUUUUACAAGGAAAACUCCAUUGUCCCCGUACACUUGCCACAUUCAAACGUGCGGGUUCUUUGCUUUUACACCCAAGUAGAUUUAGUUGCAUAAAUACCUGUCUUUUUAUCCUUGCUUUUAAAUUCUUCAUACCUUUUCCAAAUUCGUUUAGUUUAGAAAUUUUCAAACUAUUAUCAUAAUAAAUCAUUCUCUGCUAUUUAAAUUAUUCUUGAUACCAAUUAAAAGAAUGGAAAAAACAAUCCUUCUAGAUGGAUGAAAAGACUUUCCCAGUCACUAUCCUUUUCUUCAGUUUUCGUCCCUUAUCAAAACAAGAGACAGGUGGUACAAUCUCAAUUCAUGGUUUCUUGACAAAGAGACUUUUCUUACAACAACAAAGAAACCAUUCUAGGCCCCAUAGCCAGCGUUGACUUGUGUCAUUCCAAGAGGAAGACGACGAAGACCAAAGACUUUUCAACCAAUAAAUAACAAAUUACAACAAAUGAUAGAUACUACUAACCAAUAAAAAAACGAGUCAAGUCAAUUGUACAUUACUUUCUUGUUAGCUUGUGAGGUCCUUGUCAUUUGAUAAUAAUGGAGUAAUGGACAUAAAACAAUGCAGAAUUAAAAAAUAAAUAAAAUACGUAGAAGAUCAUACCAUUGAUAACUGCUUUACAAAAUAAUAGAUUGAUAGAAUCAAUUUCCAAAUAAGUGCUAAUAUGCGGCUAACGACAAUGUAGUAAUAUGUUAAUUAUCAAAGUAGAAUUGGUUAGAUGAAGACUUAAAUUGUCAAGGUACAAACCGAAGCGGUCAAAUAAUGUUUUUGAGGUGGAUGUAAUAUCAUAGACCCUCAAGCUAUCUUAAAGGAAAUGGAAAAAAAAAAUCAUCUAUGGGAUGGAUAUAACAUCACUGAUUGUUAAAAGUGCUUGUAAAAUUCGUAAAUAUGUCCACAUAAAACAUGGGGAAAAUUGCAGCUAAGGUACCAAACCUUUCGUUUCUUAGCAGACUUUACCUAAACUUUUCAUUUGUAUCACCAUAGUACCAAACCUUUAAAAAAUUCGCAGUUCAAGUCUGUAUUAACGAUUUUCGCCAGUUUGACCCAAAAAACUAUCAGUUGACUUCAAAAAUUAAAAAUAUAACAAUUUUGACCACAUAAAGCAAGGGUAAAACUGUAACUCUAUAAUUUUAAUAUUAAAAGAAAAUUAAAAAUGGGAAAAAAAAUCUCCUCCUUCAUCUUCCCCAAUCCUCCAUCUCCACCGACAGUCGACACCACCUCCUCAGUCUUGAGGGCUCAAACGAUGGAACUCAGCCAAAGACUGCAAUCCCUCAACGAAAUCCUUAAUUACAUCAACAGUAGCACAGCCGUCGUCGCUGCCACCUCCAGCCUCCAAUAGCUUUUUCCAGGCUGAGGAGUUUCAAGGGUUUUCUGAUGUGUUUUUGAACAAUCCCUAGAAUUUAAUGUACAUUAAUCAACAGCUAAUCAUGGCCUCAGCUGAUAUGUUUGAUUAUUAAGUUCACUAGUUUGUUCAAGGUUUCGAUGGUGAAAAAUAAAAAUGUUUUUUUAUUAAAAAAAAUAAAAAAAAUAAGACCAUCUCCUUCUCCUCUACCACCACCUGUGAAAACGUAAGAAGUUUCUAUCAUUUGCACCGUGCUUAUGCUUACUAUUGCAUGGUCCAUGUAGUAAUUGACCAGAUCUUGCACUUAUUGGUUUUCACAUUCUUCACCUCUGCCUACCACAAUUCUUCCUAGGGCGUUAAUCUAGGUUGCAACCAGGAAAAGGAGAAGGAGAAACACUAGAGUUUUGGCCAUUGUUAGAAAAUUAGGUAAGACCUCAGGUGGUGGUGUCGGUGGGUGGCAAAUGGACGAUGGGUGGUUUUGAUUUUGGGGUGAGGGGAUUGGGGAAGAUGAAGGAGGAGAUGGUUUUUUUUCUCCUUUUUAAUUUUUUUUAAUAUUAAUAUUAUAGAGUUACAUUUUACCCUUGCCCAAAAUUAUUAUAUUUUUAAUUUCUGAAGUCAACUAACAGUUUUUUCGGGUCAAACUGACGGAAACCGUUAAUACGGACUUGAACUGCGAAUUUUUUAAAGGUUUGGUACACACUGUGUCACAAAUGAAAGGUUUGGCAAAUUCUACUAAUAAACGAAAGAUUUGGUACCUUGACUGCAAUUUUCCCUAAAACAUGCCACAGUAACACAUGAAACCAAAUGCCUGAUAAAUCAGAAGUCAGAUUGAAUGCCAUCCUCACCAUCCCUAUACCUCCAUAUGCUUGAUAUUCAUUCUGACAAGCCCUACCAAGUCGAGAAUUCUCAAAUGGAGCCAAGAUAGUUUUUUAAAAUUUUUAAUUUGAUCCAAGUAGAAAGUACACACAUCGAACAUUUCCAACCUCGACCCACAGCCAAGUCGAACUUCUAUUUUUUGGAAAAAAAUUUCAACUCAAUUCUAAAGUAGAUGUACUAGCCAAGUGUAUUUUCCCAAAUAGUUAUCAUCUAAUUAAGUCUCCUGCCCACGGCUUCUAAUCGCUAAAAGACUGCUCAUGCACCAUGCAGCUUGUUGCUAAUUUGUGAAGUGAUCAUAUAGCCCCUAACUAUUAAGACAGAUAAUCACCAAUCAGGAACAUUUAGUGCAUGUUUGGGCAGUAUUAAGGAAGAAACACAAGUUCAUGAUUUUGUAGACUACUGUGUGCAAAACACACAAUUGGAUUAAUCCUGAUUUCCUUGAACUCCAUCUGUAUUAAAACCUCUAUGAACAAGAUCGAAUUUUUCCCGACUGCACAGAGGAAAAAGAUAAUAGCAAAUCUUUGAAGGAUUCAAUGAGAUUAUAAAAAUAAUAAAAAGAAAUUACCUUCGUGUAGCCUUACUGGUCUUAUUUUCAGCUGAUCAAAGAAACCCAUAGAGGCUUGACAAGUUAAAUAGACAAUUUCUCCUGAACUAUGGCAUGCAAAUCAUUGCAACUUAAGAAUAUUAAAGAAAUAAUUAGUUAAGGCAUUUCGUCGAAUAGUUUUUUCUCACACUCCAAAUCGCAGGUUGUCAUCACUCACGAAUCACUCACAAGCAGAUUGGUAUAUUCCUUUUAUAAAAGAUUGUGUUUUUCAUUCCCUCACAUAUUACCACUCAUCAUUCAUUUAUAAAAAAUUAAAAAUCUGUCAAAUAAUCAUUACAAUGGCACUUUUGGGAUUUUUUUCCCAUUCCCCCAUCCAAUUUUCUCGGCCACUCUUUCCUUCAGUUUCUAACCAAGGAAAAAAAUACAAUUCUAGACCAGAGAACUAACAAAAUUCUAUGAUGUUGAGUUUGUAUAGAUGGUGGUGUUGGGUUUGCAAGGGAUGGUUGUGAUUAUAAGCUUUGUGAGGUUAUUGCCAGUAGGGUGUAACGACUAGAUAUGUUAUAUAGGUUUCAAAAAUCAGCUGGUUAUGGUUCUCAAUCCACUGAUAAAUCCACGAGACAAGUCUUUAUAGAUUAUCAAGAGUGAAAAUUGUUGAGAAUUAGAGACCCUAAUUUUAUACCCGAGAACAAUAAAAUCGUAGAAAGAAAAUAGACACAUAAUGAUAUGCAAGAUUUAUAAAAGUUCUUUUCAAUGUAAGUCUACGUCAUCAUCCAGUGAUACAAUGAAUUUUUAUGAUGAAAAAAAAUUUAUAAGAGAAAAAUCGCACCCUCUAUUUUCAAUAGCCCGUCUUUCUCUUUUUUAUGACGAUUACAAGUUGGAUUCGUAUAUGGGCUCCACACAUCAACAAUAACUAGACUCAAUAGCUUAAGAAAACACAUUCAUAUGAUGAAAAUGAAAGCAUCAAUAAGAUAACUAGAUUUACCAAAAGUUACAAUUUACAUAAAUCCUAAUGGACACUGUUAGAAUUAGGGUUUGAUUUGAAUUCUAUUUGGAAGACUAUUUGAGAAUUCUAGUUGAAAUCUAUUUGAAAAUUAUUGUUAGAAUUCAAUUUGGGAGUUUAACUUGGAAUUUAUGAUUUGUCUUGGACUUGAAGAAAAUUUGAAGGAUUCCAAUUCGCAAUAGGAGAGGACGAAAUCGUGCAAAGAGAAGAAGCAUUGCAUCAACGCUUACUAAGUACUCAGCAUCCGUUUGAGCGCUUAGAAUAGGGGUGCCAACUCUCGCUAUUCGUGAGGAGACCGUUUGAGCGAUCAAACAUCAAUCGACCUUCGCCAGACCGUAGCUCGAAUUGCAGUCUUAUCCAGGUUUGGAACAAUUCACGAUUUUGGCAAAUUUUUGAAUCCUAUUUUAUCCUAAACACUUCAUUAUUGUAUAGACUCACACACGCACAUAUGGGGAAUUAGGCACACACACAAACACAAAAAGGGUAGGUUAUAAAAUUUUUAGCCCAUAUUUGAGAUCCUUAAAAUUUUAAAAACAUAGUUUUGAAUAGUAUUUUUUGUAGAAUUGUGGUUAAAUUAAGUUUAAGUAUAUAAUAUCUUAUUGUGUGAAUAUGUGGUUAAAAAUAAGUAUGAGAAAUAAAGUAAAGUAAAUAAUGUCAGACAAAGACUAAUAUUUCAUCUCACGUUUUACUAGUAUAUUAUAAUCAAAACAAAACAUCUACAAAUUGAUGAGAAAAUUCUUGUUUUCUUCCUUGAUAUCACAAAUAAUUUACAGCAAAGGUACACGAAAAAUAGUGGAAAAAAAGAGUUUAGAAGAAAAUCAUAGCUCUCAUCCUGUAUAAAUUAUAAAUACUCUACAUAUCUUCCCUCAAAGAGACGCCACCAACUGAAUCAAAGAUACAAAACAUUUAUAAAGUUGUUCGUGUAAAUCUCAAAUUUUCAAUAGAAAACAAGACAAGUAACACAUAAUCUAACAUGGGUAAAAAUGUAAAAAUAAAAUUUUGAUACUCAAUAUAAACGUAACACAACAUUUUAACUUUCAAGUUAGCCUAAAUAAGAAUUAACAUGGCAUUAUAUAUAUAUAUAUAUAUAUGCCCAGGUUCAAUUGGUUGACGUUAAUUGAAGCUUCAAAAUGAUUAAUUAAAAUUAAGAGGAAUGGUGAUAUUGUUCGUUAAAUGUUUCUUGCAAUUAUAGUUUGUAAGUUGUACUGAAAUUUAUAUUUAAUUUUUAAUAAGAAUAAGUGUUGGCACAAACUACUUGCGUUUUGGAAACCAGUGACGACAAACAUAGAUUUCAAAACUCAAAAUCACUUUGCUUUUUUAUUUUACGUCAUCCAGUACCAAACGACUAUGGAUCUGUUGGGCAUAGAAACAACAAAUGGACUUAAAAAUCGAGACUGUAAAAUAAGUAAAAGUUUUCAAAUUUGGAACCCCUUAAUCUAGGUGGCUCACCAUGGCCACUUAGACCGUUAUUGUAAAUAUUAUCGAGGCUAGAUGGAGUUGUUAGAGAAUGGUGCUGAAUUCGAUGGUGUUUUGAAUAUUUUUGAGUGGAAUCUAUUUUUAUUUUUUGAAAGAUUAAAGUAGAUUUGUGUUCUCCUUCUUAAGAAUACCGAAAUCAUAUAUUUACGUGUCAAAAAUGAUGAUCGAAUGAGAAAUUGAAGAUCAAAAGUGUAAUGCGUGUAUAUUAGAAGAAGUUUUUGUGUGGAUAACCAACAAGUUUUUAAGGCAUGUCUUUAUUUAUGAGAGAAGGGCAUAGGUAAUUUAGCCCCUGUUUGGCAACACACUCUUAUGUGGAUCCCAAUUGACCAAAAAUGGUCAAAAAAAUUACUUUUCUUCUUCCAAAAAAUGUCUUCCAAACAGGGGCUUGAUAUUUAUUUAACAAGUUAUCUCUUACUCAUUAUAACAUAAUAAUUUUUUCGAAAUUAAUAAAUUUUGGAAAAAUUAUUGAUAUCGUUAUAAAAUAAUGAGAUAAUUUUAGUAUUAUCAUUAUACAUAGAUAAGUCUUAUCUUGUCUAGAAGAUCCAUUUCAUUUCAAUUAUAACUCUUAUUUUAGACUCUAUAAAUAUAGGGCAUUAUUUUUUAAUAAUACAUAAUUGAGUUUUGAGACUAUUUUUUCUCUUAUUUUCUUUCUUUCCUUUAGUUUUAUAACACGUUACUAGUACGAUGAACUUAUUACAUAAAGCUUGCUUGCCAAAUGAAUUCUUUUAUCUAAUUCUCGAUCAAAUCUCUCUCUCUCUCUCUCUCUCUCUCUCUCUCUCUCUAGUAUAUAUAUACAUGCUAAAAAGGGGGGCAUCAAAAGUGGGUAAAUUGACUAUCACAUGCAUAUAUUGUAUUCAGGUUUUGUGGCUAGACUUUUGCUCCUAGAUUAUUCAACUUAUAGAGGGAUUUUUCAGAAUUAAAAGAGGAGUAUUUGAAGCAUGGGAUGUUGAAAUAUAUCGCCUUUAAUCGUCGCGAAAUCUUCCAGCUAGAUUUAAUGCAAUAGGCAAAUCAAAAAUUGAUACUCGUGCAACAGGUAAUUAAUUCCAGAACUUUAGUUCCAUAAUAAAAAAUAAAAAUAUGCAGAUUAUUGUUUCAUCAAAAAUUGCACCCCAUAUAUUUAAUUGUUUGUUUCUUCUUUAUCAUUCGAUUAAUUAUCACGUUCAUAUUUUUUAAUACAUAUUAUAGUGUAUAAAUUUAGUACUCUGAUGUCGCUCUAUUACAAAUAAUUUGUUGGUACUCCUGAAGUAGCACAACACUGUUAAUAUUUUAAAAGAAUAUAAUUGCUUCUGAAAAAGCACAACUCUGCAAAUAUUUACAUUCUACUAGAAAACAUGCUCAUGGAGAGUUCGCAUUUUUAAAUAAUAAUUUGUUAUUACUCUUGAAGUAUCACAAUAUUAUUAAUACUCCAGAAGAAUAUUAUUUACUCCCGAAAAGCAUAAAUAAUAAUUUUCUAUAUUCAAAAAAAAAAAUAUUGACAUAUUGUUCAUAAAAAGCAUAAAUUACAAUUUUUAAUAUUUCAGAUAAAGAUAUUGAUUUAUUACUUUUAAAAAAGCAAUAGUAAGAUAUAGUACUCCUCCACAAAUAUUAAUAUUCGUUUUGAAAACAUACUCGUGAAGAGUUGAUUCUUUUAAACAAUAAUUUUUUGAUCCUCCUAAAGUAGAAUAAUGUUGUUAAUAUUCUAAAACAAAUAUUAUUGCUCCUGAAGUAGAAUACUAUUAUCGACGGAUAUUUUAGUUAGAUUUUACUUGCCCUCGAAUAACAUAAUUAAAUACGAUCUAACAUAAAUUAUGUUUUUUUUUUUUUUUUUACUCUUGAAGAUUAAAUUCUUAUAUGAUUUAUUAUUUCAAAUAAUAUUAUGUUAUUGCUCUUAAAGAGCAUGACACUACGUUUCAAUAUUUCAGAAGAAUAUUAAUAUUACUCUUUAAGAAGCGAUAAUAAAAUACAAAGCUCUCUUGAAAUGACACAUAUUUUGAAGAAUAUAUUAUGUGUAAUUUAUGAAUUUGUAUUUAUUCCUGAAGGAAAACAUACGACUUAUGUCAUGUGGACAUUGAUCAUUAUAUAAUUAUAUAAUGUUUAAUCAUAUUUUUCGAAAUUAAAUCAUCAAAUUAUAUCUUAUACUAAAUCAAAGGUUUAAUUUAAUUGGCAUGACCAGUUGAACCAUUACUGGAUCAACAAUAAUGCAAAAUUAAAAAUUCAAAUGGGUAUUCAAUAAAGAAUCAUAAGAUUCUUCAACUCAAUUCUAUAUGAUAUUUGUUCUCUUUCAUGAAAAUUUUUCAUUAACCAUCACUAUUUAAAAUAAGAAAUGAUUCAUUUCUUAUAUUUCUAAAAAUUAAUUAAGAUGAUAAAUGAGGUCCCAUCAUCCUCCACGUUGAUCAUCAAAAUAGUAUUUGUAUCUAAUAUAUUUGAUAUAUAUACUAGAUGAUUGCAUGGUGUUCGCAACCUAAAGCUUGCAAAAUUACUAUUCAAAUUUUAAAUUAUAAGCAUAAUUUUUAGAUUAUAUAAUCAAGACUAUAACUUGUUAAUGUUAAUGAUUUAUUGCAUGGUGUUCGCAACCUAAAGCUUGCAAAAUUACUAUUCAAAUUUUAAAUUAUAAGCAUAACUUUUAGAUCAUAUAAUCAAGACUAUAACUUGUUAAUGUUAAUGAUUCUAAAUCUCAACAUUUUAAAAAUGUUAGUUGGGAUGUUAAUAAAUUGUGUAAAACACUUAUUUGUUAAAGUCCUCCAAAUAAUUGAGAACAAAGCACUUCCCAUUUUUGUUUAGUGACACUAUUACGUAUCACGACAACAUCAUAGUUUUUUAUAUUAUAAUUGGCUUAUGGUAAGAGCCUAAUUUUUCUAUCUAUUUAUUUUGAUAAUGCAGUAUAUAUAAAAUUGAACCACCACAAUACACUGAGAUGAAAAGUAAAGAAUGUUGAGAAUAAAUGCGUAGUUUGAAUCCUUACACCAAAUGAGCGAUAUUUUAUAACAUUGAAAAAAUGAUUGUCAAUUUGAUUGAAAAGUUCUCUCAACAUUAGGAGAGGAAUUAAGAAAUUGGAAAUAAUGUACAAAUGCUUCUUUUCCUAAAUCCUUGUAAAAGACCACUCAAACUAGAAGUUCGAAAUAUGAUUUAUUUAGAGGCAUUUAUUGAUCAAAGAGAUAAACAAUAUCUCAUGCAACAAUUUUAAGUGCUCCAAUUGAAUUGAUAUCCUAGGAGGACAAUUUCAUAGCAUUGUAUUUGAUAUAUUUAUAGAAUCUCUAAAACGUGAUGAUAUUCGUUUAUAAUACCAAAAAAUAAAAAUAAAAAAAAAAAAUAAAUCUCCAAAUGAAAAUGGAGCAAUUCAUGAAGAAAGUCCCAUUAAAGAGACAUAUGCUUUUGAUAAGUAUUUAGACAUAACAAAUUAUAAAAUUAUAGAAGAUGGUCAGGCAUUUGACAUGUUGAAAAUUAAGAUAUCUCAAUAAGUUAUGUCAUAAUGGAAAAGAAAAUAAUAUCAAACAAGAAAAGAAAAAGUUGUCGACAACCAUUUUACACAUGAUGUACGGCAUCAUAUAACAAGGAAUCAAAAUAAAUUACUCAAAAUAUAUCGAUCGAAGUGAUUGACCAAAUAGAAGAGAUAUCAUCUUAAAUUAAAUUUAUUAGCGAACUUGAGAUUUCUAGAUCUACAAUCUGAACACAUAAAGGUGUAUGUUUAUGCGGAAUGAAAAUGAAAAAAGUAAAGUCGUAAUACGAAAUGUACAACUUUUUUACAUAAUAAAUGUCGCAAAGAAUUAUAUAAAUAAAUAAAUUAUCAUAUAGUGAAUGUAAUCACAAGUCUCUAUUUCAUUAGAUUGACAAUGCAUGAAAUUUGAUAUGCACAUAAUAAAUGUGAUUAUAGUCAACUUAUCUUACAUAUAAAUUUAAUACUAUUCUUGAAAGAUUUAAUAUGCUUGAAGCAUAAUUCAAGUCACAUUAUCAUGAGAGGAAAUAAAUAUGCAUUUUAUUCUUUUUUCCUUGACCAAGGUUUUUAAUGAGACAACCUAUGUAGUGUAUUGAAAAGAACAAUGUACUCAUUUUUCCUUCUUUAGGAUAUUUUCCACGGUUUUCCUAAUAAAGUUUUAAUGAGGCAUAUUCUUUGUGCAAUGAUGUCCUUAACCUAUAAAGUGUUUACCCUCAAAAUAUAUAUUUUUAGAUGUAUGAGACUCUCGAAGAGAUCAACAAGAGCUAGUUUUCAAAUCAUCAUGUUACUACAGUUAUUAAAGGAUAAUAAAUAUCAAGUAUGAAAACGGUGUUAUCUGAAAACUAUGCAAGACAACAUGAGACACAUUUCACCAGAAAUUGUAGUAUUGAAGGCAUUGAUAGACAAGAUAUGAAUAGCUUGAUACAAAAAUUGAAAUCAGAGGGUAGCUGUACUUUUUUCCUUCGAUUAAGUUUAGUCCUAUCGAUUUUUUUUUGCUAAACAAGGUUUUGAUGAGAGAGUUAUCAUAUAAAUAAUUAUCAGAGGAAGAGUGUUGAUACACAGACUUAUCUUGUCUAUAAGAUAUAUUUCAUUCCAAUUGUAACUCUUAUUUUGGACUUUAUAAAAUAUAGGGCAUUAAUUCUUCAUAAUACAUAAUUGAGUUUUGAAUCUCUAUUUUUUCUCUUAUUUUCUUUCUUUCCUUUAGUUUUAUAAAGAAAAAUAUAUAGUUUUAGUACUUGUACAUGACUUCUUUGACCACAUAUGCUGGUACAAUUUAUAAAUAAAGAAAUAAUGGACUACUCUUUAAACAUAAGAUAUUCUAUAUUUUAAACAAUCAAUCCCUAAAGUUAUGCUCCAAGAGACUCUUUAAAUUAAUAUUUUUAAUUUAAAAAGUCUUUAUAAUUAAAUAUAAAAUUUCAAAUGAGGAAAAAAGAAUAUAAUAAUUUGAAGGGAAGCUAGAAAAAAUAAAAGAUGAGAAAAACAAUAAAUAUUUUUUGAGAAUAGUAAACUUAAUUGUUAAAUAUAAAAACCCUAUUGAAAUACUUAAAAUAUUUUUACUCUUUAAAUUUAUAGAUGAUCUCUAAAUUGUAGAGUAUGCUUUUUAAAAAUAGUGAUUCUUUUGAAGAUGCACUUACAUGUUAAUUACAACAAAUAGAUAAAGGGAAAUAGAAUAGACAACACAUUACCCAUACCAACACACACGCCCUUAAUGAGAUGGAGAAUUAGACACACCUUGCUAGUUGAGUGUAUACAUAAUUUCUAAAUACAUGUGCACAUCGAUUAAGUUGGAGCUAGCUAUUCAAGAAUUGCAUACGUAAACAAUAUUUAACAAAUAUACAUAAUUCCUUAAUACUGUGAAAGGAAUUAUGCACGCUUGACAAAUGUGAAUUUGUUAAAUGAGUUUCAUUUCUUCCUUAGAACUACGUAAUUGAAAGAAGAAAGGGACAUUUUAUCAAUUUGAGUAUAGUUGGGCAAUGAUUUAUCACUCUAUAGUUAAAUUUACUGAACUAGAAGCAUUGCAUAGCAAGGCUAUGGAGUCAAUUGAAUCUAUUCCCCAUGUCUGGUCUUCGAGUGGCGCAACCUGCUGGGGUGGUUGGCAAGGUUGAGGAGGAAUUUGUAGAGUCUCAACUUCACUUUCAAGCAUUUCCAUUAUUUACUCAUUGAUGGACGAUCCAUCGGAUUCAUUUGUAUGCACCAUAAUGCAACUAUUGUCAUCUUCCUAGUAAUCUUCCUUUCUUCACAGCCUAAUUCUUCAGCAUCUCCAAUUUCAAGAUCCUUACUCUUGUUGAAAUGAUCAUAUAUCCAGUCGGGGAAGUAUUGGCUAGAAAGUUCCAUGUUUUGUAUCAAGUCUUUAUUUAGACUUAACAUUUCCAUCAACAACAUUCCGAAGCUAUAAGCAUCUGCCUUGUACGAGACAGCCCCAAUGCCUCUAUUGAUCAAUUCGGGAGCUACAUAACCAAUUGUACCUCGUGCAAGAGUAAUAGUUACAAUACUAGUUUCAGUCGAGUAAGAUUUCGCUAGCCCGAAAUCAGAAGUUUUUGGAGUGAAGUUAUCAUUGAGAAGUAUGUCGUGUGGCUUAAUAUCGAAAUGCAGUCGAUGCAAAUUAGUCUCUUGCUCGCAUCCAUUCUCCAUCACACUGUCGGAAAAAAUAUCGGAUGCAGUGAUAUAGAAAUGUUUGGUACAUGAUCCACUUUUCUGACAAGAGAGAUACUUCUCAAGUGAACCAUUAGGCAUGAAGUCAUAUACAAGAGCACAAUUGGACAUAUCUGCACAAUAACCACAAGUCGAACUAUAUUGACAUGAUGAAUUCUUCCGGUAGUGGUAACUUCAUUGAUGAAAUCUUGUCUAUUUGAUUUAUUUUUGCCUAGUAUUUUCACUACUAUAUCCCUUCCACUUCGAAGCUUUCCUUUGUAAAUUGAACCAUAACCUCCUUCACCCAAUUUUUCCCGAAAACCUUUGGUCAUCUUCUUUAUGUCUGAAUAAGAGUAACUGAUGGGUAUUAGGUUAUUCUAAUUGCGCAGAAAAUUUUCUGUUUCAUUAAACAUUGAUAAAUGUCUUCUUCUCAGUUUAUAGACAAAUAAUCCGAACAUGAAUGGAAUUCCUAUUAAGAUCCUCAAUGCAAGGUUGAUCACUGUUCAUUCAGAAAUGAGAAGACUAGUUAGAAAAUUAUUUAGCAAAGACGUAAUACUUCCAGGAAUUCUUUCUUUACAUUUAUAUGUUGGAAAAAUGUGUCAGGGUUCUUCAAGUUGGCUUCAAGUGGGCUGACUUGACCCAUAGCCUUUGAAACCAGAUAAGAAGGGAUAAUUUGAUUUUAAAUUCAAACUUCAACUUCUAUAGACCAUGCUCUAAUUUCCUUACUUCUUAUAUGCGUGCAGAAGAAAAGUGACUGAAGUUAGGGGGAAAAUGAGGCAGAAAUACAUUCAUGCAUGAUACUGCAACUGUAAUAGAAAUGGUUAGAAUAUAAUAUUUUUGUUUAUAAAGUUGGCACUUGAAUUGUGGAAAUGAAACUUGCUCUAUGGUAAUAAAAAUGGUCAGAAUAUAAUAUGUUGAACUGAUUCGUGCAUGCAAUCUGAAAGUAACAUGACAUCUUUAAGAUCUAUCAUGGCAUUGCCCAAGUUCUUAAAAACAAAAUAUUUCUGGCUGCAAUGUGCAUAAAAUUUUUCAAAUAUUGCAAGACAAUUUCUUAUAAACAUUUUUGUAGUUUGAGGAUUGUAAUACUGUAACCUAAAUCGAGAUAAAGAAAAGAGAAUGUGAAAGGAUCUUUCCCAUAAAUUAUGUUGCUAAUCCGCUGACCAAUACUGUAGUCUGCAAUGCCUACAACCAAACAUCGUCAGAAAAGAGUUUAAAGAAACUUUUCGAAUGUAAGGACGUUGAAGUCGAAUUGCAUUUAACUACGGAAGUAGUGGAUGAUUGUAAAUUGUUGCAAGACCGAUACAUAUGUUAAUUAUAUAUGGUGAGAUGUUAUGACCUCUACACAUUAAUAAAUCAUCAGAAAAAGGAAUAUUGGAUAACGAGUACAAGUGUCAACUUAAAUCACCUUGCUGCCCAAGACAGUCUAGUUUCUUUUAGAAAUAGGCAUCACUAAUUUUAUCAUAUACAUUUAUAAGUAUAGUAACCUUUAAAUCUUACCGGAGCAGAAGCGUGGAGACCCCUUCUCAUAACAAAUAGGGCAAUAUAGUCUCCUUUUGCAAUAGCUAAUCGUCACAGUGAACCAUGAAAGCUCAAAUCCAUAUAGCAGAGCGCUAUGGAUGUCUGAGAGCAAAAGAUUAUUGACAUCCUUAAAUGGCCACGAUGUCAUCACUAUGAGAUCUAAACUGCACAUCUCUCUUACAUCUGAUGCAUUCAAAUUGCCAACCUUAAUAUACGUGUGUCUUCUGUGUGAAGCAUUUGAAUCAAAGACCCUGUUGCCACAAUGAACAGUUUCCAAAAAGAAAGCAGAAUUUAUGGGAUAUGGGCAGCUCAUUAAAGUAAUAGGCCCGCUUAUUUUAUGCAAGACACGUGAUUUAGAUGAGUUGUAGGUGUAGACACUAUAAGGAUAAUUUUCAGAGAGGUUGUAUCGAAACAUAGAAUACUGAGGAAAGGAGCAAGUGUCAUUUUCUAAAGCAGCAUCAACAAGAUGAAUAGUAAAAUUUUGGUAAUCGAUGGCUUGCACAUGGUACUUUUGAGAGUUUAGAUAAAGUGAGGUUGUAUUGUUUUCACAAACUAGUUCAUAGCUGGAAUCACCACAGCUUUCUGGAUUCCCUUUUAACCGGAAGGGAUAGCUGAUAUUAAGAAUUGUGAGAAGAGAAGCUGAGAAGAAGCAGCGCCUAGGCGCCAUGUCCAGGCGCCUAGGCGCCCAACUGGUUUCUGCCGAUUGUGAACCAGGCAGAAUGUUGGCGCCUAGAGUGGCGCCUAGGCGCCCCGGUACAUAUAUAUAUUUCCGAUUUUUUGCCUCUUCAUUAUGUUAUAACCCUUGCACCCGAUUUUGAGAGAGCAAAAGGGAGAAAGCUUGGAUUGAAUUUUACAAGAUUGAGGUUGUUCAUCUUAGGUAUAAAUUCAAAGUUAUUUUCUUUCUUGGGGAUUAACUUGAGGCUUGUUCAAGUAAUCCAAAUACAUUGUUCUUCAUUUAUUCCAUUGAAAUCAUUUCUUCCUCAUUUUCUUAUUCUUGAAGUGGUUUGGAAUUUUUCACAUUGUCAAGCUUUGUUUGAUUUUGGGCUAUCUUUGGGAGGUGUUUUCCCAACAAUUUGGUAUCAGAGCUUCUUCUUAAAUCAAGGUGGUUAAGUUUCGAUUUUUGGUGAGUUGCUUGAACUUUGUUGUGCACACAAGGUGUUUGGGAAAAUUUUCAAGUGAACUUUGGUGGUUUAUUUUCGGUAAACAAGUGGAUAAAUCAUGUCUACUAGAGGAAUGGUGAAGAUUGGGAAGUAUGAGAUAGAGAAAUUCAAUGGGAAGAAUGAUUUUUCAUAUUGGAAAAUGCAAAUGAAAAAUUUGUUGAUUUCUCAAAAGUUGCACAAGGCAUUAGCGGAAAAGGAGAAGAAGCACGUUGAUAUGUCGGACGAGGAUUGGGAAGAGCUAGAUCUUGAGGCACGAGCGUCUAUCAUUCUUUGCCUUGAAAGAGAUGUUGCUUUCUUGGUUGAUAGUGAGGUAACGACGGCGGAGGUGUGGACAAAGUUGGAGGCGAAUUUCAUGACGAAGACUCUAACAAAUCGGAUCUAUUUGAAGUCCAAAUUGUAUACUUACAAGAUGGAUGAAGGUACACCAAUCCGGAGUACGUCAACAAGUUUGAUAGGAUCAUAUCGGACUUGAAGGACAUUGAUGUCGAAGUAGAUGAUGAGGAUCAAGCACUUCUACUACUUCUUUCAUUGCCGAAGUCUUACGAGAACCUAGUACAAACAUUGAUGCUUGUGGGUGAUAAACUUGUGAUGGAGGACAUUAGAACAUCACUUCUAGCGGAUGAUCUUUGAAAGAUUGCAACUAGUUGCAUGUCUACCAUUGGUAACAAGGAGCAAGCUCAAGGAUUGUUUGUAAGGGGUAGAAGCAAUGUGCGACCAAAGGGCAAGGGAGAAAAAUCUAGAUCGAGUUCUAGACCUCUUGCGGAAAGGUCUUGUUUCAAAUGCGGCGAGCUUAGGCAUUUCAAGGUGAAUUGUCUUAACAAAAAGGGUUGGAAGAAGAACAAUAAGAACAACAACAACGGGAAGGUGCAAGUCAAGCAAGAGGUAAGCUAUGCCUCGGAAGGAGGGGAAAGCGAUGAGUGCUACACCAUCUCUUGUGAUGAAGAAACCUCCGGUAAGUGGAUUCUUGACUCUGGAUGCUCUUACCAUAUGUGUCUAAAUAGGAAGUGGUUUACUACCUAUAGAAGCACUGAUGGUAGAACCGUGUUGAUGGGUAAUAACCAUUCCUGUAAAACGGUGGGGCUCGGUUCAAUUAGAAUCAAGAUGCAUGAUGGAGUGGUUAGAACAUUGAUGGAUGUUAGACAUGGUCCUCAUUUGCGAAAGAACCUUAUCUCUGUUGGUGCUUUAGACUCCGGUGGUUGCAAGAUUGUAACAUGGAAUGGAGUAAAGAAGGUUGUUCGUGGUUCUUUGAUUGUGAUGAAGGGUAUUCGUGAAGGCAAUCUCUAUGCUCUUCAGGGUACUACAGUUACUGAAGAUGUAGCAGUUGGAACAAGUGGAAGUGGUGGAGACCCAUGUGAGUGCAUUCGGCUAUGGCAUAGGAGGCUUGGGCAUAUUUCUGAAAAGGGGCUAAAUUUGCUAGUCAAGAAAGGUUUGCCAAAGAAUUUGAAGAAGCCUUGCAUGGAUUUUUGCGAGCAUUGCAUGUACGGUAAAGCACACUGAGUUCAGUUCCAGCCAAGCAAACAUAGAAGUAGAGGCAUUCUAGACUAUGUGCACACAGAUGUAUGGGGUCCAGCUUCUGUCACUUCCAAAGGCGGUUCCAGGUAUUUUGUUACAUUUGUUGAUGAUUAUUCUAGAUAUGCUUGGAUUUAUUUUUUGAAGCAUAAGAAUGAGGUAUUCGACACUUUCAAGAAGUGGAAAGCAUUGGUUGAAAAGAGAACAGGAAAGAAAUUGAAGACACUGCGAUCUGAUAACGUUACUGAGAAUACAGAUGGUGCUUUCAAGGAGUUUUGUGGUAAGGAAGGCAUUGUGAGACACUGGACAGUUAGAAAUACACCGCAACAGAAUGGGGUCGCGGAAAGACUGAAUCGCACAUUUCGAGAGAAAUCGAUGUGUAUGCGAUCCUAUUCUGGUUUGGGCAGAGAAUGGUGGGCAGAGUCGGUUGCAAAUACUUGCUACAUAGUGAACCGGUCUCCACAUUCAAGGUUAGAUGGAGAUGUACCUUACAGGGUAUUGACGGGAGAACAUGCAGAUUAUGAGAAACUCAGAAUAUUCGAAUGCACAGCCUACUAUCAUGUCAACGAGGGAAAGCUUGAUGCGAGGGCCAAAAAGGCUAUAUUCUUGGGGUAUGCGACAGGUGUUAAAGGCUAUCACCUUUGGUGUGUAGAGGAUUCUAAGUUCAUAAUCAGCAGAGAUGUUACUUUUGAUGAGAACUCCAUGAUAGCUUCGUUGAAAGCUACAGUGCCCGGUGGUUAUGAUGUUGAGACUACAAUGCCUCAAGUUGUUGACAUAGAACCUAGAGAUCAACCUGAUUCUAGGCAUGUUCAAGAGGAGCAUCAUACAGACACUCAAGAUGAGAGUGAUGAUGGGCUUGAACAAGAGGCGGUUCAACAAGAGAAUGUACAGGCACAGCAACAACAGCAGCUUACAGAUAACUUGGCUUCCUCUAGGCCACGCCGUACUUACAAGCAAGUUCUAAAGUUGGGGUCAAACGAGCCUUUGAGACACUAUGGGCAAACAAAUUUGGUUGAGUAUGCACUCUCGGUGGAGGAUGAUGACCCAGCAGACAUGUUAACCAAAGUGGUAACGGGUAGCAAGUUUCAGCAUUGCUUGGACUUGCUUCACAUUAGUCCGUGUUGAUAUGCCCGAGUGGGCAUGGCCCUUCGGGGUGGGGUUGAAAUGAGGUGGAGAGUAUAUGAAGGUGGAGGUGAACUACGGAGGCUUGAUCUCGAGUUUUGGGUACGUAGGCAAUCAUGGUUUGAAUGGUGCAGCCGAGUUUUGGUGCUUGCUACUUCUUCUUGUGUUCGUCCAAAAUUUGAGGUCUAUCAAAUGAUGUACGAGAUGAAGAAUUGUGAGAAGAGAAGCUGAGAAGAAGCAGCGCAUAGGCGUUGGAGUGGGCGCCUAGGCGCCACUCAAGUGGCGCCUAGACACCUCGAUUGUGAACUAGGCAGAAUGUUGGCGCCUAGGCGCCAUAUAUAUAUUUUCGAUUUUUUGCCUCUUCAUUAUGUUAUAACCCUUGCUCCCGAAUUUUGAGAGAGCAAAGGAAGAAAGCUUGGAUUGAAUUUUACAAGAUUGAGGUUGUUCAUCUUGGGUAUAUGUGAGAAGAGAAGCUGAGAAGAAGUAGGAAGAGAAGCAAGAAGAGAAGUUGAGAAGAGGUGCAGCACCUAGGCGCUGGAGUGGGCGCCUAGGGGCCAUGUCCAGGUGCCUAGGCGCCCCGAUUGCCAAAUCUGGCAGUAAGUUGGCGCCUAGGUGCCCAGAGUGCUGGAGGAAAUCAGAAACAUGGCGCCUAGGCGCCACUCUUGUUGCGCCUAGGUGCCCCGAUAGGUAUAUAUAUUGCCAAUUUUUCCCUCUUUCAACAACACAACCCUUGCACCCGAAAAUAAGAGAGGAAAAGAGAGAACUUGGAGAGAAUUUUACAAGAUUGAAGGUUGUUCAUCUUGGGUAUAAAUUCAAAGUUAUUUUCUUUCUUGGGGAUUAACUUGAGGCUUGUUCAAGUAAUCUAAAUACAUUGUUAUUCAUAUAUUCCAUUGAAAUCAUUUCUUCCUCAUUUUCUUGUUCUUGAAGUGGUUUGGAAAUUUUCACAUUGUCAACUUUGUUUGAUCUUUGGGCUAUCUUUGGGAGGUGUUUUCCCAACAAUUUGGUAUCAGAGCUUUUUCCAAAAUCAAGGUGGUUAAGCUUUAAUUUUGUGGUGAGUUGCUUGAACUUUGUUGUGCACAAGGUGUUUGUGAAAAUUCCCAAGUGAACUUUGGUGAUUUAUUUUCGGUAAAUAAGUGGAUAAAUCAUGUCUACUAGAGAAAUGGUGAAGAUUGGGAAGUAUGAGAUAGAGAAAUUCAAUGGGAAGAAUGAUUUUUCAUAUUAGAGAAUGCAAAUGAAAAAUUUGUUGAUUUCUCAAAAGUUGCACAAGGCAUUGCGAAAAAGGAGAAGAAGCACGUUGAUAUGUCGGACGAGGAUUGGGAAGAGCUAGACUUGAGGCACGAGCGUCUAUCAUUCUUUGCCUUGAAAGAGAUGUCGCUUUCUUGGUUGAUAGUGAGGUAACGGCGGCGGAGGUGUGGACAAAGUUGGAGGCAAACUUCAUGACGAAGACUCUAACAAAUCGGAUCUAUUUGAANNNNNNNNNNNNNNNNNNNNNNNNNNNNNNNNNNNNNNNNNNNNNNNNNNNNNNNNNNNNNNNNNNNNNNNNNNNNNNNNNNNNNNNNNNNNNNNNNNNNNNNNNNNNNNNNNNNNNNNNNNNNNNNNNNNNNNNNNNNNNNNNNNNNNNNNNNNNNNNNNNNNNNNNNNNNNNNNNNNNNNNNNNNNNNNNNNNNNNNNNNNNNNNNNNNNNNNNNNNNNNNNNNNNNNNNNNNNNNNNNNNNNNNNNNNNNNNNNNNNNNNNNNNNNNNNNNNNNNNNNNNNNNNNNNNNNNNNNNNNNNNNNNNNNNNNNNNNNNNNNNNNNNNNNNNNNNNNNNNNNNNNNNNNNNNNNNNNNNNNNNNNNNNNNNNNNNNNNNNNNNNNNNNNNNNNNNNNNNNNNNNNNNNNNNNNNNNNNNNNNNNNNNNNNNNNNNNNNNNNNNNNNNNNNNNNNNNNNNNNNNNNNNNNNNNNNNNNNNNNNNNNNNNNNNNNNNNNNNNNNNNNNNNNNNNNNNNNNNNNNNNNNNNNNNNNNNNNNNNNNNNNNNNNNNNNNNNNNNNNNNNNNNNNNNNNNNNNNNNNNNNNNNNNNNNNNNNNNNNNNNNNNNNNNNNNNNNNNNNNNNNNNNNNNNNNNNNNNNNNNNNNNNNNNNNNNNNNNNNNNNNNNNNNNNNNNNNNNNNNNNNNNNNNNNNNNNNNNNNNNNNNNNNNNNNNNNNNNNNNNNNNNNNNNNNNNNNNNNNNNNNNNNNNNNNNNNNNNNNNNNNNNNNNNNNNNNNNNNNNNNNNNNNNNNNNNNNNNNNNNNNNNNNNNNNNNNNNNNNNNNNNNNNNNNNNNUGUACGGUAAAGCACACUGAGUUCAGUUCCAGUGUAGCAAACAUAGAAGCAGAGGCAUUCUUGACUAUGUGCACACGGAUGUAUGGGGUCUAGCUUCUGUCACUUCCAAAGGUGGUUCCAAGUAUUUUGUUACAUAUGUUGAUGAUUAUUCUAGAUAUGCUUGGAUUUAUUUUUUGAAGCAUAAGAAUGAGGUAUUCGACACUUUCAAGAAGUGGAAAGCAAUGGUUGAAAAUAGAACAGGAAAGAAAUUGAAGACACUGAGAUCUGAUAACGGUACGGAGUAUACAUAUGGUGCUUUCAAGGAGUUUUGUGGUAAGGAAGGCAUUGUGAGACACUGGACAGUAAGAAAUACACCGCAACAGAAUGGGGUCGCGGAAAGACUGAAUCGCACAUUUCGAGAGAAAUCGAUGUGUAUGCGAUCCUAUGCUGGUUUGGGCAGAGAAUGGUGGGCAGAGUCGGUUGCAAAUGCUUGCUACAUAGUGAACCGGCCUCCACAUUCAAGGUUAGAUGGAGUUGUACCUUAUAGGGUAUUGACAGGAGAACAUGCAGAUUAUGAGAAACUCAGAACAUUCGGAUGCACAUCCUACUAUCAUGUCAACGAGGGAAAGCUCGAUGCGAGGGCCAAGAAGGCUAUAUUCUUGGGGGUAUGCAGCAGGUGUUAAAGGCUAUCGCCUUUGGUGUGUAGAGGAUUCUAAGUUCAUAAUCAGCAGAGAUGUUACUUUUGAUGAGAACUCCAUGAUAGCUUCGUUGAAAGCUACAGUGCCCGGUGGUGAUGAUAUUGAGACUACAAUGUCUCAAGUUGUUGACAUAGAACCUAGAGAUCAACCUGAUUCUAGGCAUGUUCAAGAGGAGCAUCAAACAGACACUCAAGAUGAGAGUGAUGAUGCACUUGAACAAGAGGCGGUUCAACAAGAGAAUGUACAGGCACAGCAACAACAGCAGCUUACAGAUAACUUGGCUUCCUCUAGGCCACGCCGUACUUACAAGCAAGUUCUAAAGUUGGGGUCAAACGAGCCUUUGAGGCACUAUGGGCAGACAAAUUUGGUUGAGUAUGCACUCUCAGUGGAGGAUGAUGAGCCUACCACUUUCAAGGAAGCUAUUUUAAACAACAAUAGCGAGAGUUGGUUGGCGGCAAUGGAGGAAGAGAUGGAAUCACUUUACUAGAACCAAACAUGGGAGGUUGUCCCAUUGCCCAUAGGUAAGAAAGCUAUUGGUUGCAAGUGGUUGUAUAAAAAGAAGGAGGAUCCUACCAAGCUCGGUGGUACAAGAUUCAAAGCGAGGUUACACAAAGAGAGGGAGUUGACUACAAUAAGAUCUUUUCUCCGGUGGUCAAGCACACUUCCAUUCGGGUGCUAUUGAGUAUUGUUGCUCAUCAUGAUCUUGAGCUGGAACAACUCGAUGUCAAAAUCGCCUUCUUGCACGGGGACUUGGAUGAGGAAAUCUAUAUGAAUCAACCUGAGGGCUACAAGGUUGAGGAUAAGGAACGUCAGGUAUGUCGCUUGAGAAAAUCACUAUAUGGAUUGAAGCAAUCUCCUCGGUAGUGGUACAAGCGAUUUGACUCCUUCAUGCUAAAGCAUGGUUUCUCCAGAAGGGAGUAUGACUGUUGUGUUUAUAUUCGAAAACUUCGGAGAGGUAACUAUAUCUAUCUUCUAUUGUAUGUGGAUGACAUGCUUAUCGCUUCGAAAAGUAAGGUAGAGAUAGAUAAGUUGAAAUCUCAACUUGGUAAAGAGUUUGAGAUGAAGGAUAUGGGGGCUGCUAGGAAAAUACUGGGUAUGGAGAUUAGAAGAGAGAGGACGAACCGUCGAAUGUUCUUGAGUCAGAAAGGCUACAUUGAGCGGGUUAUUGCUAGGUUCGGGUUGCAAGGUGUAAAGCCAGUGGUAACUCCAUUGGCUCCUCAUUUCAGGCUCUCUGGUAAAUAGUCUCCUACUACAGCGGAAGAAAAGGUACGCAUGGAUCGUGUGCCUUAUGCUAGUGCAGUUGGCAGUUUGAUGUAUGCCAUUGUGUGUACACGCCCAGAUAUUUCACAGGCGGUUAGUAUGGUCAGUAGAUUCAUGGCGAAUCCGGGAAAGGCACACUGGAAAGCUGUGAAGUGGAUCCUGAGGUACUUAAAAGGUACCGCGGAUACGGGUUUAUGUUUUGGUGGAGAUGCAUGUCAUAUAAGUGGGUUGUGGACUCGGAUUAUGCAGGUGACCUAGAUAGACGACGAUCUACUACUGGAUAUGUGUUUUGUAUACAUGGUGCCCCAGUUAGUUGGCGAUCGAUGCUACAGACUACAGUUGCUCUUUCUACUACAGAGGCCGAGUAUAUGGCCAUGGCAGAGGGAGUGAAGGAAGCAUUGUGGUUGUGGGGUCUUCUAGAUGAUUUGGGGAUUGAGCAGGAUUGUGUGGACUUAUGGUGUGAUAGCCAUAGUGCGAUUCACUUGGCUAAAAAGCAGGUUCAUCAUGCUCGAACCAAGCAUAUCGACGUCAGGUAUCAUUUUGUGCGUGAUGUCAUAGAGGAAGGUGAUAUUUCACUCUCGAAGGUACACACAAAUGAGAACCCAGCUGACAUGUUAACCAAAGUGGUAACGGGUAGCAAGUUUUAACAUUGCUUGGACUUGCUUCACAUUAGUCCGUGUUGAUAUGUCCAUGUGGGCAUGGCCCUUCGGGGCGAGGUUGAAAUGAGGUGGAGAGUAUAUGAAGGUGGAGGUGAACUAGGAGGCAUGAUCUCGAGUUUUGGGUACGUAGGCAAUCAUGGUUUGAAUGGUGCAGCCGAGUUUUGGUGCUUGCUACUUCUCCUUGUGUUCGUCCAUAAUUUGAGGUCUAUCAAAUGAUGUACGAGGUGGAGAAUUGUGAGAAGAGAAGCUGAGAAGAAGCAGGAAGAGAAGCAAGAAGAGAAGCUGAGAAGAGGUGCAGUGCCUAGGCGCUGGAGUGGGCGCCUAGGCGCCUCGACUGCCAAAUCUGGCAGUAAGUUGGCGCCUAGGCGCCAGUCAAGUGGCGCCUAGGCACCCCGAGUGCUGGAGGAAAUCAGAAAUAUGGCGCUUAGGCGCCCCGAUAGGUAUAUAUAUUGCCAAUUUUUCCCUCUUUCAACAACACAACCCUUGCACCCGAAAAUAAGAGAGGAAAAGAGAGAAAACUUGGAGAGAAUUUUACAAGAUUGAAGGUUGUUCAUCUUUGGUAUAAAUUCAAAGUUAUUUUCUUUCUUAGGGAUUAACUUGAGGCUUGUUCAAGCAAUCCAAAUACAUUGUUAUUCAUAUAUUCCAUUGAAAUCAUUUCUUCCUCAUUUUCUUGUUCUUGAAGUGGUUUGGAAAUUUUCACAUUGUCAACUUUGUUUGAUCUUUGGGCUAUCUUUGGGAGGUGUUUUCCCAACAGUAUAUAUUCAAAGUUAUUUUCUUUCUUGGGGAUUAACUUGAGGCUUGUUCAAGUAAUCCAAAUACAUUGUUCUUCAUUUAUUCCAUUGAAAUCAUUUCUUCCUCAUUUUCUUGUUCUUGAAGUGGUUUGGAAUUUUUCACAUUGUCAAGCUUAGUUUGAUCUUGGGCUAUCUUUGGAAGGUGUUUUCCCAACAGGAAUGCUGCCACAGGCAGAAGGGUUGCACUGGGGAUUAUAGUUUGUUACAACAAACUAUCAGUACAAAACCACAUAAAUAAACAAGAAAGAUUACAAGAAAAAAUGAGGCAGAAAAUGAAAUCCUCCAGACGUUCACAGAGAACUCAAACCACACGGCAUCAAGAUGAAGUUCCUUUCUAGAAUAGGGCUCAGACUCAAGAAAAUACAGGAUUGUACCCUUCUGUAUGACCCACACCGAUCGCCCCAAACCCUAAGGUUUUCCUCUAUCAGUUAAAGGAAACCACAAGGGGUAAAAUCACACACCAAACUCUCCAAUACACACAGUAUUAUAUAUCACAAAGACGGAAUCACACAGAAACCAGAUCCAAUCAGAGAUUGGAUUCUCAUGAAGAAGAAGAGAGGGUAUGGAAGACUCUCGAACCUCAGCCGCAGCUGGAGAGAAGGGAAAAUGACGGUUCAAGUGAAUUAGGGCAAAAGGGGCCAAGUAUAUAUAUUAACAAAAAGCACCCUUAGAUCAAAUUUAAUCCGACGGUCAGGAGGCAUCCAUAUAACUGAAGAAAGGCGUGUUUGGCUGCAUUAAAAUAUGCCACGCCAAAACACGUUUUAUCUACCAUUGGGUCGGGGCGGAUCGGGUCAUGUUAUUGGGCAAGAGCCUAAAUUGUUAAAACAGUUAUUGGGCUUUAGCCCAUUUGUCAUCACAGCCCAGAAAAGGUCAUUGGUCAUCACAGCCCAACAACCUCCACCUUGAUGCCAAUGGGAUUUCUGAGCACUUGCAGCCCUCCUAUUGACACCAAGUUGUACCUGCAUUUAAAGAAUUAACCUGUAUCAAUAUUCAAAAGUGCCAAACAUGAUUUAAACUUAGAAAGAGGCAAUACCUUUGUCCCCAUGUCUGAUGGAUUGUACUGUGUAGGAAUUUUUUCAAGAAGAACAGAUUCAUUUGAGACAACAUCUCUAAUAAAAUGUAACUUUACAUCUAUGUGUUUAGUUCUUUCAUGAAAAACAGGUUUCUUACACAAGUGUAUUGCACUUUGGCUAUCUAAAUAAACAAUCACAGGUUCAUUUAACAUCCUAAUUUCAGAUAAUAGUCCCUUAAGCCACAAAGCUUCCUUCACAGCUUCUGUGGCAGCUACAUACUCAGCCUCUGUGGUUGAUAAAGCAACUAUAGGCUGUAAUUGGGACUUCCAACUCACACAGGUACCACAAAGUGUGAACAUAUAGGCAGAAGUGGACUUUCUAUGGUCCCUAUCACCAGCAAAAUCAGCAUCCACAAAGCCUUUAAGUAUCAUUCCUUCAUUACCCUUUUUAUAUACUAAUCCUAUACUAGAUGUGCCUUUUAAGUACCUAAGUAACCACUUAAGUGCUUCCCAAUGUUCGGGACCAGGAUUAGCCAUAAAUCUACUUAAAGUGCUGAUUGCAUGAGCCACAUCAGGUCUGGUACAGACCAUGGUAUACAUUAUAGACCCUACAGCAUUAGCAUAUGGAACCUUUUCCAUGUACCUUAUAUCAGAUUCAUCAAUUGGGCAUUGCUCUUUACUUAAUUUGAAAUGACUAGCUAAAGGCAAAGACACAGAUUUUGAUUCAUGCAUUGAAAACAUGGAUAAAACUUUUUCUGUAUAAGCUGAUUGUUUCAAAAUCAAAAUAGAUUGUGCUCUUUUUCUAAGUAUAUCCAUUCCCAAUAUCCUUUUAGCAUGCCCCAAAUUUUUCAUUUCAAAUUCAGCACCAAAGAUAUCUUUAAUAUCAUUUAUCUGUUUUAAAUCAGGCCCAAUCAAAAGCAUAUCAUCAACAUAGAGUAACAGAAAAAUUGAUAUUGAAGAAUCUGAAUCUUUGUUAAAGUAAAGGCAAUGAUCAUAAGAGCUUCUUACAAAACCAACAGUCAUGACAAAAGUGUCAAACCUUUUAUACCAUUGUCUAGGGGACUGUUUUAAACCAUAUAAGGAUUUCUUAAGCAAGCACAUAAAGUCAGAUUUAGAUUUAUUCACAAAACCCUCAGGUUGUGGCAUAUAAAUUGUCUCAUCUAAAUCACCAUGUAAGAAGGCUGCUUUUUCAUCAAUUUGUUCUAAUUCCCAAUUGUGAUGUGCAACUAAUGCUAGUAGGACUCUUAUAGUUGUGUAUUUUACAACGGGUGAAAAUAUCUCAUUAUAAUCUACACCCUGUUUUUGUGUAAAUCCUUUAGCAACUAAUCUUGCUUUAAAUCUCACAGGCUCAUUUUCUGAACUGCCUUCUUUCACCUUAUAAAUCCAUUUAUUUUUGGGUCUAGGCACAAGAUCCCAAGUUUUAUUCUUCAUUAGAGAACUCAUCUCUUCUCUCAUGGCAACUUCCCACUUGCCAGACUGGUUACAACUCAUGGCUUCAUUAUAGGUCUUGGGUUCCUUAUAGGCUAGGUCAUUAUAAGACAUGACAGAAUAGGAUAGAUAGUCUUCAUAUCUUGUAGGUUCUCUUAUGUUCCUUCUAGGCCUAUCCCUAGUCAAUUGAUAGUCACUAAGAUCACUUUGUUGACUGGGAUCAUCCAUUUCAGUUUGUUCAUGUUCCUCUACACCUGAAUUUUCUAAUUCGGUUUGAGUCUGAGGUAGUGUAGGUUCAUUCAUAUUAUUAGGAACAGAAUCAGUUUGAGAUCCCAACUCCACCUAAAACCUUGUCACAUUUGGAUUUUCAGGGUCUGCAGACUUUUGUUUUUCUAAACAGGGCAUCUCUUCCUCAUUGAAGGUAACAUCUCUACUUGUUAUCAUUUUAUACCCCCCUUAACCUCUAGCCUAUAACCUAUAGCCUUUAAUUCCUUCAGGAUAACCAAAGAACACACAUUUCUGAGCCCUUGGCUCCAGUUUCCCCAAAUUCUGGUGACAAUAAGCUGUACACCCGAAUAUUCUAAGGUGCUUAGUCUGGUAUUUUCCCAGACCACUUCUCUUCAGGUGUCUUACCUUCCAAAGCACUUGAAGGGGUUCUAUUCACUAUAUAUGUGGCUGUCAUAACAGCCUCCCCCCACAACACCUUAGGAACUCCAGAUCCCACCAUCAUACAUCUAACCUUAUCCAACAAGGUCCUAUUCAUUCUCUCAGCCACCCCAUUCUGUUGAGGUAUGUAUGGGACAGUUUUGUGUCUUAGGAUUCCAUUUGAUUCACAAAGUUUAUCAAAUUCUGAGUUGCAAAAUUCAAGUCCAUUAUCAGUUCUCAAAAUUUUAAUCUUUGUAGACAUUUGAUUUUCAAUAAGGACUUUCCAGCUUUUAAACUUUUCAAAGGUUUCAGAUUUGUGCUUUAAUAGAAACACCCACACCUUUCUUAAAAAGUCAUCAAUAAAUACUUAUUCCCCCCGGAGUAGUUGUGGAGGUUGGACCCCACAAAUCAGAGUGGACAUAUUCCAAUGGAGAAGUAGUUUUAUGUUUUCCAGAAUUAAAAUGGAGUCUGUGAUGUUUACCAAAGGUGCAACUUUCACAGAAAGGUAUUUUUGAUAUUUGGUUCUUUCCAAAUACCCCCCCUUUUUGUAGGAUUGUGAGGCCUUUUUCACCAACAUGUGCAAGCCUCUUAUGCCAUUUUAAGGUGGAAUCAGAUUCAAUAUUAGAGAUAGUUGCAUUAUGUUCAAGUAUUAUUUCAGCUCUAACUACAUAGAUUCCAUUUUUCUUAACACCCUUAAAGAUGACAAGAGAUCCCUUGAUCACUUUCAUCAAUCCAUCUCCAAUCCUACCACACAGCCCUAGGUCAUCUAAUUCUCCCAUAGAUAUCAGAUUUCUUUUGAGUUCAGGGCCAUACCUCACUCUCUCUAGGGUAUACAUGUAUCCAUUUUCAAAUUUUAGGGUCACAUUUCCUAAGCCUUCAACUCUGCAGGCAAUAUUAUUUUCCAUCACCACUUCACCACCAGCUAGCUUUUUAAAAUCUUGUAGCCAGGCCCUUUCAUGUGUAAUAUGAAAGGUGCAGCCUGAGUCUAAAAUCCACUCAUGUACAUAUCUGUUGUGGCAUAAUUUGCCACCUCCAGAUCAGGUUGCUGAGCCACCACAUGAACAUCAACUGUAUUAGGCUCAGCAGGCUCAACUACAUUCCCCUCAUCAACAUUCUUCUCUUUAGGUUCAAUUUUCUUAUUAUAGCAGUCUUUUAUGUAAUGACCAAGCUUACCACAGCCAUAGCACUUCCUGUUAUUCCUAGAUUUUGAUUUAGAUCUUGAUUUACUCCUGAACUUCUUCCUAUUACUAUUUCCAGAAUUGUUUUGAUUUGGAUAGUUAUUAUUUUGCCUCUUUGGUUGCCUUCCCCUCAUGUACAAACUCUCAUGUUCCUUUCCAUGUUUUUCAGUUUUAAGUUCCAAUUCUUUACUUCUUAUGGAAUUUAUAACAACUUCUGGAGUCAAAGUAUCUCUGCCAUACUUAAUGGCAGAUUUGACAUCCCUAUAUGCCUCCGGUAUAGCAUUAAGAAGUAUUACUGCUUUAUAUUCUUCAGAAAUUUUAUCCCCUGCAUUGGUGAUAUCUUGUACCAAUUUAUUAAAGAUAUCAAGAUUAUCAUCCAGGUCUUUGGUUGGAUCAAUCUUACAACUAAAGAACCUUUCUAGAAGGAAGAGUUUAUUAGGUAAGGAUUUCACUAAGUAUAAUUCCUCUAAUUUCUCCCAUAAGGCCUUAGCAUUUUCUAAUUUCCCUACUUUCCUUAGAACUUGGUCAGAUAGGUGGAGAAUUAUUGAGGUAUAGGCUAAAUCAUCUGAUUCAUUUUUCUGAUCUUGUGUCAUUGUUUCAGGAAACUCUCCAGUUAUUGCCUUAGAGACUUUCUGUUGUACUAAAACCCCUCUCAUUUUUUGCUGCCAUAUAGGAAAAUCUCCCUUCCCAUUAAAGACCCCAAGUUCAAAACUAGUGGAAGUCAUUUUCUAGAUCAAACAAGUCACACUCAGUAAUUUCUGAUUUGAUCAUAACAUACAGAUGAGAAACAGAGAUUCUUCAUAACACAGGCAAAGCAACAUAAUGUGUGUAAGUGUGAAAAAAAAAUAACAAUUUAAGAUACACACUGUCUCCAACACCAAGUUAAAGAAAAUCAAGUACCCUGCCCUACCAGGAUUCCGUGAGACUCAAGAUCUCAGGUCAAGGCUUGGGUGAAGGGUAGAGGUUUUGUUUGAUACAAAAAGGAUUAAGAGAGAUAUUAAUACAGAAUAUAAGAACAGAACAAACUGCUACAAUAUUCAAGCAUAUCAAGAAUCAGUAACUAAAAAACUCAAGUAUACUUUUAUCAGAUGAAUAUAGGCAGAAUAACUCCAGACACACAGAUAUACUGCAAUACUGUCUUUAAACAAAUGUAGGCAGAUUUGAGGCUAAGUACACAACCACACUGUAUUACUUUUAACAAAAAAAAUAUAUAGACAGUUUAUUGCUUAAGUAUAAAGUUCCAUAUUCACAAAACAAUUAACAGGAAGUAUCAGUCAACUAAGACAUGUGACGAAGAAAUCAGGCAGUAAAGAUUUAAGUGGUCGUUACACUUGACCACACACGAAGUUCGAACAACUCACAUCACCGAAGCAGUGUUUCACCAAGAAAUAGAGAUUUAUCACAAAGAACUCAAGAUCUAGGGUUUUAAGUCUAAAACGAUUUUACCAGAUCCACUGCAACAGGUAAGGAUGUGGUUCGAUUCACCCACACGAGCCAGACGAAGGCUCUGAUACCACUGUUACAACAAACUAUCAGUACAAAACCACAGAAAUAAACAAGAAAGAUUACAAGAAAAAAUGAGGCAGAAAAUGAAAUCCUCCAGUCGUUCACAGAGAACUCAAACCACACGGCAACAAGAUGAAGUUCCUUUCUAGAAUAGGGCUCAAACUCAAGAAAAUACAGGAUUGUACCCUUCUGUAUGACCCACACCGAUCGCCCCAAACCCUAAGGUUUUCCUCUAUCAGUUAAAGGAAACCACAAGGGGUAAAAUCACACACCAAACUCUCCAAUACACACAGUAUUAUAUAUCACAAAGACGGAAUCACACAGAAACCAGAUCCAAUCAGAGAUUGGAUUCUCACGAAGAAGAAGAGAGGGUAUGGAAGACUCUCGAACCUCAGCCGCAGCUGGAGAGAAGGGAAAAUGACGGUUCAAGUGAAUUAGGGCAAAAGGGGCCAAGUAUAUAUAUUGACAAAAAGCACCCUUAGAUCAAAUUUAAUCCGAUGGUCAGGAGGCAUCCAUAUAACUGAAGAAAGGCGUGUUUGGCUGCAUUAAAAUAUGCCACGCCAAAACACGUUUUAUCUACCAUUGGGUCGGGGCGGAUCGGGUCAUGUUAUUGGGCAAGAGCCUAAAUUGUUAAAACAGUUAUUGUUGGAAUCACCACAGCUUUCUGGAUCCCCUUUUAAUCGGAAAGGAUCGCUGAUAACAGGAAUGCUGCCACAGGCAGAACGGUUGCAUUGGAGAUUAUUGCUUUCGCUGGAUGUUUGAAGUAAUUGGAUUAGGAUUAGGAUAGAUAAACAUUCAAGAACGAAGGUUUCUCUAACCAUGACUUGUGAGAGUGUGGAUAGAAACUACUAAGGGAAAGACUAACCUAUGCUUCACAAACUAAGGCUCAGCAUAAGGCAAGGAAAGACUUGGGAUAUAGUCUUUUCCAUCGAGUGUGAAUGCUUAAGUCUUCCUUCCAUGGACUCGAGAUAUAGUCAAGCUUGGCAGCUGGGAUUUGUACCAUCAGAAAGAGACACUGGAGCUAUUUCUCAAUUCAAAUUACGACUUCACAAAGGAAUAGCCUGGGCCACAAAGCUUUCGUUUCCCAACAGUUAUUUGAAAUAAAUUCUGUUCACAAAACAAAAUUUCUAAUGUAAGAUUCAGACUGGUAAGAGAGGAAGGUGAAGAAAAUAGAUGACUUCGAAGAUUAUAAUGUUCAUCUUCAGAAUGCACUCAUCAAGCCUUACUAUUCUUAUUCUAUUGUAUGUAAAUUGAGUGGUAAUUUACUUAAUUUUGGUAAAUUAUGUUCAUUAUUAAAAAAUCCCAACUCAGAUAUAAUUAGUGUGAAAUAAUUAUUUGGAGCUCAAUUGGAGUUGAUUCUAGCAAUUGAAAAUUAAUUGGAUUGCAAUUGAUCAAUUGGAAGUAUUAAUGGAGCAUUUAGUAAAAAUUCAUAAAUUUCAAGAGUUAGGGACGAAAUUGAAGACUUCUAAAACGAUCAACUAUUAAUGAUUUUACGAUGAAAGAUUAAAAUUCCAUGUAUUGUCUUAACAAACUACUUCAUAGCUGUAAUCACCACAGCGUUUUGAUAGUCUUCCAUCGUGUGUGAAUGCUCAAGUCUAUUAAUUGAUUAAAAUUCCUAUGGGGAAAGACUCAAUUCUCCCUUCCAUCGUGUGUGAAUGCUCAAGUCUUUUCCAUGUGUGUGAAUGCUCAAGUCUUCCUUCCAUGGACUUGAGAUAUUUCCUGCUAUGUACUUAUCAAGACAGUCAUUUUGAAUCUCAACUUCAUAAAGGAAAAGCUUUUUGUUUCCCAACAGUUAAUUGAAAUAAAUUCUCUUCGAGUGACUUAGUCAAAACAAAUUUUAUUUUAUUUUAUUUUUUUUAAUACAUAUAAGAAUCACAUUGAAAAGAGGAAGAUGCAGAAAACAGAUAAGACAUUGAAGAUUAAAAUGUUCCCCUUCGUCUGCUACAUGUUAUUCUUACGUUUCUUUCCGCUGCUUGUAGUAGGAUUUGACGAUUGUACAACAACUUGGUGCGCUGAAGGUGGCCCGAGCAUUCGGUUUCCUUUCAGGCAUAAAUUUCUACAGCCAGAACAUUGUGGUUAUCCAGGUUUCAAUCUGUAUUGCAGCAAUAGCAAUGAAACUGUGCUAGAACUGCCUUUUUCAGUUAAGCUAGUAGUAACAAAAAUUGAUUAUGUAGCUCAAAAAAUUCAGCUACAUGAUCCUGAUGGUUGUCUAGCCCAAAAGCUUAUGAAUUAUAGUUUAGCAGCCUCUCAAUUUCACUUCCUUACAGAUGACUUGUAUGACUACAGUCUGUUCAAAUGUUCUGCAACUAAUAGAGAUAUAUCCUCUAAUAUUCCUUGUCUCCGAGGUGGCUAUGCCAUUGCUUCUUCUGAUGCUAACAUUGACUCAUAUUUUUUGAUUUCAUGCACCAAGAUACAUGAAAUAUCUGUUCCAAGGAAUAUACUAAAUGAAAAUGAUCUUUAUCUGAAAUGGACGGAACCAUAUUGUGGCCACUGCGAAGCUCAAGGCAGAAAUUGCAGCUUAGAUGCUACUACAAAAAAGACUCAGUGUACCAAGAAGCCUAAGACACAUAGUAGUAUAUACUCAACCCAUCUUCCAUUUUGAUUUUGUAAAUCUUUCAAACAAAAAAUGGCUCAUGUCACUGCACCUUGUAUUAUGUUUUAAAUAGCACAAGGAGAUGAUAUCUUCGCUUUAUUUCCUUACAGGUGCACAUAGGAGACGUUUGGUUACAGGUGAUUUUUACCUUUAUACAGUAUAAUUUACGGCAUCAACACUUUUCUAUCUUGCGCUGGAUAUCAUUAGGAUUACUGGUCUUUUUUUGUUAUCUGCAGGUGCCACCUUAGGUGCUUUCUUUUCAGUGGGAACAUUUGUAGCGCUAUACUAUGUCUACAGGUCAAGUAGAAUAAAGAAAGAGGAUCAAGCGAAGAUUGAAAAGUUUUUGGAAGAUUACAGAGCUCAAAAGCCCAUCAGAUUCUCUUAUGCAGAGAUUAGAAGGAUUACAAAUCAUUUCAACGAAAAAUUGGGUGAAGGAGGCUACGGAACUGUAUAUAAAGGGAAGCUGACCAAUGAAAUUUAUGUUGCUGUAAAGGUCCUCAACAAUUCCAAGGGAAACGGGGAGGAAUUCAUCAAUGAAGUUGGAACAAUCGGGAAAAUCCACCAUGUCAACGUGGUUUGUUUGGUAGGUUUUUGUGCCGACGGAUUUAGAAGAGCUCUCAUGUACGAAUUUCUACCAAAUGACUCACUGGAAAAGUUUAUUUUUCGAGCUAGUCCUAAGAGCAAUUCCCUUGGUUGAGUGACUUUGGUCUAGCCAAAUUGUGUUCCAAGGAUAAGAGUUCUGUGUCAAUUACGGCUGCAAGAGGAACCAUGGGCUAUAUUGCACCUGAGGUUUUGUCAAGGAAUUUUGGUAAAGUAUCUUAUAAAUCGGAUGUUUAUAGCUUUGGGAUGUUAUUGCUCGAAAUGGUUGGAGGGAGGAAGAACAAUGAUACUACAACAAACACUAGCCAAGUGUACUUUUCCGAAUGGAUUUCUAAUCAAUUAAGUCAAGAAGAAGAGUUGCACAUCCGAAUUGAGGAAAGUGAUGAUGCUACUAUACUAAAAAAACUAGCUAUUGUGGGGCUCUGGUGCAUUCAGUGGUAUCCAACAGAUCGGCCAUCCAUGAAAGUAGUAGUUCAAAUGUUGGAAGGAGAUGUGGACAAUCUCACCAUGCCUCCUCAUCCCGUUCCAGAUACAAAUGGGACAAACUCCAUUGCAGGAAUACGACGAAGACCUCAUCAGAUAGAGUUGGCAGUCAUAUCAGAAUUGGAGUGACAAGGCAAAUUUUAGUAGAUUUGAAUUUUUAAAGAACAGGGGAGUAUUAAAUAUUUUCCUAUGGGCUAUUUUUCCUUUUAUAUUCUGCAAUAAUGUUUGUAUCAUCU
rnacentral:lncRNA from 1 species